UAGCACCACCCCAACUCCAAGUGGCACCCCCCCACCAACAAAAUCUCCAUCAACUACUCCAUCAGCUCCUUCAGAGACAAAUUCAACUACUCCAUCACCACCAAAGGAUAAUGGAGCUUUUAGUGUUUCCAAUGGUGUUAGUCUUUUGAUGGGUUCUUUCUUUGUUUCAGCAAUGAUUUUGGGUUUGAUGGGCUAGGGAAGAGACAGUGCUAUUGUUAAUCAUCUUAAUUUAUGUACUAUUGGUUUGUUGAAUUUGCUUAAAUUUUAUUUAAUGAUCUGAGAUGUAUAUCUAAUCUUCAUCUUGAUGUGUAUGAGCUUUUAAUUAAAAAAGAGAUCAAAACUGCUUUAGAAAUCAAACAUUCUCUUAUAUGUGGGCCAUUUGAGGUACCUACUAUAUAGGAGGGAGCAGAUACUUCAUCACUUUUGUAGAUGAGCAUACUAAAAUGCUGUGGAUUUAAACAAUCAAAAUUAAAAGUGAAGCUCUUUAGAAGUAUUCAACAAAUUCAAAGUCGUAGUUGAGAAAGAGAGUGAAAAAUCAAUUAAAAUUUUGAGAACUGAUGGUGGCAAGGAGUAUACCUCAUCAAAGGAUUUUGAAGAAUUUUUUGCUAGAGAAGGUAUAACUCAUGAAAUCAUCUCUCCCUCUCCUCCCCAACACAAUGGCUUAGUAGAAAGGAGGAAUAGAAUCAUACUAGAUAUGUCAAGAAGCAUGCUCAAGCAAAAUAACAUGCCUCACAAGUUUUGGGGAUAAGCAGUGAAUAUUGUUGCUUAUAUUCUGAACAACUGCCUAACAAAAAGCUGAAAAACAAAGUAUCAGAAUAAGCUUGGAAUGGAAGAAAGCCAAAUGUGAAGCAUUUGAAAGUAUUUGGCUCAAUCUGUCUGUUACAAACACAUUCCUGAUGCAAAGAGAAGCAAACUUGAUGAUAGAAGUGAGAAAAUGGUACUUAUAAGCUAUCAUUCAACUAGAGCAUACAAACUGUAUGAUCCAAAAUCUCAAAAGGUGCAAACAAGUAGAGAUGCGAUAAUGAAUGAAAAAUGAAGCAUAACACUGGGAAAACAUAUCUGAAAUCAGAAAUGUGAAUUCACGUAUAUUCACUGAAUCAGAUCAAAGUGAAGAUUUAGAUGAAGAUAUUGAAGAUACAAAUAAUGUAAUUGAGAAUGAAGAAGAAGCUCAACCUAGACAAGUUCCCAUUAGACUUGAAGACUGUGAGGUGCUACCUGAUAGUGUAGUGAAUGAUGAACGAGAGUUCAUUCACUUUGCAUUUCUACCUCAUGCUGAACCACUUAAUUACAAAGAAGCAAUGCAAAUAGGUGUAUGGAGAAAAGGUAUGAUACAAGAAAUCAAAGCUAUUGAGAAGAAUAACACCCGUGAAUUAGUUGAAUUAUCAGAGAAGAAGAAAACCAUUGAUGUGAAAUGAAUUUUCAAGGUAAAAAUGAAUCCAGAUGGCACAGUUUCAAAACACAAAGCAAGGCUAGUGGCUAGAGGCUUCCUGCAGCGAUAUGGUGUUGAUUAUAAUGAAGUGUUUGCACUAGUGGCAAGAUUAGAAAAUGGGAGAUUGGUUGUUGCAUUAGAUAGCAGUAAGAAAUGAUCAUUGUUUCAUUUAGAUGUGAAGUCUUGAUUCUUAAAUGGACUAUUAGAAGAAAAAGAUGCAUAUGGUAUACGAACUGCAUAAGACACUUUAUGGAUUGAAGCAGGCUCCUAGAGAAUGGAACAAAUGAAUUGAUCAGUUCUUGAUUUAAAUUGGAUUUAAAAGAUGCAAAGUUGAAUAUGGUAUGUAUGUUCAGAACUUGAGUGAAAGUGAUAUCACAAUGAUAUAAUUAUAUGUGAAUGAGCUAUUGGUAACUGGAAGUAAUCAAAGUGAGAUUGAGAAGUUCAAACACACAAUGUAGUGUGAAUUUGAAAUGACUGAUUUAGGAAAACUCUCUUAUUUCUUAGGAAUGGAGUUUAAAGCUAGCAAGAUGGGAAAGGUUAUGCAUCAUCAGAAGUACAUUGGUGAACUGCUAGAAAAGUUUGAUAUGACAGAUUGCAACACUGUCACAAAUCCUUCUGAAACAAAUGCUAAGCUGGAUGAAUGUAGCAAUGAAGAGAAAGUAGAAGCUACAUAAUUCAAACCGAUAGUUGGAUCUCUGAGAUGCCUAUGCAAUAACAGACCUGAUAUAUGCUUUGCGGUAAGUAUCAUCAGUAGAUACAUGAAUGAUCCUAGGAAAUCUCAUCUCACUGCAGCUAAAAGAGUGCUAAGAUAUGUGAAAGGAACAAUGAAGUUUGACUUGCUAUUUCAAACUGAAAACAAUGGAGAAAAGGUUGAACUGAUAGGCUACUCUGAUUCAGAUUGGUGUGAAGAUAGAAGUGAUAGGAGAAGCACAUCUGGCUAUGUCUUCAAGUUCAACAAUGUUGCAAUAUCAUGGUGUACAAAGAAGCAUCCAACUACUGUAUCAUCAUCUUGUGAAGUUGAGUACAUAGCAGGUACAUUUGCAGCUUGUCAAGCAAUUUGGCUGGAUACAGUGAUGAAAGAGCUAAACUGUGAAGUAGAAAAUCCUUUGAAGCUGAAAUUUAAUAACAAAUAAGCUAUUAAUCUAGCUAAGAAUCCUAUAGCACAUGGAAGAAGUAAACACGUUGAAACUAGGUUAUAUUUCAUCAUGGAACAAGUGACAAAGGGCAUGAAUGAAGUGAUAUAUCACCCAACUAAAGCGCAGCUAGUUGAUGGAUUCACCAAGUCUUCGAAGCUUGACAAAUUUGUUUACUUGAGGGAUAAGCUAGGUCUCAUUGAUUGUUAGGAUUAUGGAUUAAAGGGGGUGUAUUAGAUGUGAUUAAUCCAUAAUCAUUUAGCAGAGUUAGUUUUAUAAUUAGCUUUACUUUGGAUAAGUUUAUUAGUUAGUUUGUAAAUCUCUUUUCAUUAAUUAAUGAAAACCAUAACAAACUUCAAACACUUUCUUCUCUCUCCAUAACCACUUUCUCAUUCUCCAUUUUUCUCAUUCUCUCAAUAUUCAUCCAUUAUUAAGAUUACUUGAAUAGCAAGAAAGCAAUAUCUGCGCUAAUAUGCAUUGCAAUCCAACUCAUGAAAACAUUUUGUAGCAAAAGAAAUAAUACUACACUACCCUGCCAUGAUGUAAAGUAUUUGAGCAUUUGGUGGUAGUGGCGGAGCCCUUCAUGGGCUGGGGUGGGCCACGGCCCAACAAAAAAAAUUAAAAAAUAAACGAUUAUAGAUCUAUUUUGCGAGAUUUUAUGCAAUUUUGUAUCGGUUUUAUGUUUUGGUUGAUUCAAAUUCCUAAAAAGUAGUGUAGUGGACCACCCAAAAAUUUAAAUAAUUCAAUUAUAGGUCUAAUUUGCGAGAUUUUAUACAAUUUUAUGUCGGUUUUAGGUUUCGGUUGAUCCAAAUUCCCGCAAAUUGGUGUAGUGGCCCAUCCGAAAAAUUUAAAUAAUUCAAUUAUAGAUCUAAUUUGCGAGACUUUAAACAAUUUUUCAAUAGUUAAUUUUAGUGGCCCACCUUAACAUUUUUUUCUAGCUCCGCAACUGUUUGGUGGCAAUGACUACUAAUUGGAUUAAUUCCAAAUGUGUGACACAACAUGUAGGAUAGUGCAUGUGAUAUAUUUAGGUAUGCAGUCAUAAGUUAAUUAGAAGCACAUGUUCGAUAGUUUUUUUGGGGGAUCUAGAUGAUCGAAAAACAAUGAACACUUUAUGGUCUCUUGAUCUCAUUUUGAUUAUAAGGCGCUUGCCGUAGCAAAAAGAAGGAAACAUAAGAAAUGUAGAAAUGAUUGAGGAACACAAAAACAAACACUUUAUUUUCAUAUAGCUUUGAUAUCUUUUACGUUUUUUAAAUGUUUUUAGCUCGACCUCAAUUUUCAUUUUGAUCAAUUGAGGUGGAAAAAAAAAGAUAGAACAUAAGAUGAUAUUGACUUUGUCUCGAUGAAUAUUUUAAAUUAUCAAUUUUUUUUAAUGAUUUUUGCUGAUAAAUAAUCAAAGAUAUUAAAUGUCAAAAUUAUAUGUUGACAUAUGCGAAACAAUUAAUUAGAUCAGUCAUUUUAAAAAAUAGGAGUACAUGACAAACUCAAGUAAAAAAUUGAUAGAAAUGAUCGUUUGAAUUGGCUUAUUUUAAAGCUUAUGCAAAUAAAUAAGCAUUAAUGUAUCAUUUAAAAGUUUGUUAAGGUAGUUUAUCUAAAAACAACUUCUAAAUAUACAAUUUUCGUUAGUAGGAUAUUAUAAAUUAACAUUAAAACUUAAUUAUUUGUAUAAGCUCGAAAUAAGCUCAAUCCAAAAACAUAUAGCGAACAUAUUUAGGAACAAAAAUGUCUCAAGGAUGAAAAGAGACCAUAACAAAUGAAAAAUUUGAGAACAAAAGUGAAAUAUGAAAAUAAAAAAAUAAAAAAAAUCAAACGUUUAAUUUAAUUUUUAUAAAAUAUAUUUCAUAAUCCAAUAAAAAAAAAAAUCAUGAUCUUCUAGAAGCCUUCCACACGCAAGAUGAUAGUAAUAAUUUGCAGCACACUUCAACUGACUAUUCUUGCCUCUGUUUGACUCUGUUUUGGUCAUUACAUACAUGCCACAUCAUUUGUUUCUUUCAAAAGAUUACCUAAUCUAUUCAACGUUGAGGCUUUGGAACAAAGAAAAAGUGGCCAACCUUUGUGACAUGGAUGUGAGAUAAGAAUAAAAAAUAAAAAUGAUAAUUCAUUUGUUUUUUUUUGUUUUUUCCUAGUUAGUUAUUCCCUUCUCCAGAAACAAACAUUCGAAUAAAUUAAAUAAUUGACUUCAUAAUUGAAACUCCCUUAAAGUCUUCAACUACUCUCAUUACAUUGUUAAAGAAGUUAUUUUUUGACAAACUUACGGAAGGGUUGGACAAUUUGACUUAACACAAAAUACUCUAUCAAAAAAUUACCAGCAUUUGUAUAUUUUUAUUUUAAUACAGACACGUCUUAAAUAUGAUUAACUCUAGCGAUAAGAAUCUUUGAGGAAAAAAAUAUGAUUGAUAAGUCAUUUAAAGAUGGAGUUCAAAAUAACUAUUUAUGGGUUGAGAUAACAAGAGCCAACCUUUUAUCAAUAUUUUAUUGAACAAUAAUUUCUAACAACAAAAACAAUUAUUUUUUUUGUUAACAACAAAAAUAAUACCCUCUCAGUCCUAUAACAAGUGAACCUUGUAUUAAAAAAAAUAUUUUUUAAAUAAAUGAUCUAUUUCACUUUUCAAUGCAAUAUUAAUAACUUUUUUUUUCUUCAAUUAUAACUCUAAUUAAUAUUAAUUUCAUCACCCUCAAUUUCAUGUUUUUCAUUUUACAUUUAUGAUAAUGGUGAAUGUGCUGAUACUUGAUAAGAACACUUAAAAUAAUUUUUCUAUCUCUUUCACUUGUACAUUUUUUUUUUUAUAUGUGCGAAAUAAAUAAAAGAUUCAUUUAAUUUAUGAUAGAAAUAGUAAACAUUAGGUUAGAAGUAUACAUAAUACUUAUAUAAUAUAGUCACUUUCUAAUUUAUUUUUCAACGUAAUGAGUAUCAGAUAAUUUUGAUAUUUAUUCUAGAGUUUUGUUAUAAAGUGUCAUCGUGAAUUUAACUCUGUUGAUAGAAACAAUGUAUAAUAUUUAAAAUGUUCGGGGUUCUAACCCUAACCAUAAAAUAAAAAAAGUCUUGUUAUCAAGUGUCAAUUUUAAGGAACCCAUGGAUAAUAAGUUUUGGUCUGCAGUUUCGGUGGAUGUGGGUGAAGCUUUAGGGGUGCACUCUGCUUUGCAAUGGUUGAGUGAUAUGCAGUUUGACAAUAUGAAUUUUGAAACAGACUCUAAGUUGACAGCUGACGCCUUCCUUUCUACCAGGAACGACUUGUCCGAAUUUGGUUGCAUUAUUUCCUCCUGUCGUUCUUUAUUCUGUACUUCAUUUUCUAACUCUAGGGUGGAGUUUGUUAGGCGACAAGCCAACGUGGUUGCUCAUGCUCUUGCUAAAGAGAUCACGUCUUUAGCUAAUCGAAUCGUUUAUUUUAAUAUAUUCAAUUAUAUUGAAACUUUUAUUAUUAAUGAAAUGCUACAAAUAUGUUUUUCUUAAAAAAAUAAAAUAAAAUAAAGUUUUAGUCCGCAUUGGUUAACUUUUUUUUUUUCCGCGUACGUUGUGUGUAAUCAUAUCAUAGUAUAUAAAUACCACACGUGCUUCCUGGUAAAUGUGUAAUAUACAACUUGUCGAUUUGUUAAAUGUCUAUUAGCUUACCAAGUCACAUUUUUUUAUGGGAAAAGAAUCUCAAUGCAUUAGGUAGAAGCUGCCUUUAGAAAUUAGAAGACAAUAUCAAAUUGUCAAUAACCACUUCAUUAUUAUUUUUUCUUUCUCUUUUUUGGGUGCAUAACUACUCUCAUAUUAUUUAAAUUUAAUUUCAAUAUGGAGUAGUUGAUGACAUUGACAUAGUAAACACAGGAAUAUUUAGUACUAUAUAUAUACACCCCUCCUUCCAUAACCUCAUCCAUCAUUGGCACAAGUUCUAAUUCUAAUAUACUUAGAAACAUUUUCUUACAAACACUUUCUUUCUUACAAACAUUUUCAUUUUGAGAACUAAAGUUUAUAGGCAUGAAUACAUCAAUGAUAGCUUCUUUCUUUGUUCUUUUGUUGGCCUUUCCUUAUGCAUUUGCAACUGAUUUCACCGUUGGUGAUGCCAAUGGAUGGAAUCUAGGAGUUGAUUACACCAAAUGGGCUUCUGGAAAAACUUUCAAAGUUGGUGAUAACUUAGGUAUGUAUACAUUCUGGCGGCGCGCAGCUUGUUGUCUGCUUGCCUUCUAUUCAAGUGUAAAUAAUUGUUUAUAUAUUGAAAUAUGAAUAUUAUGUUUUUUCUUAUUUGGAAAAAAUGAAAAAGAUUGAUAUUGCUAAAUUUGAGGUCUAAAAUACUAUUACAUCAUGAAAUCUUAAUUAUAGAAAUAAUAUAAAUGUAUUUUGCAAUCUACAUUAGAGUUAACAAAUUAUUUUGUAUCUUGAAAAAACAGUGUUCAAAUAUGGCUCCUCCCACCAAGUGGAUGAAGUUGAUGAAAGUGACUACAAAAGCUGCACUUCAAGCAAUGCCAUAAAGAACUAUGCUGGUGGAAAUUCUAAGGUUCCAUUGACUAAAGCAGGAAAAAUUUACUUCAUAUGCCCUACUCUAGGUCAUUGUACUAGUACUGGUGGCAUGAAGCUUGAAGUAAAUGUUGUUGCUGCUAGCACCACCCCAACUCCAAGUGGCACCCCCCCACCAACAAAAUCUCCAUCAACCACACCAUCAACUACUCCAUCCACUACUCCAUCAACCACACCAUCAGCUCCUUCAGAGACAAACUCAACUACUCCAUCACCACCAAAGGAUAAUGGAGCUGUUGGUGUUUCCAAUGGUGUUAGUCUUUUGAUUGGUUCUUUCUUUGUUUCAGCAAUGAUUUUGGGUUUGAUGGGCUAGGGAAGAGACAGUGCUAUUGUUAAUCACCAUAAUUUAUGUACUAUUGGUUUGUUGAAUUUGCUUGAAUUUCAUUUCAUCUUGAUGUGUAUGAGCCUUUAAUUAAAAAAGAAAACAUUUCUUCUUUUAUAGGCAUAAUAAUUCCUUCCUUUUGUUGUUUGGUUGUCAAUAAUUGAAAUGGAAACAACUAUAUAUUCACUCAAAUAAGAAUUUACUAGGAAAAAUGUUCUAUUUCUUAAAAGAAAUGUACCACUUUAUACACUUUUUUUCUUCAACGACAAAGUCUUAUAGCUCAGAAUAUUAAGGAUAUGUUUGAUUUGGCAGUUAUAAUGCGAAAUCCACAUCCCAACAAGUCAUGUCUGUGAAAAAAUAGAAGCCGAACCAAUUUACUUUCACGGUGACCCGGUUUUUUUGUCACGAUUUUGUAAAACGUGACGACAUAUCAAACCCACAUUAAGUAAAUGUUUAGAUGAACAUUGAGUUUAAAAGAAUUAUAAUAUUCGGAUGAUUUUGUCGAAUUAAUCGAGAUUCUAAAAUGCACUAAGAUCAUAUUUAUUUAUAAAGUUGAUAUCUCUUAAGAAUACUCUUUCAUAUGCAUCGGUUUGAUUAAAAUAAUUUCUAGCUAUAUGCUUCAUCAGAAAAUUAUUCCGGGCGACAUGCUUUACAUAAAUUAUUUUGGAAAGUUAAUUUCCUCCUAGAGCAUUUGAAAUUUGAUUUCAACUUACUAAAACUUAAAUAGUGUAACUUAUAUUUUUUUGGGUCAAAAUAUGUAGUUACAUGUAAGUAUCAUCAAUUACAUUGUGCUAUUGGGUCAGCAGGUCACAGUACACAUCCGGCAUCAAAUCAUUAUCAACAUUAUUUUAGAAUUUUAGAAUUGCAAAGUUGACCAAAGACUUACGAUCCACAUGCAGCCGCCUCCAUGUUCAGUUGUUAAGAUAAUUAUACUUUACCCCUAAGAAAGAAAUCAUAAUACUUUGAUAUACUAUUAUUUAUUUUAAGAAUUAUUAAUGUAAAAAACCGUCCCUUCAAAAAUUUAAUAUAAAAAAAAAAUCAUAACUAGUGCACUAGUUAAACACUUUCCUAAUAUUAAAAACCGUAUUAUAGAAUGAGAUAUAGAAUUUAAAUGUUAAACAAGUAUGUUAAAGUAUCUUUCUUGGUGUUAUUAUAUAUAUAACUAAGAUAUAGUUUAUAAAUUUAAAAUGGCUAUGUGACAGCUAGAGGAUUAUAAAAUUGAGCUGUCAUUCCAAUCAAAUAAUAGCUCAGUGUAUGGCUAACAUUUGGACUUUAUAAAUAAUACAAGUUAAUGCAGUCCCUCAUGUCAUACAUUACUUCAUACCAUAUCUUAGUUUUUAGAAAGAAAAAAAUUAUUUAAUGAAAAGUACAACUCAUACACCAACACGUUCUAGCAAAAGAUGUCUAACAUUAUCUUAAUAAAGUUUCUGUAUCAUUGGAUGAUGACAUUGAUCGUUAAUGUAUUUAAAAAUAAUAAUACAGGGGUCACUUUUAUUCCCAUGGAUUGAUACGAUAUUUUUAAUGGAUAAUAGAGUAUCAAUAUUUUUUUUUUAAACUCUCUUAAUAUCUCAUACUGAAAAAGGGUUAUUCAGGAGUUAUCUACAAAAUAUAUAUAUAUUUUUUUUAAAAAAAAAAACUACCUUUUGAUAGUUAUUUUCCGAUUUUUAUGCGGGACUGGGAGACAUCAAUGAUACUUAAAAAAAAACUGUUUAUUCUCAAUUAGCUAUUGCUUUUCCAUUCUAUUUGUUUUUCACGUGCCAUAUUUUUUUUCUUACGAAAUACCCUUUGUUUCGCAAAUAUUUAAACAUGCAUCACAAUAAAUUAUAGGAAAAAAAUUACUGAUACCAUAUGAAAAAUACACACAUAUAACAUAAAAUUAAAACAAUGUCAAUCAAUCUUAUGUUCCAUUCAGUGUUGUUCUUAACUGUUAAGUUUCAAUUGAUUGCCUGUUUGGUUGACUUAAGAAUGUUUGAAAACUAUGAAUGCAGGGGACUAGACUUGGAAGUUCAGAUCCAAAAGGAUGUUUCAUUCAGUAUUCUCACUUGAUAUUGAAAGCAAAUUAUUGAAGCUCAAGUUUCUGACUUUGUUCAGUUGGCCUUUUUUUUUCAACUUUCAACUAUGUAUAAUGUUAAAAUAAUUAUUUGACUGUUUAAGCUCUAAACAAAGUAUGAUAUAAAUUCUCACUAUUCACUCUCAUUAUAUUCUCCAUUUGAUAGAGAUCUUGUGCAUGUUUUUGGGCCAUAGAUGAAUUUGUCUUCUACUUCUAAGAAAAUGUGAAGUGCUUCUUAUAAUUUUGUUUCUUUAAUUUAUCACUUUUUUGUGGGUUUUAGUGAUGUUUAUAACUUACUAUAUAUUGAUGUUCAUCCCAUAUAUGGUUCAUUCUAACUGAAACCCUUGGUAGACGCUUCUUACAAACAAACAAAUCUGGAAAGACUACAAAAUACAAAUCACUUUGGAAGAAAUGAAAACAAUUUAAGUUUCUAUUAAAAAUGUAUUCGUUUACAAGCAUAAAAGUAGUUGUUGAAUGUUAGGUAUGGAUUGGUUAGAAACGAUUUAAUAUUUUCACGUAUAAAUAGAAGGCAUUUGAUGAAUAUUUCUGAUCCAAGGACUAUAUAUAUAUAUAUAUAUAUAUAUAUUGUCAUUUUUACUGAUUCUAAACAUUAAUACUAGGUGCAUUUCCUCACAUAUGCUUGUAUUUUCUUUUCUUUUUGCCUUGCCAAUGUUUAUGUUAAAUUUGACUUUUAAAUUGUAUCAAAGAAGUUGAAGGAUAGUUUGCAUGCCUUUGACAUGUACAUAAGCCUUCAUGUAUUGUGAAGUCAUGCAUGUGAUAUUUUUGUCAUUAUAAAGUGCUUUGAGAGUAAAUGAUCAUGAUCUUUUACUUAUGUGUUUUAAUAUUGGCUUAAACUCACUUUUCACCCUCUAAGUUUGCAAAAGUAGCAAUUUUGGCUCCCUAUUAAAAAAAAUGGCAAAAGUGACCCCCAUGUUUACCCCUUUUUGCAAAAGUUCAAUUUUGACUAGUUCAACGCUUAUGUGUCACAUCACUUAAGUGAUUAGGAUGCCAACUGUGUAUUUUUUAAUUAAAAAAUAAAUCAAAAUGCCACAAAAUCAUUUACAUAAUUAAAUAAAUAAAAAAUAAAAAAAGGAAGGGUCACGUGAGAUUUAGUUGUUUCCCAUUUGCCAAAGUAUUGUCUUCUUCAUCAAUGAAUCCCUUCUUCUACAUCUCCAUAACCAUUAAUUAUUGCUGCAGGAACAACUUUCCAACAAACAGAAGCAGAAGCAUCACCCUAUGAUAAUUAAACCAAAUGAAUUUAAACAUAAAAAUUUCACACUCCUUGUUCUAAUUUCAUUUUUUUCGCAGAUCCAUUCUCUAAUCAUCUUAUAAAUUCAAACACAAAAAUUCAACCCAUCAAAUCUCAUAUAUGUUCUCUUCAUUCAAAUCGAUUUCAGAUUUUCACUUCGUUUUCCAAUCACACUUCAAUUUCGUUUCGUACAUAAUCACUGUUGUUUUUUAUGUUUCGAUUCAUCCAAAUCGAUUCCACUUAUUUUUCCAGUUUUUUAUCUAUUUAAUUUUUUCAAUUGAAGGUUGUAUUUCAAGGUUUUGGGAACACCAGAUAUGUGUUUGUAUGCUGGGUAUGGGUUGGAUGGUUCUCAUGAGUUUGAAGAUUUGAGUGUUAAUGAGAAUGAUUUUUUUUUAGGACCAAACAAUUGAUGAUGAUAAAUUGUUUUUCANUUGAUGAUGAUAAAUUGUUUUUCAAAUCUAGAUUUUGAGGAAGAACACAUAAUCAUGAAGAUCAAAGUUUUGGGGAAGAACACAUGAAAAAUUGAUGAAAUGAUAAUUGAUGAGAGCUUGUAUGUGCCUUCUCUAUUUUUCUUCCAAUUUUUCUGUUUUUUUUUUAAUUUCGUUUUAUUAACUUGUGGAAUUUUCAAUUAAAAAAUUUUUUAAAAAAUACACAGGUGGCAUGCCACAUAUGGUUGACUGGGUCAAAAUUGAGCUUUUGCAAAAGGGGGUAAACAUGGGGGGUCACUUUUGCCAUUUUUUUUAAUAGGGGGCCAAAAUUGCUACUUUUGCAAACUUAGAGGGUGAAAAGUAGGUUUAAGCCUUUAAUAUUUUAUUUUAGAUAUCGGACUACUAUCUUGAAAAUCACUUUUUCAACUUCAAGUUCAGAGGAUUGUGUGUGCUCGCGGUGAUUAGCUGCUCAUGUUGACAUAGUUCGGAUUAUAUAAUCCGAACUGUUUUUUAAAGGUUCGGCAAAUAUUAUAUAAACUGUGUCAAUUUUUACAUUGCAAUCUACCUCUAAACAUGAUCUUCUAGGGGGUUUAACACAUUUCAGAUUCUAUUUGUCGAACAAUUUUGCAAAGUUUCGGCAAAUACAAUUCGAACGUAUAUUUACAGCCUUUGGAUAGAUAUGACCAAUUUAUAACAAUUCAGAUUAUAUUUGUCGAACAAUGGUUCAUAUUAUAUUUACCGAGCAAAGGGUAUUUUGGGAAAUAAAAAUAGGGCGCGUGAGAAAACAAUAGGGUGUGAAAAGUAAUAGCUUUUUCAAUUUAGCUUUGGGCUAUACAAAUAGUCGGCCUUAAUCUUAGGCCCAAUUGAUAACUUACAGCCCAAAAUGUCUAGCAAGAAGUACUUCACUUAGAGAAUUGCUUUUUACACAUGUGAACUUUCUUAAAAACACAUGAAAAGUACGUUUUUGCUUCCAACGAUAGUUAACGACCAUUCGGUCUUUCCGACGGUAGUUAACUACCGUUUCACAUAUACAACUUAAAAAAAAACUCCAACGGUAGUUAACUACCAUGGAGCAUGAAAAUAGAUUUUAAAUACUUUAUAGUGUGCUUAGUCUCCUAGCAUUUGUUGUGACCUUCAAUAUUUGGGAAAUGCUAAACUUCCCGAAUAAAUUUAUAGCGAGAUAUUCACGAUGAAAGUGGCUUGUUGCAACAAAAAAAAAAAAUUAGCACCACAACCUCUUGUACUCCACUAGUACCGGACUUUACACCAAUACACAUUAAACACAUACGCAUUCGUGAAUUUUCAAUAGCCAAUUGUUCGCACUAUAUAGUAAGUGAAAUAGCCUUUGACGAGCAAUGAAGCUACGAGCUGGAAUUUAAAGAUUUUGAUUUUGAAGGAGUUCACUUUCCCAAGAAAAUGUCUAAUUUUUUUAAAAGGGAAACAUUGUUUGUAGUGAAACCUAUCCUCGCGAAGAAGACAUCACGAUUUGGUUGUUGUAUUCCGUAACUACAACUUUAGUUGACUCUCUUAUUUUUUUUAUCCAACAACCCAUGUUUUCCGCCAACGGAGAUCUAAGGAUGCAACUACUUCGUGAAAUUGCUCGUGAAAAAUCAGACAGCUCACAUCAGUUCAAUACUUUCUUUCUCGGUUGAAUAUUGGUCCGAUCUAGUUUUAAAUUACUUCAUUCCAGACACAACAGCUUCAAUAAAUGGUCGUCCCAUUUUCUCCAUUGAUUUAGUUUUCAAACGCAACUGCUUCUCGUUAUACAGAAUUUCGGCCAACCUUUAUAAAAUAAAAUUGUCACAUAAUUAGUAUUUCCUCCUAUUAAUUAAAUGAUCAAACCAAAAAAUUAUACUCACACACAUACUUAGUUUAAUUUGUAUUUUUAAGCCAUUAAAAAUGUUUAGAAUUUUUAAAAGAAAAAAUAUAUAUCUUAAUGAAGGGAAGUUCACAUGAUAGGGUGCGUAGUUAAAAUUAUUUCUAAAAGUAUACAUUAUUAUUAAAAAAGUAAAAAUUAUUUCAUAUAGUUAGUUUUGAAUGAUUGUUAGAUAAAGUAUACAUUAUUAUUAAAAAAGUAAAAAUAGAAAAACAUUUUUCUUGUUAUUAGUUAUUACUAAAAAAAGAAAAAAACAUUAGAGGAUACUACUUCAUCUAAUCCACGACCGAUUACUAUCUGUCAUCAAUAGGUUAUAGCUAAUAGAUUUGAGUUAGUUAUACAUUAAUAAGCUAGCUGAAAGUUAGUUAUAACCGGUAACUUGUUUUCCAUGUUAUCUAGCUUUACAUCACUUGUAUGUAUAUAUGAAUCUUGUAACUAUCUUUCUAUUAGAUCAUUCAUUCAAUGUAUGAGAUUUUCUUUUCUCUUUCUCUCAGAAUGUGCUCUCCUCACAUGGUAUCACGAGCUUUUCGUGAAUUAGCUCAUGCGAUUUUUCCUUCAUUUUCUAUGCAAAUUCUUGCCUUUCUCUCAUGAUUUUUUCCAUUUUUCUGCAAACCACAUGUUCGCGUUUCUUACAAACUUUCUUCUUCGUCUUCUUCGGUUCACCUUAAAGCUUUCUUAGUUCUUCCAUGGCGCAUAACAGUAUUGUUUCUACCAGUACAAAUAAUGGUAGUACGGUCACAAAUCCUUCACAAAGUUACGCUUCAAAGUACUAUGUUCAUCCUAGUGAUGGACCUAAUUUUGUUAGGUUACACCAAUUUUAGAUAAAAGCAACUAUCUUUCUUGGGCUUGAGCCAUUCGUCGUGCUUUAGGGGCUAAGAACAAGUUUCAAUUUGUUGAUGGAAGUAUUCCAAUUUCUGCACUUCUUGAUCCAAAUAGUCAGGCUUGUGAAUGAUGUUGUGAUUUGAUUCAUUUAAAAGUUAAAUCAUCCAAUCCAGUGUUUACUCUAUGGUUUUACAAGAUAAUAAAUUUGCUCCUGAAUCAUCUUUCACUGCGAAUUCUAAAAUUCUUGUUAAUGCCUCAAGAUACAAGCAUUAAUACUCAUUGCAACAGACAUGGUCAUAUCAUUAAUACUUAUUAUUGUAAGCAUGGUUUUCCUCUAAAUUAUGGGAAGAAAACAUGGCUAAUCAUGUUGAUUCUUCUUUUCUUAAUGGUGAUUUGACUGGUUAUGUUGAAGAGUUAAAAGUUAAAUCAUCCAAUCCAGUGUUAAUUCGGGAGCAGUAUAAUAAGAUAUGAGUUGACUUAAAAGUAAAGACAAAAAUUUGGUGGUGAAAAACUUUUGAGAGUUAUUAUAAGUUGGGGAAUUUUUUUUAAAUAAUUAAAAUGAAAAGUUAAAAUAUUUACAUGAAUCAUAAAAAUAUCUAAACCUUCUUUUUAUAUUAGUUACGAAAAGAAUGUAAUAUGGGAACAAUUGAAUAAAGACACACAAGAUAAAGGAAAGGACCAAAUUCUUUUUCAUAAGCAGAUGUAAUACAAGGAAUACAAAGUACAGUCAAAUCCUUACCCUUAUUUUAGUAAAACAACAUAGUACAAGACCAAAUACAUUUGAAAAGGAAAACAACAAAGUAGAAACACUCAUCAUGAAAGACACAUAUCCAUUGAUUUAUUUAUUUCAAACCAUGCACAGAGAACUUGCAACAUAGUACAAGCCUACGUACGUACUUAAUAUAUAUUAUAAAUGCAUGCACAUAUAUGCACUUGUCAUUUAUUCCAUUCCAAACAUACGUAGAGGGGAUGUAAUAGCAUCAACAAAUGGUCGUCCCCUCUUUUCCAUUAUUGAUUUGGUUUUCAAACGCAGCUGCUGCUCUUUGUAUAGAAUCUCAGCCAACCUUCAUAAAAUAAAAAUUGUCACAUAAUUAACAUUUCCUUCUAUUAAUUUAAUUGAUCUCAACAACAUUUGCAAUACAAAUCAAGAUAAAAAUUUAUAUUAUAUUUACUAUAUUGCUGGUUCACCGGAAAACGUAGGUAUUAUUUGUUUAUCUAAGCAUAUAGAAGGUAAAUGGCACAAACCCUUGUAGAGCCUCGGCGUUUGUAUCCAGCUCACUUGGUUUUUCGUGAUGGGUGAAAGAAGUUACAUUCAGAAUCUUAACUCGUUGUUCCAACAAGUCCUCUCCUGCCUUUAUAAGUUUUUCCAUGUUUUCUAUGGUAGCAUUAUCAGCAGUAAGGGUUUGAUCCAAGCUAUACUCCUACACAUUAUGGACAGUUUAUUCAAGAUUAAAAAUAAUGAUUUUAGAUUUAUUAUUUUGUAAAAGUAAUUUUUUAGAAAACUUAUUUAAAAGUAGAAGAAGUUAUUUGAAACUCAUUCGUUAUAAAUUAAUUAAAGGAGUAAUUUGGACUUCGAAACAACGAGGUGCAGGCAUACCUCAAUUCGAAGGUAGUAAUUCUCGGACGAUUGAAGACUUGGAAAGAUUGAUUCAAGGUUAUAUUCAACUAUGUCUCGAGCAGCUUCAAGAAGACCUGAAAGUAGAAAGGGUGCCCAUUUCGUUGCUGUGUACUGAUUUACAACUGAAGUAUUAUGCCCUGGAGUCCCUGUUCUUCCACAUCCUAAUGACAACAACACGAAUUUGGUAGGUUCGUUUGGAUUCACAGGUAUGAAAUCAUAAUUUUUCUCCUCCAAUUCUUGCAUCACUUCAUUCACUGCAAGAAAGGCCUGCAUAUACAAAUUUUUACUGUAAAAUUAAACUUCACAUUAAUGAUACUAAUUAAUAAUUAGUUACCUGAAGACAUGUAUAUACUAGUUUUAUGUUAAUUGAAUUAUUUUUGCAUAAAAAUAUGAGCAAUGCUAUAUCUCUAGAAAAAUAACAUCAAGAAUUCUUUAAGAUCACACAUAAUUAUGUAUAUAUAUUUCCUAAUAUAACAUAAAACAUAUUGGUGUAUAUAUAGAUAGCAUUUUUUUUUUAAUUUAAGUAAUUUUAGAUACCAUGUUGUCACACAUAAUUAGCUUACAGGACUACUUGCAGCCAGAGCACCAUCAAUUAAAUUGAAUUCAUUAUCACCAUUCGUAAAGUUAUAGGCUGGUAGAAGAGUUGGUGCAGCUGAAGUCCCAAUGGCUAUAUCCGACAGUUUUGCAUUUAAGCUAGGAACUUUCUUCACCUGCAUACCAAUAAAGUUUCACAACAUUUUUCAUUAUGUAUAUACUUGAUCUCUUUCAUAAAUUAAGCGGUCUUUUACACAUCAAAAGUUAUAUUACCUUAAAGCUUGAGAAUAUAACUGGGUGAACUUGCAAGAUGUCGAAGGCAGGGAUUACAACAUUGGUCAAUGUGUCACUCAAACGUGUCUCUUGCAAUAUCUCGCGUGCUUUUUCAUGUAAGAACUUCCCGUCAUACUUUGGAAAAUGGCUUAUUAUUGGACUCCACUUUCUGCAAAAAUUUUAGUAGCAAGUUAUAAGAGAAAGUAUAUAUAUAUAUAUAUAUAUAUAUAUAUAUAUAUAUAUAUAUAUAUAUAUAUAUAUAUAUAUAUAUAUGGUGCUUACUAAAAGUUCAAUCGAUUGCUGUAUUAUGUUUUCUAUUGAACAUCAAUUUUAGGGUUUAUGGUUAGAUUUAAGGGAUGGUAGCCCCAAUGCUCGAGGCCAAAACCUCGGGAUCCAAGUUCGUUAACAUGCUCUAUAUCUUGAUCUAAGAAUAGAGAUGUAAUUGGAGACGAAUAAAAAUAUUAAGGGGGUGUUUGUUUCAAGGUGAAGAAUGACAUUCCUGGGAAUACAUGGCUAGGGAAUGAUUAUAUCCAUGUUUGUUAUGAGGUUGAGAAAAAAAUAUUCCUGGGUAUAAAGGUUCUUGGGAAUGGAGUAACUUCCCAUAACUUCUAUUUUUCCAUGAAUUUAUUCUCAUGUAAAGAGAUGGGAAUGUGCAUUCCCAUGAUAUUAUGCAUAGAUUUAAAAUAAAAUAAAAUUGUAACUUCCAAUUUUUUCUGGAAUGUCAAGUUAUUUGCCAAACACUUUUUUUAACAAAUACCCAGGAAUCAAAUUUUCAUAUUUUCAUUCCCGGAUAUGUUAUUCCUGAGAAUAAUUUGUGUUUCCCAAAAACACACGCCCCCUAAAGGACAUAUUUUGAAAUAUAUGUAUUAGAGACUAUAGUGAGAGAAGGAAAUUUCUACCUCAAACAUAUCCCGUCCAUAAAUUCGUCUCUACAUAUAUAAUUAAUUUUAUAUCCUUAUUUAUUAAUUUUGUUAGGUCUGCAGCAAUUUAACCUAAUCUUUUCCCGCUCAUUUGCUUUAUUAGGGUUGCAAUUAUUUAACCUAACAAAUUUCAUCUAAAAAAUGCAUCGCAUCAAUUUCAUUCCUAUCCUCUUGCCUUUUUUAUUUUGAAGGAAAUAUUUUCUACAUUUAUUUGAUGCUGCACGUUUGUUCUAGAAACUAUGAGCAUAUCAAUGAUCACGUUUGGUGCCUUCUAUUUUAUACCUUUUUUUGACAAUUUUUUGUACACUUUCUUUUUUAAGGAAAUAUUUUGUACACUUAUUUAAUACUAAAAAAAUGCAUCACACCAAUUUCAUUCCUAUCCUCUUGCCCUUUUUUUUUUACGUUAUUUUGUACACAAUACUAGAAAAAUUCAUCGCACUAAUUUCAUGCCUUUUUUUUUUUACAAUAUUUUGCACAUUUUUUUAAAACCAAUUUCAUGCCUUUAUUUCAUUCCUAUCUUGUUGCCUUAGUUGGUUGCGAUACGGUCAAGAGGGGAAAUAGUUUUAACAGUUGCUUCAUGUGGUAUAGCUGCAUUAUUAAUAUCAGGAGGUAGAACCGCACAUUCGAGGUUUGGCCUUCCCUUUAUUAUCGAUGAAUGCUCCACGUGUAAUGUCAAACCUAAUACCCCGUUGGCUCAGUUGGUAGUCCAAGCAAGAUUAGUAAUAUGGGACGAGGCUCCGAUGAUGCACAAAUUUUGCUUUGAAGCACUUGAUCGUUUUUUCAGAGACGUUACGAAGGAGGUGGAUAAGAGAAACAAAUACAUCCCUUUUGGAGUUAAAGUUGUUAUAUUUGGUGGAGAUUUUAGGCAGAUAUUACCUGUAAUUCCUAAAGGCACAAGACCAGUAAUCGUUCAUGCUACUAUCAAUUCUUCAAAACUAUGGAGUUAUUGUGAGGUUUUUACCUUGACUAAGAACAUGAGGCUUUUGUCUGGUGCGUCGGUAUUAGACAUUGAAGCAAAAAGACAAUUUUCAAAAUGAGUUUUAAGUAUAGGCGAUGGACGAAUAGGGGAAGACAAUGAAGUGGACAAGACCAUUGCUCUUCCGUCAGAUUUGCUCAUAGAAAGCGAAGGAGAUCCUCUUGCUGCUAUUGUUGACAGCACGUAUCCUAACAUCUUGGAGAGCAUGAGUGACAUUAGUUACUUUCAAAAUAGUGCUAUAUUGACAACAAAAAUUCCAUAUUCGAGAAGAUCAACGACUAUAUGUUGGACAUGGUUUCAGGUGAGGAGAAGGUUUAUUUGAAUUAUGAUUCACCUAUUCAUCAUAACUUAAAUGGUGAUCAUAUUGACGAUGUUCAUACACCCGAAUUCCUCAACACCAUCACUGCUUCUGAACUGCCUAAUCACAAAUUAAGGUUAAAGGUUGGUGUGCCAGUUAUGUUGUUGAGAAAUAUAAAUACACGAUAUGGAUUAUGCAAUGGAACCAGAUCAGUUAUCAUUAUGAUGGGAAGAUACGUCAUUGAGGGGAGGGUCAUUUCCGGAAGUAAGGUUGGUGAUCAGGUUUUUGUAUCCAGGCUAUCUAUAUCGCCUUCAGAUGUCAGGAUUCCCUUUAAGUUUCAACGAAGACAAUUUCCUUUGACUAUAUCAUUUGCAAUGACAAUUAACAAAAGUCUAGAGCAGUCGCUUAAACAUGUUUGUGUAUAUCUACCAACACCUGUAUUUUCUCACGAACAGUUGUAUGUUGCUGUUUCAAGAGUUACAUCCAGAGAAGUACUAAAGAUAUUGAUCACUGAUGAAGAUGGUGAAGAUACCAAUGUAAUGUCUAAUGUCGUAUAUGAGGAAGUAUUUCGCAAUAUGUGAUGAAACUACAUGCCAAUGUACUAAAAUUUCAUAUUUCUUUUACCGAAUUAUUGAUAGAAUUACCAAAUUUUCUUUUAUAAUAUUUUCAGAUUUCAUACAUUUUAUGAAGUGUUUUAUUUUGUCUACUAUGGAUUAUCACGUGUUAUUUUUUCACCGUUAUCAAUUGCAUAUUGCAUUUUAUUAUUCAUAUGUCAAUCACUUUACAAUAAACCCGAGCAGAGCACUUGUCAAAAAUCUAUUUUGUUGAUAUAAAAGGACAAUCAAAGACGGGUUUUGAACACUUUUUUUAUGUGUCUAAUAAUUAUUCCGUCUCUACACUACUACAAUAUAUUUUUUACAAUAGAAACGAUAUAAGUUAAACUUAAAUUAAAUUGUAGUAUAUUCCAAUAAAAUUAUAACCAGAUGCUUGAUAAUUUAUUUUGAAUUUCACUAAGCCAACCAUUGGCUAUAUCAAAUGAUAUUAAUGAUCAAACACACUAUUUGAGAUGAAUAUGAAAUCCGUAGCUUCUCUUAAGAAAAAAGAAAUUCGUAGGUUCUCUCAUUUGAAAUUAUUUACUAAAGUAUCAAAUAAUUUUUAAAUUUUAUGAAAACUUGUGAACUUAAUGUACUCAAACUUUUGAUUUUUUUUAUUUUUUUAUUUUAUGGUCGGGUUCAAAUCCUGAACCUUGCAUAUAUUAUGCAUUAUCUUUACCAACCGAACUAUGCUCACGAGGACCAAACUUUUUGAUUUGACAGUUGAUCAAUUUGAUGAAAUUAAAUGUUUAUAAUUAGCUAUUUAGCAAAGUAACUCGGUACAGAGUUAUUCUCCCGACUCCGGAGGCAACAUGUUCCCUUUUUGUGUAUGUGUCAAUAUUAUUUAUCGUUGAUUUUACAUAUAUUAUUAAAAUUGUUAAUUUAAAAAUAAUAUAUAAUAAUCCUCUACACCGCACCCAAACUAUUUUUGCUGGCUCAGCCACUGCUCUGAAGGCAACCUGUUCCCUUUUUGUGUAUGUGUCAAUAUUAUUUAUCGUUGAUUUUACAUAUAUUAUUAAAAUUGUUAAUUUAAAAAUAAUAUACAAUAAUCCUCUACACCGCACCCAAACUAUUUUUGCUGGCUUAGCCACUGCUCCGAAGGCAACCUGUUCCCUUUUUGUGUAUGUGUCAAUAUUAUUUAUCAUUGAUUUUACAUAUAUUAUUAAAAUUGUUAAUUUAAAAAAUAAUAUAUAAUGAUCCUCUACACCACAACUUGUAUUAAGGAAAUUAUGUAAUUAGUUUGUGUUGAUCUAGCAUGAAUAUGAAAUACCUAGCAGCAGUUUGGUUGAAUAUAGAAGGACCAAAAUCCAAGUAGAAUUGUUUGAUUUGUUCAGGAGAAAGUAGAGGACGAGAAGGGUCAUUUGGGUGAGGAGUAGUGAGCAUAGCAGCAAUGAGUCCUCCAGUGCUAGUCCCUGUUAUCACAUCAAAAUAAUCUGCAAGUGCUGCCGUUUCAUCAUUUGACACAUUCUAAUCAAACAAAUAUAAAAAUGUUAGUAAAAUUAAUAUAGGAAGCUCUUCUUAUAGGGAUUGUAUAGUUUUUAAUUUUUAAAUGUUCUUCCGAAGACAUGUUUGAAGCAAUAUAUGAAUCUCCUCGAUAAAAAUUUAGAUUUUUUUUUUUUAACAAAAGAUGAAUUAAAUAUGAAUUUUUCAAACAUCUAACUCUUAAAAACAAAAAAUAACUAAAAUAUAUAUCUUGGGAUAAAAUUUUGGGCAAUUAUUUUUUGCAUAGACUUCUAUCAUGGCACAUAGAGUUUACAUAUCCGCAAUGGUACCAUUCUGACAAGAUAUAUGUUUAUUUUGUUUUAUAUAAGGAGUUAAACAGUAACAAAAAAUAUUGUUGGACUAAAUGUCAAAAAUUUAAUAGAGGUUAUUAAAAAAAGACACACACACACACAUAUAUAUAUAUAUGGGUUUGCUAGGAUACACCCACUAAUUUUUAUUAAGGUGUGUUUUAGCAAAGAUAUAACUAAAAAGUUGUAAAAUACACCUUAAAGUGAAUGUUGCUAAAACACACCUUCUAAAAAAUAAGUGGGUGUAUGUUAGCAACUCCUAUAGGCAUUUGCUAGGAUACACCCACUUAUAUUUUAGAAGGUGUGUUUUAACAAAUUAUAACUAAAAAGUAGUUAAAUACACCUUAAGGUGUAGCUUGUUAAAACACUCCCACAUAAAAACUAGNNNNNNNNAUAUAUAUAUAUAUAUAUAUAUAUAUAUAUAUAUAUAUAUAUAUAUAUAUAUAUAUAAAUUGAUUACUGACUAAAGUAAGAGGGGGGAAAAUGUUAAUCUCCAAUUUUGUUAUUUCUAACACUAAGACAUUGGUAAAAAAGAAAAUAGAUGGAACAUGUUAAUAAAUAUAUAAACGAGGGAAAGAAAAUAGUUUCGUUACUUCCCUUGAUGCCCUGUCCAAUCUCCUAGCUUAGUAAAAAAAAAAAAAAUUAAAUAAUUGUGUUCAAUUGAUUAAUGAUAAUAAUAAAUUUUAAAUAAAGAAUUUUUUUCUUCAAAUUUUGGUUAAAACCAUUACCAUAUUUUACUUAUUUUUUUGGUCAAAAUUCAUAUUAACAUAACUAAAGGGUAAAAACAAGAACAAAAAUAUAUAAACGAGGGAGAGGAUUACCACAUGGUACUUCAAUUAAUGUACCCAAUAACAAAUGAAAAAUAUAUUUAAUUUCAAGCAGUUAUUACUUAUAAAAACAAUUAAAAUGAGUUCAAUUUUUAUACUACCUCCAUUCAAUUUCUUUUUAAUUGUCACAUUUUAACAUUUUACACAAAUCAAGACAAUCAACAAUUGAUACUAUUUUUGAUGCAAUAAGUUAUACUUUUACUAUAAUGACCUUAUUCAUUUAAUAUCUUAUUUUAUAUAUUUCUCUUUCCGCAAUAAAUAACUAAAGACAAUAUUGAUAAAACAAUAUUUAAUGUUGCAUUAAACUUUAAAAGUGACAGUUAAAUAUGAACAAAAAUUUUCCUCCCAAAAUACACUUAAAAGAAACAGAGGGAAUAUGAAUGAGUGUGUACCUGAAGAGCUUUUUCCAAGUUCCGAAGAAGAACAGUAGGAAGAAUUCCCUUAAUACCACCUCCAUCAAUGUUGAGAAUGGUUAUUGCAUUUCCAUAGGUAGGAGGUGGUAGCUUUGUAUUGAAUCCACCAAUCACCUGAUUAGCAAAAACAAACAUAAAUAAAAGAAGAGCACCCAUUAAAUAUAUUGUGUACUAAUUAAUGCUUUCAAGAGAACACAAUUGAAAGGACUUGCAUUCUUCAUUCCAAAUGUGAAGGGUAUUUAUAGGCAUUUCAUGUCCAUGAUGAAAAUAUUAAAAUUACACAAUGACCCCAAAUAAUAUUUCUUUUUUGGUUUUUUUUAGAGUUGUUUUAAACAUUUUGAAGGUCGUGUUUUAAUUUUAGGACCUCACAAUUUUGUACGUCAGAAUUGUUAUAUGUAAGAAUUUUUCUUUUGACUAGGUUAUAUGUAAGAAUUCGAACUCCUAAAAAUUGAUAUAUGUAGAAAUUCAUGCACUUAAACACCUUCGAUGCCUGAAAAUUUGAGAUUUAUUGUUUUAAAUAUUCUUUAAAUUUGGACUUUUUUUAGGCAAAAAAUUUACUAAAAUUUAAACCCUAAAACAGUUCUAUUUAAUGUUUUUAGGAAUUUUUUUACCCUCAAAUUUCGAGGCCCUAUGCAAUAGUCCACCUUGCGCAUGAGCUUAUUAGUAAAGAUUUACCCACAAAAUGAUUUUUAAUAUUCUUUAUAUUUACCCACAAAAAAAUGAUUUUUUUUCUUCGCAAAAUUAGUAAAGAUCCACCAUUAAACCAUUAUUAUUAAGAUGUUCAUAUUUGACAUAACACUAUAGUGGGGAUAAAAAUAAUCUAACGGAUGGACCAUCAAAAUAAAUUAUAAUAUAUAAUUGAGUUUGUCUAACAUAUGCAAUAUUGCACAUAUUAAGAUAACUAAAAAAAGUAACUUUUCAUUGAAAACAAAUAAUUAUUAAUUAACUGUUACAUAUUUAAUAUAAAAAACACAAGUUUUUAAUCAAAAUUACUACUUUAAACUUCUUAUCAUGUGCAAAUUUGCACAUGAUAGAAAAACCCUAUAUAAUUAAAUACGCAAAUCAUAUCUUUUUGGAAGAUGGGGUCAUUUUGGUUGCUGAAGCAUUCAUUGAGAAUAUUAAUGUUAUAAAAUUUUUCCUUGGAUAAGUCUAGUGUUUUUUUAUCUGAAAACAUCAAUGCUCAAGUGGCUUCUUCUCUCAGCAACAACCUUGAUAAGUCUAGUGUUUUUUCUCUGAAAACAAUAUCAAUGGUUAAAUCUUGUCUGAUAAGCCUAGUGUUUAUAGGUUAAAAAAAAAAUAUGGUUAAUGAAAACCAUAAUUUAUAUUUUAUGGUAUAAUAAUGGUAAAAUUCCAACAACCUGCAGCUUUAAAAUGAUAAAAAAAAAUGGAAGUGAUUUUUGAUAAAAAAAAAAAAAAGGCUAUUGAUAACCAUAACUUUUAGUAUAAUAAUCAUCAAACUUUCAACAACCUGCAACAUAUAGAUAUUAGAUACCAUUAUCAUGCAUAAUUAUGUUUCAGUUCAGUAGAAGUUUCUGAAUUCCAAUCCUGUAACAAUAGAAAUUAGAUUGAAAAUGAAAACCCUAAAUACAAAGUAAGAUAAAAAUCGAAAAUUGAUAAAGAAUAAAUAUGUACAUCAAAAUACCUAACCUUUCUUUCAAUUGUUCAAGUUUAUCGUUAAAAAAAUAAAAAAUAAAAUACAACAUGUUAGAACAUAGAUCGGAUAUCAUAACACUAACAGAGAAAAAAAAAUCAAAUAUGUAAUCAUGAAAUGAAGAAGUUGAAUAUAACUAACCUUUUAAGCAAUCAACCAGUGAUGAAGAUGACAAAGUGUUACACAAGUAAAACUAUCACGUUAGAACACUUAUGACCAACAACGAAAAAGAUGAGAUAGAAAGAAUAUGAGAGAGCGAUGAAUUAGAAACGGAUUUAUUGACAUAAGUUAAUUAUUUUUUUAUUAGAGACGGAAGCAAGAGACGCAGUCACAACAGUAUUUCGUGUCCACAUUCGUCUCUAUUGGGUCAAAUUUCUGUUUUUAUAAAGUCAACAAUUAUACGGAGACGACAUUUACAGACAUAAUUGUUCCGUGUCAAAUGAGCUUCAUCUCUAGUUCCAUCUCCAACUAAAAAAAUAAACUAUAAGGCAAUUUUUUCCACUAUUUUGGCUCCAAACACCUGAUUUAAUAAAAAGGAAAAUUUUACGGUGAAGUCAUGAGAAUGACUUUUCUGGUGAAGUUAACACUAUAACAUAAAAAAUGUAGUGAGUAACACAUCACUGUUUGUACAAUGACAUCAAAAGUUCAGUCCUCAUAGUAUCAUCAGUUCAUCAUAUUAACAAGAUUACACUUAAUCUAAUUUUAUCUUACCUUGUUUUAAGCGUAACACCCCACAAAGUGUAACACUUAAGACUAUCGCAUAAUAUCAUCAACUCUGUUUGCAUGUUAAAGAUUUUAACGAUAAAAUAGUACCUGUAAGUCCAAGAUGUUGCAAGUAUUACUAGAUGAAUUACUAUUGAUCAUUAAUCACUAAUCAGCAAUUUAAAAAUGAAUCAAACAACAAGAUCAAAAUUAACUUUUUUAAAAAAGUCAAUUUUCUGACUACACCGUAGAAGCUCCCAAAAUAAAAACACAAAAUUCCCUCCAAUAUUUUUCGACCAAAAACAGCAUCUCUCCAACAUUUUCCUCACAAAAGAAUACACAUAUUUAUUUAUUCUACUAAAAAACAAUUUAUUUAUUUAUUUAUAAACUAAAGAAUUUAUUAUACACUAUCAAUGCACACUUAUUUUGCACAUAUAAUCAAUGAUAUGUUGCCACGUUAAUUAAUAAAUAUGAAAAAACAUAAACUGUCAUAUUCAUUUAAUUAAUAUGACAACAAAUAAUUGGAUGCAUGCAUAAAAUAACUUUACACUCAUAUUUUACACUAUCAAUGUAUAAUAAUAAAACAAUACAGUAAAGCAAUAUUUCUUAUUUAGUUCAAGGUGCGUAGUGGUCACGAUAAAGGUGAUUGGAUUGGUAUAGACAACUUGAAACAAUUGAAGGUUAAAUGAGAAUAAGAGAAAUGGCAAAAAAAUUACAAGACUAAUAAACAAGGAUUAUGCUAGCAACACUCUCUUUUGAGCACUCUCUUUAGCACUCACUCUUUUAUUAGGUAAAAUUAAUGUAUGUCUCACCACUUUAUAUGGGUUCUAUUUCCAAAGUGUAGGUCUUACAUUGAUUUCACUCAAUAAAAGAGUGAGUGCUAAAGAGAGUGUUCAAAAUAGAGUGUUGCAAGCACUCAAAAUUGGGAGUCUAAAGUUGGACACAAUGUGCAUAAUGGAGGAUCCAUAUCCGCUACAGAACAUAAAAAAUAUUUAGUAAUUCUUUUUGUUUAAAUUACAAUUUAAAUAUAUUUAUACUGACUUGAUGUAUGUUGGUUAUGUUUUAGAGAGUGCAAUUGGAUAUAGGGAACCAACAUGGUUUCAGCUUUACGAAUGACUUCAUAGACCAAAAGGGAAAUCAAAUGAGUAGUUUAAUGAAACACAAGCUAAGAUAGUUGUAUGUAUACACUAGUUUUGAUUUUUUUUUUUUUUUUUUUUAUCUUUCAUAUAUUGGACAACUUUUACUUCAAAAAAUAAAAUAAAAUAUAUUGGACAACUUUAGAGUCGGAAUUUUUUUAAUUAGAAACUGUGGUUUUUGUAACAUCAUUAGAUUUAUCUCAUCUUUCUUUUAAACAAGAGCGACAUAUUUUAUUAAUUGGAGACUGAUUUAUUCCGUCUCUGAUCACAGACGAAUUUUAAAAUUAUGUAUCUAAGACCUUUGGGGUUAAAGACAAAAACGACAUACCUAAUUAUGUCUCUGAUUCUGUCUCAGACACGUGUAGAGACAAAUUUUUCUCAUUUUAGAGAUGAAUUUUUCCCGUCUCUAUUUACAAUUUUUUCUAGUAGUAGAAGAUCAUGAACAUGGCGAAUAAUGAAGUAAUUAGGGUUUGAGAGGGUUGAGAGAUGACAUACCAGAGAAAAAUAGAUGGAAUAGUGCAGUUGUAUGAACUAGGGUUUGUGAUAUUUUAGUAUUUGUAGUUAGGUUUAUGCUUGGUUGGGUUUUGGAAAAAAGGUUGGAUGUUAUUCGGGUUUGGCCAGAGGGAACUUCAAACUAGGUUGGCCCAAUAUGAUUUCACAUGGACAAGUUGAUUUUGGUUACAUUUUGUAGUAAUUCCUGCACCCAAAACCGCCUAGUGAAAGCCAUCACAAACCAUUGUUUUCACCCGCCUACUUGCCUAAACUAGUUGACUAGUUUGUUUACCUUUUUCUUCAACCAGGUCAGUUGGUUUUGGGUGGGCCAAGCUCAUUUGUCUAGCUCUAGUUGAAAGUGUGAACUAUCUUCUCUAAGUCUGUCCUAAUUGAAUGAAAGUGGUAAGUUAUUCAAGGCUACAAGUGGUACGAAAUAAGGAUCUGAGCACCCUUUCGGAAAGGUAUGUGAUUUUUAUUUUGUGCAAAUUCUAACAUUUGUCUAUUUGGUUACUUGAGGACAAGCAACAAUUUUAGUUCCGGUUUAAGAUGAAGCAUCAUCAUAUGAUAUUUUUAGCUAUUUUAUCGAGUACUUAUCUAAAUAAUUGAGGUCAUUCUAGAGGUUUUAGAGUGAGUUACUCAUGGUUUAGGAAAUGUUUUGUAAAGUUUUGAAUGGAGUGGCUGUAAUUCACUUUUUUUUUCUAUAACCAGACAACUUUAUAGGUGUUUUGAGUCUUUUAUGGUAUAUAUCAUGUAUUACACAAAGCAAGACAUGCAAUGGGUGUUACGGAAGCUAGAGAAUCAAACAUAAUGAAUAUUUGAAGGCAAAAUAACUUGGGAAAAUUAUGUCUCAAGCUCUCCUCAAGGAUAAAAAGUGCAUGAAGAAUAAAUAAAUAAGGGAAAAACCAUAUGGUCCAUGUGCCCCAUGCACGGACCUCGUGCACAAUAUGAACGCUAAAAGAGUAGAAGAAAAGACCAGGUUUAGAUUCAUGUGCCCUGCACAUGAGGUUCAUUUAUGUUGCACACGUUGCAGUUGAAAAAACAACUUUUUUUUUUUGCACCAUGCGUCUGGGGAGGAAACACCUAUCUAAAGUUUAUUUUGACCCAUAAACAUUCAUUCAUGAACUUCAUAGGCAAAUGAGUGCGAUCAGGGCAUCAUUAAAGGAUGUUUUCCCACCCAUUCCACUUGUUAUUCUCUAUGUUACUUUUCUUUUCUCUUCAAUGAUGUAUUCAUUUAUCAUGAGUUGCUAAACACUUUAAAUUAGAGCUUAGAGACGAGCCUCUAUUAUUUAUUGGGAAUUCCCAAAAACACAUUGCAAUUUCUUUUAUUAAUGAUAUUUUAAUUAUGUUUAUGUGUGUGUGUGUUAAUGUUGUUCAAACCUAUUUGAUAUUGAAUUGAUCCUAGGUUAGAAAUCUUCGAUUAGGUUUUCACUUUUCUAACUAGAAUCGGUAUAUUUUAUUUGCUCGAGUUGUUCGUUAAGAGAUUGGAAACUCUCCUCUUCUAUGACUAUGUUUAACAUUCUGAAAAGCUUGUGAGAAUUUAAGUUCCUACCACCAUAGCGAAGCAAUAUUGCAUGAAGGGGUCUAUGGAACCGUAACUGAAAUAGGCCUUACUUUGUUAGACGUGUUGGAACAAAAAUGUGUUUAACAUUGCCACCUUAAGUUUUGAUGAUAACAAGGUAUUAAAUGAUUGAUUAGAUAUGCUAAUAUUUGUUCAAGUGUGCAGGACCAUAGACUAAAAUUUAUAAGUCUUAAAAAAAGGUAAUGGUUUUGGAAGAAUAGAUGAGAGCAAUGAAAUUUACAAAGGAAGCUUAUGUUGCAAGUCUGAGUCUGAAGAAGUCAGAGUCUGAAGAACAUCAGAAGCUGACUGCCAGAGUCUGAAGUCAAGAACCUGGAGUUAGUUAAAUUUGGUUAUUUGAAGACACAAGUUUGUAGAAGGAAUAGAAGCCUGGGGCCAACGACUAUUUCAGAGGAAUUUGAAGGCAUUGGAUGGCAAAAGUUAUGGUGCAUAAGGAAAUCCUUAUGCACCGUGCAUAAACACUUUACAACCAUAAGAUCUAGUGUACACGUGUAAUAAUCCUAGGCUUCAUCUCUACAAUUCUCCCUCUCUCUCAAACAUUUCUCUCACUAAAACAUAAAGCUCUCCCUCUCUCUACAAUUCAGAUGAGUCUUCAUCUCUUGCGGCCACACAUGAUGAUUCCAGCACGGCGGCCGCCGGUGGCACCACUGCUCUGGAGUUCAAAACUCCGUCCAAAUAAAAAAAAAAUUCAUGGUUUUAGACAUCCUUUUUUGUGUUGAUUCCAAAUAUCGCCUUAGAUUUCUGAAGAAAAAAAAAAACUCACACGAGCGUAGAUCUACGAGUAAAAAAACGGAACAAAAAGAGAAAAUGAAACUACCUCUUGUUCUUCAUGGAUCCGUUUCGCGUUUUGGUCUUCUUCUCUGAUCCAGUUCGGAUUUGUUGUUGUUGUGUUGAAAUGUUGUUCCGAUCCGGUUCGAAUCUUGUUGUGGUAGUCUGUACGAACUCUCCUUGUACCUCUUCUAAACCGAUUCUAGAUGUUCUUCUUUAUGCGGGAACGACGCGGCUUUGAGUUAAAACCAAUUCGUCGUCGUACAUAACGACAUAUCUGAACUUAUUUAUGGAUUUUUUGAUGAAUUCGAGAGUGGUAGAUGAUGUUUAUGUGAUUUUCUAUGGUUUAGUGUUCAUGAGGUUCACAGUUUUAGAUCUGAAACUGCUGAAAACCAUUAAGUACAUCUAAUGGUUUUCCACAGCAAAAUGGUUUUGGCAUUCCGGUACGGUGAUGUUGACGAACGACGGUGUUGAUGAUGAGAUUGAAGAUUCUGGAAACCAUUUCCACAGCAAAAUGGGUUUGGAGUACAACUCACAGAAAUCAUUUCCACAGCAAAAUGGUUUUGGCAUUCCGGUACGGUGAUGUUGAUGAACGACGAUGUUGAUGAUGAGAUUGAAAAUUCCAAUGGUGAUGAUGAACGACGGUGAUGGUUCUGUUUGUUUCCGCGUUUGGUUCGUUUUGUUUGGUUUCCUUUUGGGGGUGUAGGAAGCAAUUAUGUUGGGAUUUAUGCACGGUGCAUAAGGAUUUCCUUAUGCACCAUAAUCGAUGUCGAGAUGCUUAUCCACUAAAGAGCGCAGGAAAAGGAUAAUAGUACAAUUGUACAACCACUGCUCCACUUUCAUGUCUGCACACAGUACUGCUACAACUGUGUCUACGCUGGUUAAUUCUCCAAACAAUGAAUGAAUUUCAAAUUAUUCCCUCCUAUGACAUUAACCAAAUCAAGAAACAGAUCAUUGGUGAUGAUCAAGCUUCAACAACGACUCUUUUAAUGUGUUGGCACUUUUACAACGUAUCUCUCAUAACUCUAUAUAAAGGAAUGAAGACUUGAAGAUUUGUAGAGACUCAACAACAGUUUACUUGUGCCAAAUGCUGAAAUUGUUGCACAUCAGUUCACUUAGAAUUUCUUAUAAACUUUCAUAUAUUAGAAAUUCUAAAGUCUUAAGAGUCUGUAUCUGAUUUGUAUUGUGAACAUCACUGAUUGUAUAUCAAGUGUCCAAACCAAACAUCUUUCUGUGUAAUUUUGUUUGUUUAGAAGUCUUUUGCUUCUGUGCUUGAGCAUAUAGGAAAUCUCUUGCUUGUGUGCUUGAGUAUUUGAAGUCUCUUGCUUGUGUGCUUGAGCAUUUGUAAUCAGAUUCUGAUUUUAGUGAACUCUCCUUGGAAGUGCAAGAGGGACAGGACUACUUCCGGAUUGUGAAAGUAACCUUAAUAAUUUUGCUUGUGUCUUUCUCUUCUCUUUCUCUAUCUUUACUUUAUCCGCUGCAUUAGACUCUGAACAUUGUUCAAGAAUCUGAACUCUAUCAGACUCUGGACUUAGUUUAAAAAAGAAGAAAAAGCUAACACAAUUCAACCCCCCUUCUUGUGUUUUUCUCACCUUCAAGACGUCGUAAGCUUAAACCUCAAAUAAUAUUUAAACUAGCAACAUGUUCUAUUCAACAAAAACAUAGAAGGUAUUCAAAGAAUCCAAAUCGAUGUCAUCUCUCUAUUUCAAAACCCUUUAUUUUUAUUCACAAAUAACCAAUCCAACAAACUUCCUCCAAUUUACUGUUUUUAUUUAUAAGUUAAGUUAAUUGUGUAAUACCAAAAACAACAAUUCAUGUUUAAACGACAACAUACUACUUUAUUACUUGAAAAGGUUUUGUGCACUUGCCAAAAUUUUCAUCAAUCUUCAAUAAAGAUCUAUUAGAAAAAGUUAUGAACAUGAUUUUUAAGCAUAUUGCAGUAUCCCUCUUAAAUUUUUUAUUAGAUCAUGUUGUACGACAUUCAUGUUGUCCUUAGCUCAACUUGUUUUGAAAUAGAACUCAUUGUAAUAUCCUCUCAUGUGAGGGAAAACAAAGAAAUCUAUCUUUGACUUUGUAACACGCAAACACAAAUUCAACCUUUGUUGUGACCGGUCUGGUGGUGGCAAAAAUCAUUUUGUUUAAAUGGUCAUUUGAAGAUACGUUAAACACACAACAUCUCACAAGAACAUGUUAGGAGCUUUGAGAAGGCAAGGUAGAUUCAGACUAAGUUAGGAACAUGUUGUUAACUAGUAUAAAAAUACUGUGGGGUUGGUUUCCUUUCACUUUCUCUCUAUUUUAUUUAGAUGCACAAAGUUAUUUGUGUUUUAACUCUAAAAUGUUUAUUUUCAAUAUAGGUGAAUGAUUUGUUAAAAAAGAAAUAAUCAUGUGUUAUGGAAAAAAUCUAUUAAGAAAGAUUUCAACAAAGAAUAUUUCAUAACUUGAUUCAUGCAAAAGUUUAAAAUAGUCGAAAUAAUUCAAACCCCAUUUUUGUAUUUCCUUCACCUUCAUUAAGGUGGCCCCUAAUGUCUAUCAUAUAAAAAGAAAACAUGAUUAGAGUUUUUCUUGUUUUUAAUAUUUAGGAGCGGUUCAAGCUAUGAAAAAUAGGGAAAUUUAAAGUACUCGGAGCCGCCACUAAAGAUUAUCUUUUAAUCCAAUAAAAUUAAAUUUUGCUAUAAUGUGUUUGCAACCACGCCAUUGCUUGUAAAAUAUAGAGGUUUGCAUGUAAUGUUGAAUUACUGGUCAUUUCAAUUUUUCUUGUUAAUAAGUUUUUUUUGUUAAUCAGAAUCUCCUCCAAGAUUUAUUAGGUCAUCUGCUAUUAGAUUUUUAUUAUCGGGUCAUCUAUCAUUUAUGUUCACGGUCGAGAUGUUCAGUCCUAGACGUGAGAGAGUGUGAUUAAGAGUCUCAUAUCAAAUAAGAGAUGGUAUGAUAAUGUAUUUGUAAUCGAGGACAAUCUUCACCUCACAAAACCGGAUUAUUUUAUCCGAUAUGAGAGAUUUUACGAGACCUAUUUAAAAGUAGUAUACACAACAUUAAUAGAAGGUAUAGUUGUAAAACUUUAUAUUGAAAAGUAAAUAUAACAUUCAUUUUAAAAUAAUUAUUUUUUGUCGAAGCGGAUGGAAUACUUUUAUAUGUAUUUUCGCCUUUGUCCUCGUGAGCUUAUCUGAGUUGGUAUGAACAAUAUAUAAUUGGUAUGAACAAUAUAUAAUAUAUGCAAUGUCUGAGGUUCAAACCUUAACCACCACAAAAAAAAAAAAAAAAAAAAAGUAUUUUCGCCUUUGAAGACCAUACCUCAUUAACCAAAUUUACCAAACUAGUGGCAACCAAAUGAAAUGGCUUACUCUCCCUAGCCUUCCAUUUCAUGUAUCGUCAUUGCCAAUACCCACAUGUGCCUUCAAUGCCCAGCCAACUACUCACUCCAUAUAUGGCAUAUAUCAUGCCAAACAUGCUUAGCAAAAAUAUCUAAAUGCUUGUGGUACCAAACAAAGAUAGAAAGUGGUACUAAACAAAGAUAGAAAGUGGUACCAAAAAAACAUAAAUACCUCUCAUGUGGCUAGUAGGCUCCCACAACGUAUAUGAUAUUUUUUUAUUUUGAAGGAAACGUAUAUGAUAUAUAUACCUCUCCUAUGCAAUUAUAUCAAAAUAAAUAAAGACCUCUCCUAUCCAGCAACAAACGCCAAUAUAUAGAGUUAAAUGUGUUUUAAGUUUCUAUUAAAUUUUAAGCUUUGUUUUUGUCUUCAUAAAAAAUCACAUUAGUCUCUGAAAAAGUAACAUACAAAUAAUUUUAGUUUUAUUUAACAUAUUUUUAAAUGAUUUUUUUUCUACAAAUGUUUUAGAACAUUAUAAAACACUCAUCUACAUUCCAACAAAAAAAAAAAAAAAACACUCAUCUACCAAAAUUUAGAACUUUUAAACAGGGAAUGAGUUAAAUAUGAAUUUUUCAAUCGCCAGAACUCAAGAUAAAAAAAAAAAAUCUUUGACCUAAAAAUCUAAUUUUGAACUCGUUUUUAGUAGAGAAGCUUUUUAUAAUAUCUUAAGUCUUAACCAUGUUUAUUGUAAAGCAUCCGAAAAUAUAAGUUAACUUAACAACAAUAACUAAAAUUAUUUGCUGGAUAAUUUUGUUUGGAUUAAAAAAUGUAAUUUUUAAUGGAAACAAAAAAUAAUCUUUAUACUUUUGUGGGGACAAAAAACAUAACAAAUAUUUUUUUUUUGGCUAAAAUGCAGUUUUGUCCCUUUAAAUUUUUCAAUUGGUUGAUUUUAACCCCCUAAAUUUCAAUUGCUCUAUUUUAGUCCCCUUAAAUUUACCUCAUCCAUACUUGGCUGAUGGUUGUUAUUGUUAGGGUUUAGAGUUUAGGAGUAUUUAGUAUUGCAAAAUUCACAUGUGAAUCCUUAACCUCCAUUGCUUGGUAUCCUUCAUAUCAUUCACUCUUAUUUUGAUUUGAAACCAUACCUAGAAUUGUUCAUUUCAUUCCAUUUGGUUAUUCGAUAAAUAAACAAGUAACAUUACGAGGAGGAUUCCCUGUCAUUAAAUAGUUACACAUUGUCGGCAGAAAAUAACAAAUGUGUUGCAGAGAGAUUUGCAUAAAAAACAAGACGAAUUUUGCGUGAAACACGUUCAGAAAUUGAUUUGUAGAGAGAAUUGCAAGCAUUUAUGUUUUGCACGUGGUUUGACAGGAUAUAUGGAGUGACUAAUUGGCUGGUCAUUAUGUACAUAUAUAGUGAUUGACAAGGAUACAUGCAAAUGGAAGGCAAAGGAGAAAGAGAGAGUCCUGGAUUACAAAUUUGAAGUUUAUUGGUGCUUUUGGAUUUUGAAUCCCUAAUAGUUUUGGAGUAUUGGUUGUGCGCUAAAUGAAAGCAACACUUGUUCAUCUCUUUUGUUGCUUUGUGACUUACUCCAAACUCCACUUUUUAAAUACAUUCAAUAAUUAAUUUACCUGAUCUUUAUUAUAGAUCGGGUACAUUAAUUAUUCAAUAUAUCUAAAAAGUAGAGUUUUAUUUAUAAUAGUAACAGGAGAUAGCAUAUGGUAAACACUUGUUUGGUCUUAAUUUGAACAUAACAUAUGGAUGGUAACUUUUAAGAGCAGCGGAAAUCAAUCAAUAAUUAAUAAGUUUAUGCAAGGCUGGCCUAAGGGCCAAGUAAUUCAAGCAAAGGUUUUAGGCCUCAAAAUUUUGAGUGAAAAAAAAGGCCUCUAAAAAAUUAAUUAAUUUAUAAGUAUAUUAUAUGACAAAUAAAUUACAGACAUUUGCAUAGCUUAACUGAUUACCAAAAAGAUCUCAAUUACUCUUGGUCAUGAAUUCAAUUUUUGGUCUCCACAAAAUUGAUUUUAUAUAAAUAUUAUGUUAAAAAAGUAAUAAUUUUAAAGGCCACAUUAAAUUUUUUGCUUUAGGCAUCUUAAUUUGUUGGGCCGGCCCUGAGUUUAUGUUAAACUUGUAACGUUAUAAGAUUAUCAUGCAAGAGAAAGAGUGAAUUUGGAUUGCAUUUUUUCUGAAAUUUUUAUGAAUAGUUGGGUCUUUGGUUUUUGUUGAUGAAGAACUUGUUUUUGUUAUGGCUGGUUUUUUUAAUAUUUUAUGUAAAAAAGGAUAAUAGUGUUAACCCUUAAAAAGAUAAAGCAUUAAAAUGGGAAAAAAAAUAUAAUGUUACUUAAAAUUAAGUUAAUAGACUAUUAAUAUAAUUUUGCAUAUUAUUUAUUAAGGACAAUUUUAUAAAACAAUUCAUAAUAUUUUUUUCACAUAAAAUUAAUUAUAUUUCUUAAUACGUGUUAAAUGUUCAAAACUUCAUAUAAUUUGGAACAGAUGAAGUAUUAAUUAUUUAUUACUUCAUUUUUGGUUAUAUUAGAAAUCAUCUAAACAUACAUUUGAAAAUAAAUAACACUCCGAGUACACAUGACAUCUCACAAGCAAAUACAUGAGUAAUUUUACAUGUGGCUCUACAACAUUUUUUUUGAUACAAAACAAACGACGUUCAUUCAUUUAAAUUGAUAGAGUACAUCGAUGCAAUACAAAUUCGCUAAAAACAAAAAUGAUGAAUUUGUGAACAAACUCACAACAUCAAUGUUAAUAACAUAAAACGACAAAGUACAUAAGCCUACAUAUGUAACUACAUUAAAAUCUCUGGAAUAGUCCUGCCUCGGGAUCUGCAACGUUGAUGAGGCCAAAGUCAUUGGUUGGAUCUGCACUAGAUCAAAGCUGAUUUGACAAUCUGAAUCGAACAACCACCUGAACAAGGAAAAAGAUAAACAACGUCGCACAAAGAUGACAAACAAAACAACGUCACACUAAGACGACGAAAUCACAAAAGGAAAACCUAAUUCGAUGUGAAAAUCACUUAUUUAAAUAAAAGAGAAGGAGAAAAAUGAUUUAGAGCGGUGAUUUGGGGUCAAAAAUUGGCCCUAAUCCACCGCUCUUUGAUGGAUGAAGGAGAAUAAUUUAGCUGACGACUCACAACAUUCUUAAAAUUCAAAUUACAUUUUAUACAAGCAAACAAUUACUACCAUAAAUUCGUGAUCAUUAUAUUGACAAUUUAAAAUUUGAUUUAUCCUCAUUUAUAUCGCAAUAAAUGAAUAAUUAAUCAUAUAUUGUUAAGCAAAACAAAAUCAAAAGUACUAAUAAUUUAAUGCAAAAAUCAACAUAAUGAUACUACAUUAACAAAUAAUUUUUAUUUUACAAAAAAACAAGUAAGUAUUGUUUUCUAUUACAACCUUAUUAAUAAUUUAAUGCAAAAAUCAACAUAAUGAAACUACAUUAACAAUUGAUUUUUAUUUUACAAAAAAAACAAGUAAGUAUUGUUUUCUAUUACAACCUUAUUAAAUGAAUAAAAAAAAUUGGGUUACCAAAUCCAAUAUAUAUAUGGUUAUAAAUAAAUGCAUUGAAAAUCAUAUUUUUUAAAAUAUGUUGAUUUAGAUAUUAAUAUGAAAAUCUAAUGUGGUCAUGAUUUUUUUUAACCUUUAAUUAAAAAAAAUUAAAUUUAAAUUAUAUGAAACAAGGACAAGUGUAUGAUGCAUUAUCAAAAGUAAGUAUAUUUUUGUUAUCGUCUGCAUAUGGACUAGUGCAAUAUUCAAGCUGUUCAACAAUUAAUAUUUGUUCUAAUGGAUAGAAUUUCAAUGUGUUUUGUUUCAUAAACUAGGAAACGAAUAAAAUGUAAACGGUACGAGAGUUAACAGAGAAAUGAGUAUGUUGGGAUUGUAUCAAUCUAUUUCAUAUAUGUAUUCUUAUGAUUAGUAUUGCAGUUUCUAGUUCUCACUUGAUAUUCUCACGUAUUGCUCGACAAACAUUAUUUAUGUCUAAAUAAGAUUGGGGGUUCAAUCAUAUAGGUUAAUCGACGAUUUUUUGACCUAUAAACUAUAACACCCCUAAAACCCCACAUAUUAUUUUAUAAUAAAAAUACAUUAAAAAAAUUAAACAUGCAAGGGUGUCACACAUCUUCUUCAAUAAAAAUACUUCAUUUAAAAUAAAAACAUCGCAGCGGAAAAGUUCUCAUAACAUCAAAGUGAUUUUUCACAUUUAUAAUUCCAAAUCAAAACUGAUUUCAAAAGAUUUCUAAAGCCUAGUCUAAAAUAAAAUAAAUCCUCAAUCCUUAGCGUCACAUAUUUGAGCAUCGACUAGAUAAAGACUCACAAAUGCGAUAAGUAAACGAGUAGGCUCCAAAACCAUCCUCAGAGACUCACUACUACUAAACUUCUUCUAUGUCCCUAACUCGACUCUAUAUGCAUGUGGUACCGGUUUUGGAUAUCAGAAUUAUCUUAUUGAUUUAUCCCCCAUCUUUAAACACAUGUUUAAAUCGGACUAACCAUGAAUGCAUGAACACCAAAUAAUGACUCAACAAAUGCGCAUCCUUAAAUGAUUAGAAAAAUACACAUCUUUAAAUGACCCGACAAAUACACAUUUAAAUAGCAUCAUCAUCAAAUAUCACAUCUUUAUAUAACACAUCUAGUGUUAUAUAAAUUGGCAUACCCGCCAUCUUAGUGAAUUGAAGAAAAUGUUGUCGAAGCUCACCAUCAAGCACAAAAGAAAUGCCUAACCAAUUACAAAUAAGAUGUGUGACACCCUUCAAUAUUUGUUAGAUCCUCGCCCUUUGAGAGUCUCUCUAUGUUUCUUUGUUUUCCUCUCCCAAAAAAUGACAUAAUCCCUGCUGGAAAUGACUUGGAUGGAAGCAAUUUAUACCAUUUUUGAAAAGUGAUUGCUCAUUGUGGUCAUGCCCAUGCCACUGCUCGCCGUGGCGAGCGAAGCUUUUUUCAUCAGUGGAUUUUUGCCACAUCAGCACUGGAGCUGUCAAAACCUCCUUAGCUCGUUGUGGUGAGCUCAUUCUUUCUCGACCACACCUUAUUUUUCUGAUUUUCUUUUCUUUCUGACUUGCUUCGCCAUGACCACGCCCAGGCUCGCCGUGGCAAAGAUAGAUAUAAACUAUAGACUACAUCUAGAAAUAAAUGUUUUCCUCAACAAAAAAAAUCUAGAAAUAAAUGUUGAUGAUGCGUCUGCAAAAAUUAUAAAAAUAUUUUGCAACCAUGCCAAAUACCUUCACUCUCAAUUUUCAAUUCUAAAGGGAAUCAAAGAUUUGAGAAAUUAUUUUCAGUUUUUAAUUCUUAUCCUUGAGUCAUAGAAAUUCUUGAGUCAAUUCUUAGAAUUUUGCUCUUCACUCAGCACAUUUCGCUCGCGCCCUGCAUGUUUUCCAAAUAUAACCCUGUGUGAGUUAAGUCACGUUGCGUGACUUAACUCACGCACCUCACAAGCUUUGUGUGACUUAAGUCACGCACCACCGAGCCUCUGCGCGAGUUGACUUGCGCAAGUUGGCCGGUGGUAAAAACUGAAACACAAACGUUUCUGGGACGGUGGUCAAUGCUUUUGAUUGGUUUUUACACAUUUUUUUUAAGUUUUUCACACGUUUUUGGACCUUAAUAAGUAUUAUCUACCUUAUACCACCUAUAAAAACCCUCACAUACUUCCUCUUUUCCUCACAUUUUCUCCUCCCACUCUCUCCCCCUCUUUCUCUUCUCCUUCUUUGUUUCUAUAGUCUCUAGAGUCUUUAUACCCCUUUAGGUAAAUACCAGUGGCUUUUGAGGGAAGUAGUGGUCCGUUAGGUUGGGAAAAAAGACAUCAUCCCUUGAGGUUAAAUUAGGUUUGCUUCCUUUUACUCCCAAAAUCUUUUUACCGUGGAUAAAAAGAGUCAUCAUGGGGCAUAAAAGGAACCAAAUUUAAAUUUAACUCAAGGGAUCUUGAUGUCGUUUUCCCCAACAGGACGGAUCACUUUUCCCCAAGAGCUAUUGGUACAUACCGAAGAGGGUAAAAUAUAUGUAUUAUAUAUUGUAAUGUUUGAAUCAUAUUAAUAAAAUGAGAGUUAUAUUUAUUAAUUUUGUUUUUUAUUUGUAUUUAUUUUUGCAUUUAUUUUAUGUUUAUGAUUAUGUAUUGAAUUAAUAAAUAUUGAAUAAAUAAAAUCGAUUUUAUUUUCUAAUUUUGUAUUUAAUGAAUAAAUAAAUUAGAAUAAAAUCGAAUUUAUUUUAAGUUCAUAAAUAAAUUAGAAUAAAGUGACCAAAUAAUUUAGAAUAAAGUAAAUAAAAUAUUUUAGAAUAAAUUAAAAAAAGUAGUCACUUUGCGCCACUUAACGUGCACAAAGCUACUUAACUUGCAUACUAGUUUACACUUGCGCUAGUUAACUAGCGCAUAGGUAUUUUGAGUAUGGCUGUAAGGUGCGAGUGUAUUGUGCUGGGUGAAGAGCAAAACUCCGAUUCUUAUCCUUAAUCAAUUCCAAAUUUCUUGAAUCAAAUAUCACGGCCCACCUUGGACCGUGAGUGGCUCUGCCACUGGUUGUCACCGGAUCUUGUACUAUCUCAUAUACUACUUGUUCUAUCUCUAUCAAAUAUCACGGCCCACCCCAUAAAGUAAAUUAAUUAUAAGUUUAUAAAAUGUCAAAAGUGUUGCUAAAAAAAAAAAAAAAUGUCAAAAGUGCUUGAUGCUUCAUCUAAUAACUUUGAUUUGAACAUACAAUAAACUUUAAUAAAAGAAAAACUAUAACUAGUAAUAUUUUCAACUAUUCGAUUACAUAUAAUUGUCGAAUUCUACUGAAUAAUUUAUAAAAUGUCAAAAGUGCUUGAUACUUUGUUAAGGGCAUGUUGUUUGUAUCAGACUUUGGAUGAUUUAUCACGUUAGCACAUCUUGUGCGGGGUGAAUCAAUUCUAUUUUGAGUAAUAUAUUUCAUUUUGAUUUGUUAAAAAAAAAUACUUUGAUUUUAACAUACAAUAAACUUUUAAAAAAAAAAAAAAAAAACUAUAACUAGUAAUAUUUUCAACUAUUCGAUUACAUAUAAUUGUCGAAUUCUACUUAAUAAGUUUUUCUAAUUUUUCUCCUCCAAAGAUUUCAGGUUCGAUUCCCUCUGAUAUCAAUUUCAGUGGGCUAAGUCCAUACAGAAUUUGUUCUGGCUUUAAACGGGGCCCCCAUAAGUGGGCGGUAGGAUCGGUCCCUUCGGAUUAGUCGAUUCUUAGAUCGAAUACCGAAUUUUCAAAAAAAAAAUAUUUUUUUAAAAUUUAUCGAUUGGAUUUACACCGAAUUAUUAGGUAGUGUAACUCUAUGCAUAGUGGCUCUUGGAGAAAUCUGGUGGUGUUCCCUCCUCUAUAUAAAAUAAGAGAACAAUUUAAUUAUACAAGGCACUCAAGGUAAAGGAUUACAAAGAAAAAAUAUAAAGGAAAGGACCAAAUUCAUUUUUAUAUAAGCAAAAGUAUUACAAGGAAUACCAAGUAAAACAAAAUCACGCCAAGACAUAAUACAAUUGAAAAGAAAACUAGAAACACUCAUUAUACAAACACAGAUCCAUUGUUUAAUUUAUUUCAAACCAUGCAUAGAGAACUUGCAACAUAGUACAAGCCUACGUACUUAUAAAUGCAUGCACAUAUAUGCACUUGUCAUCUAUUUCAUUCCAGACAUUAGAAAAGGGGAUGCAAUAGCUUCAGUAAAUGAUCCUCCUGUUUUUUCCAUCGAUUUCCUUUUCAAACGCAGCUGCUUUUCAUUGUAUAGAGUUUCAGCCAACCUUCAAAAAUGUCAUCACAUAAUUACUAUGUAUGAUUUAAUCCUUUACCACGGUGUAUCAUAUCAAAUAAAUAUCAAUAUAAUUUUAGUUAAAGUGCACAAACCUUUCAAGAGCCUCAGCAUUUGUACCCUCACUUGGUUUUUCGAGUGGGAGAAAGGAAUUUAUAUCUAUGACCUUAACAUUUUGUUCAAGUAAGUCCUUUCCUGCCUGUAUCAGAUUUUCCAUGCUUUCUAUGGUAACAUUAUCAGCGCCCAUGGACGGGUCCAAGUUAUACUCCUGCACAUUAUGAGAUAAAAUAAUCACCACAAUAGUCACUAAAAAAAAUUCUCCAGAAUGAAAUCCGGGCAAACCAUGUAUCUUAUUUUUUUAGAUAGAUGAAAUGACAAUAAUUAUUGAACACUAACUUACUUUUUCGUCAGUUACGUUGAAUGUGAACUUGUGAGCCAUGCAUAUAUACUCUCAAUGGUAAUUGAAAAAAAAAAAAUUAUUUUCUUAAAACAUACUUAUAUUAAGAAUUAUGAAAUAGGAUUUAUGUUAAGCAAAAAAUUAUACUCCUAUUAAGUGGAGAAGCACUAUGACCCUUGUACUAAAAAAAGAGAGAAAGAGAGAGAGAGAACGCACUAUGACCCUAAAUAAUUACAUGGUUUUAUAAUUCUCAAAUAAAUAUGAAAAAAAAUCUUUAGAUAAAUAUUUUUAUAAAAGAUUCUAUAAUAAUGAUCAAUUUAUUUUUAUAUAGGCCAGCAUGGCAAGCUACCCCUCCUCUUGAUCUUAAGUGCGAAGAGAAAUAUCUCUUUUUUAUGACUUCCACUUAUCUAUCGAUCCCGGCCCGGAAAAGUGACGACCAGGGCCCUAUUUUUGAAUGAAAUAAAGGCUUUAUGAGCCCUAGCCCUGUAAGCCCACACCUGUGUAGAGUAGAUCGCUCAACACCUUCGGCACAAACCCAUUCUUGACAUAGCUUUAGAAGAACUCCCAAGGUUAAACAAGUACUGCUUGACCUCCUUCUUAAAGAGAGGCAGAUUGGACUUGGAUCGAUCAAUUGAACAGCCCUAAGAUAUGAAUGAUAGCACGUAACAUACCAUUCUCGAGGUACAACAGACAAUUUGAUAUUGGCUGAUGUAUAUGAACUAGAAGGGCUUACGACAAAUAGGCUCUUUGAUGGAAUAGUAGAUGUUGACAUUUCCGCUACUAAAGGAAACAACAAUAUUAGAUUUCUAAGCUGUAAGGAUGGCUUUCUUUUGAAGAGUUUGAGGAGCAAAAGCCACUCCACCAACGAGAGAGGAGCAAAAAGGGUAUUUCCUCGAUGGGACGAAAGAUGCAAAGAGCGCAAUUUCUCAGAGAUAUAGUUAUUGGAUUUCUACUGCACACUCGUAAAUUGAGGUGUAUUGGUUCUAUUGUUUUCUAAAGCUAUAAAUUAACGAUCAAUUUUUAUGAAAUAAAAAGAUAUUUUUCAACUUUUAUAUUUAGGAAAAUAUGGCAUCAUAAGAAAAAGCAUCAUUUCAUUGCUUAUAAGAAUCAUAUUAAACUUUUGGUAAAAUUAAUGCAUGGGUCUUUUAUCUCAUUUAUUUGUAACAGUUGAGUCCUUUAUCUUUUUUUUGUCAAGUUCAAAUCAUUUAUAUCUAAAUGUUUGCAAGUUAGUACUUUUUUCAUUAAAAUAAACAUUAUAUGAUUAUUAGGGUUGAUAUUUUCUAGUGUUUUGAUUUGAUUUGAAUUUUAUGGAUUUGAAGAAAAAUAUGAUGAUGGUGAGGAUGAUGAACAUAUGAAAAAGAAGAUGAAAAUUAAUAAAAACUAUUUUUAUGAGUCUUUUUAACGAUAAAAAUUAUUUAUAAUAAAAACUAUUACUAACAACCAUACGUGGCAACCACCUCAACGCUUUUUUAAUAAAAUAAAUAAAUAAAUGACUAACUUGUACGUAGGGAUGAGAAUAGAUUAGGUCGGCCUACAGGAGCCUACAGCCUAGCCUACGACAGAUCAGGCCAGGUCAGACUUUUUUCUUAAAUAGAUAAGGCCUAGGCUUUUUUAGAAGUCUAUUUAGCUUAAAAGGCUAGACCAUUCAAAAAGUCUCUUAGGCCUAUUAAACCCUAAUUAAGUAAAUAUCAAUAUUAUUUCUUAUUAUUAUAUUAUAUUUUGUACUUUGAAUUAAAAUAAAAAUUUGAUAACUUUUUCAGUAAUUUAAGCUUAUUACUACAAAUUAAUUUUUUGCAUAUUUAAACGUAUUAUUACAACCUACAAUUGUUAUAUGAUACAAUAUAUAGUCAAAUUCUCUAAAAACUCGUGCUAAUUAUCAAAAUAGAGUUUAAUCUAAUUGAUAUAUUGGUUCGCUAGUCUAUUUAAACUUAGAUCACAUUGCUUAUUUAAAGAUUUUCAUAUGAAAUAGGUUUUUAAACAGGCUAGCAGACCGUAUCAGAUUUUCAGAAGGUCAGGCUUAAGCCUAGAAAGUAAGCCUAUGACAGGCCGCAGGCCAGACUCAGGCCUUGCAAAGCCUAGCUUGGCCAAGCCUAUUCUCAUCCCAACUUGUACGUGUUUUAACAAAUAAAGGAUUUAGCGGGACAAAAAAAUAAGAUAAAGGACUCGAGUGUUACAAAUAAAUAAGAUAAAAGCUUUGAAUGAGACAUAAAAUAAAGAUAAAAGACUAAAAUGUUAUAAAUAAAUAAGAUUAAGGACCUCUGGAGUAAUUUUGCCUAAAUUCUUUUACAUUUUAUCAUUAAAAAUAAUAAAUUUUCUCUAUCAUGAAUAGUAAAAAUUCAGAAAAAAUGAAUUUUAUUUCGCCGACUUUUUUUGCUAAAUAAAGUUUAGUUAUUUUAAUUGUAAAGAUUUAGUGUACCAUAUUAAUUUUUAGACAACUCAGUUACCUAUUAAUAAAGUUUAGUUUGCAAAAAUAAUUAUUAUUCAAAAUCAACUCAUUUACUUAUUAAUUUAAAGAACAUGCUAAAAAUUUAUUUAAAAUGAGCAUUUUAUUUUCCUAUAAUUAAAUCUACUUUUUUUAAUAAUAACAUAAAUCUACUUAUUAUAACUAAUUAAUAUUCUGAAUUAUAACCACAAAAAAUAAUACUCCCUCCGGUCAUAUUUAUAAGAAAAAAGUGACUUUUUAGAUUCAUUGUGUAAUUAAUGUAUCUUGUCAAAAAUAUAGACCAAAUACAUAAUUUAUGCAAUGAAUUAAAAUAGUCAAAAGUUUUCUUAUAAAUAGGACCGAAGAGAGUAUUUAGUAGUGGUUUUGUGUCUUCUUAUAUUCUACUAUAAUCAGUGUGCCUUUUUAUCAAUAAAAAUUGAUUUUAAUAUUAUAAUAUAUAUAUAUAUAUAUAUAUAUAUAUAUAUAUAUAUAUAUUUAUAAAUUGCAUAUGAAUUUAAAUUCAUUUCAAGUUAGUUAUAAUUGUGAAAAACACUCUUUACUUUAUAAAAAGGUUAUCAUCUUGUUAAACAAAAUUUACUAUAAAAAAUAUCAUUAGUCCACAAUUUUUAGUUCAACUGACAAAAAUGUUGAAAUUGUUAGGUCGGACGUUAUGACCGAGAUUCAAACCUCAACUCAUCCACUUGGUUCUACGGUAAGAAAAUUUUAUGGUGAAUAAAUUUUUGUGAAAUUGAUCAUGAUUAAAAUUGCGUUGAAGGUAACAUGAUUUAUAUUUUGAUUCAUUCACCUAAAAGGGUUAAUAUAUGAUUAAAAUUGAGUUAAAGAUAAAGUGAUUAAAAUUAAACUAAAAGAAUUAAAAAUGCCUAGCCAACGUGCCAACUCAUCAUAGUUACACAAUUAUAGGUGACUUAGCGUGCACGUCAGCAUAAAUGUUGAGUCAUAUGUCCGGAGGGUCCAAAAUCAAAGAAUGUUCAUAUUACAAGGUUGAAUUUUUUUUUUACUAGCUAAUACUGCAGGAGACAAACAUAUAUUAACCCUAAAUUUAAUUGUAAAAAUCAAGUAUAUAGGUGCAGUUAAACCAAAUAUAUGUUAAAAGUAAAUGUUUUCUUUAAAUAAAAUAAAAAAGCUAUAGGCAAACUCACUCUAAAUACAACAACCUAUAGGUGCAGUUAUAUGUACCUCAAUUCGAAGGUGGUAAUUAUCAGAAGAUGGGAGAUCAGGAAACACUGCUUUGAGGUGAUAUUCAUUCAUGUGUUGAGCAGACAUAGCAAGACCUGCAGACAUAACUUUUAUCCAAUUAUUAGCCGAAAUGAAUCGUGCAAUAUUAGCAUCAACCCCUUGAGUUUCCCCAUUUCUUCCGGUUCCUAUUGACAACAACACGAUUUUGGUUGGCUUGUUUGCCGUCACAGGAAUGAAAUUGGAAUUCUUCUCAUUCAAUUCUUGUAUCACUUCACUCACCGCAACCAAUGCCUGAACAUACAAUUUUCCAUUGUGUGAAAUUUCAAAGAAUGUGUAAUUCAUUCCAUUGAUAAGAAAAAUAAAAUGAAUCGUCUUGCUAACAAGUGUUUUAAAACAAGGGGAACAUAACUUAAAAUAAAUAUUUUAAAUGACAUUUUUUAAACUUUUAAAGAAUAAAUAAAUAUGACAUUUCUAUCUUUGAUUUCAUAACUUCUGUUUUAGAGUACUUGUUAACAUUCUUCAAUAUGCUAUAAACAAGGCUUCUAAAAGAUUAACUAGUCCUUGAUGUGUGACUAGUGUAUUGGGUGGUAUGAGUGCAUUUUUAUAUGGAAAAUGUUAACAAAUGCUUUUAAGAAACUUGCUAAAAAUUAUAAAGAAGAAAUCCACACAUUUAAACUUAAAAAAGUAUUUUUUUUUCUACAUAAAACUUACCAAUUAUUUUUAUUUUAAAAACCUUAACAAGUAUCUUAUCUUAAAGAUACUUGUUAUCAAGACCUUUUUAUAUUUAGGGGGCAAUGCUAGUAAUUGCCUUUUUUAGCAAGGCACAUUGUACUUUGUAUUUACUUUGCAUGGUGUUGUAGAAGUGAUUCAAUAUUGGAGUUUGAAGUGCAAAAUCAUGUUUGCUGGAAGACCCAAAAUCGGCGCCCGAUUUCUGGAGUUUGGGGCCCGAUUUUGGCUGCCUUUGGGAGGCUUCUUGUUCUGGAAAAAUCGGCGCCCGAUUUUGCGUAACAGUUUUUUUUUAGAAACAUAUUUUUGGGCCAGAUUUGUUACAAUUUUAUGGGAGUUACUUUUACUAUAAAUAUAGGCAUUGUAUCAGUGUAAACCUUGAGAUAGAGGGGGCUGAAACAAGGGUUUAGAAAGACAACAACAAAACUAGGGUUUGUAAAGAGUUUGUCUCUUUGGAACAAACACUACGGUUUGAGGGUUGAUUCACCUUGGGAAACACUAUUAGGAUUGAGUCUCUUGGUUACGGGAAGAGAUUGGGGCUUUGGGUAGAAUUAGACGGGAGACUUAUUCUUGUAACUCAUUGACAUCUCUUUUUGUAACGUUACUCAUCAUAUAGUGAAACGGAUGGCCGCUCUCUCCCUCAUACUAGGUCAAUUUGGACCGAACUAGGUCAACAAAUUCUUUUGUGUUCUCUCUUCUUUUCUCUCGCUGUUUUCUACUUUUGACUUGUGUUUAUAAUUGUUUGUUUUGGUUGCUUGAUUAUUCCUUGUUCCACACAUCAAGUAUGUUAUUGGCGUGAUUAUUUUCAUCCAAUUCACAUCAUAUGGGUUGAUUGAUUUUUUAUCAAAUGAGGCAAAUAGUUCUUCUCAGAGUUGGUUAAUAUUAAAUGUGUUCAAAUCUUAAAGUUUGUCCUUAUGUUAGAGGCUCUUUUUGUAUCUACGAUGUAUGAUUUGGUGUUUCAGUUAAUUAGGUUUAUUUAGAGCAACAGUUUGGACUUUGGUGUUCAUUGGCCUUAAUUGUCAUCUUGGCCUCUCAAUGUACUUAAGGUUUUGUAUGGUGUUGUUUUUAGUCCAACUUUUUAGUUGAUGAUAUGGUGUAAUCUCCUAUGAUGCACGGACACCUGACACGACAUUAAUACGGACACGUCGACACCAUUAAUAUAAAAUAUUUACGACACUGACACCACCACAUAUAUAGUAAUUUAUUUAUAGAGGGUCUAAAAUGAAAAUCAAAAUACAUAUGUAAACAUAUAAAUUAAGCAAUUUAUUUCAUUGAAAAAAGUUAUAAAACAAGAUACCAGAGUAUUUGAUCUUUAUUUAUUCAUCUACUAUCAAAAAUUUAAAAAUGUUGUAAUCAACUUUAAUUUCUAUAAACCUCUAAUUGAUUAACAUUUCUCAACACAUAUUUAACUCUUGUAUCUACGAUGUGUGGAAUAAAGAGAGAGAAAAAAUAUUUCAAAUAUUUGUCUGAGUUGUUUCGACAUGGCUCGUAUGAGUGUUGUAUAGAUGAUGGUUGCGUAGAUUGUUUCUCAUUAUGUUAAGUUUGGACUCUUGAAAAAAAUUACUAUUUAACAACAACAACAAAAAUCGUAAACCACUAAGUGUAGGCCUAAAAAACAUUUAGUAUUACGGCCUAAAAGUUUUUUAUUUUUAUUUUUAAGAAAUGAAUCUAUUAAUUACUCCCUCCGGUCCAUUUUAAAUAACCCAAUUUAAAAAUGUAUAUUGUUCACAUAACAUGUUUUGAGAUCUAUUUUUCUACUAAUAUAUAAAAACAAAAAAUAGCAUAUAAGAUGUUGUUGGAUUCGUCUCGAUAGAUAUUUUUAAAAUAUUAAAUUUUCAUAAUUUUUCUAUUAGAUUAUUAAAGAUAUUUAAGUUCAAAAUUGUGUAUUUGACAUCCGUGACAGAAUCAACUGUGUUAAAUAUUAUGGUAGGGAGGGAGUACUACUCUAGCAAAAUAGAAAGCCUAAAGUCUCUCAAAAUUGAUUGUAAUGCAAAUGUGAAAAGUUUAAGGUGCUUUGGACAUUGAUUAUGGAAUCUAAAAAUGGAAUUUCUAUCUUGAAAAUAUAAACCGUCACUUUUAAUCAAUAAUAAUUACGUACAUAACUUUAUCAUAAAAUUUAUUUCUUUUGAUGUUUAACUAAUUAAUGUCCAUGGGACACUGUUUAACAUUUUUCUAAUAAUAUUCUUAAAAAAACAUUCUCCUAAUAAUAAUAAUAAUAAUAAAUAAGGAGAUCAUCAAAAGUUGGUUUCGAUCUUAUUUUUCUAAUCUUAACAUCAUAAGUUAACAAGACUCUUCAAUUGAUUGUAUUUCUAACCAUUAUAUUCCUACUAAUUAAUUUUAAUAAUUGUCACACAUAAAUAGAAUUAGCUUACCGGAUUAGCUGCAGUGACAAAACCAUCAACUAAAUUGAAUAUAUUAAAACCAUUUAGAAAUUGAUAUGGUGGUAGUUGACUUGGUGCAGCUGAAGUACCAAUACAUAUAUCUGCCAAUUUUGCAUCUAGGCCAGGAACGUCCUUCUGCAUGCAUAUGGACAAAAUCAGACAUUUCAUAAACAAUGGUAAGAAAAAAAAUAGAAUAAAUUAUCUAAUUAUAAGCUUUCACUUUUCUCAGUUGAUUACUUUGAUUUCUACAUAAUUUUUAUAAAUUGUUUAUUUUUUGAAUUAUUAAAGUGUCAAAAAAGUACAUAUUAAUAACAUGACCAAUAAAUAUAUGCUGACCUUAAACGUUGAGAAAACAAUUGGGUGAAGUUUCAGGAUGUCGAAGCUUGUGAUUACAAGAUUGGUCAAUGUGUCAUGUAAUCUUGUUUCUUGUAAUAUCUCACCUACUUUAUCACGUAAGAAUAUUCCGUCAUACUUCGGUCGGGGGGAAUCUUCAGUCCAACCACUGCAUUUUUUCGCAAACAAGAGAGAGGAUAUAUUAAAAAGAUUGUUUGAAUAUUUUUAGAUGUGUUUGGAUGGAGGAUUUGUCGGUUUGAGAAGGGAGUGGACGAGAGAACUUACUUUUUAAAAAUAAAAAUUAUGGACACUAAAAUAUUUUAGAAAUAACUUCAAAAAAUAUGAUCAUAUAAUACUUCAAUCACAUUUAACAUAUUUUAGACAAACAUUUGACGUUGCUGGCAAUUUAAAAAAGAAAAGUACGUGCUCCCUUCAAUGAAUGCAAAUAACCGUGAGAAGUGGUUGUCAAUAAUAGCAGAUUGGGUUGGACCAUAUUAAAUACCUAGCAGAAGUUUGAUUGAAUAUUGAAGGACCAUAUUUUAGGUAGAAUUCUAAAAUUUCUGGAGUGGUAAAUGCAGGACGAGAAGUGUCAUUUGGGUUGGGAGCAGCAAGCAUGGUAGCAAUGAUUCCUCCUGUGCUGGUCCCCGCUAUCACAUCAAAAUAAUCAGCCAAUGCUGCGUUUUUAUCAUUUGACACAAUCUGACCAAUCAAAUCAAAAUGUCAACAAAAAAAUAAUUAGGAAGCUCUUUCUUUGUGGGUGGUACUACUAACCGCUAACAAAUAAGUAAUAAAAUAUAGUUAAAUAUAUUUUAGUCCUAUAAAAACUGAUUUUUAAUCUUUAUAAAAGAAAAUUAAAAUUUUAACUUUGAUCACAAUAUUUUUCAUCAAUGAUUUUAACUCUUAUAGAAUCAAAAUAAAUCAAUUCUUUAUCACAAUACUACUAAACUUUGCAUAUAGUAUAUUUAAGUCCUAUGAUGGAAGUCUCUACAAAAUAUAAGGUCAAAAUUCAAUUUUUAAAUCCAUAUUUCCGUUUACAAGUUCAUAUUUAAUUCCCUAUAAAAAAGUUCAUAUUUAAUCAUUGUUAAAAAAAUAAACUUUUUUAGGGAACAUGUUUAUCAUAUUCUAAACAAACAAGAAAAAUAGAAAAAAAGAAACCCAAAUAUUCAAAGGGCGCACAUAGGUUAUUUAGAACCAAAGACCAAAACUAUGGAUGAAAAAUAUUGUGAAUUUAUGAUGAUUAAAAGUCGAAGAAAUAUUUUAGGAUAAAUACCACAAUGGAUCUUUAAGUUUAAUGUUCCUAUCAGAUUAAUAUUUUUAGUUCUUUUAGUUUUAAAAUGAUCAUUUGUGUCAGUAUAAGUGAUUAGUCCUUUAUUUUUUUAUUGUAACAUGUUAAUCCUCUUUUUCAUUCAACUUUGUUAAAAAGUGUUUAAAUGACCAUUUAACAUUGCGGUAGAAGGUCCAAAAAGUAUUUAUGAUACCAAACAUGAUCACUUACAACAUUUCCUUCUUAAUGUACAUAUAAAUAUUCCAUAAAAAAAUUAUAAAUUAAGUAAUUGAACGAUUUUUUUUCAAUCAAAGACUAAUCAAUAAUACAUCUAUGAAUUAUAAUUUUGAAAGUAGUGAUUUGGACCUACCAACUUAUCAAUAAACGUCUGCAUAUACAUUUUUUAACCCUGUUUAAUGGAAAGAGAGAAGUGAUACAUAUAUAUUACUGAAAUUGCAAAAGACAUUUGCGGUUUCUUUUUUGCUUGUAAUUUUAUAGACUUAAUCUAUCAACGAAAAACAUAUUCGAAAAUUAAAUUGGUUAUCUAAAGACAUAUUUGAGGAUCAAAUAAACAUGCAGGGACCAAAUUAGUUAUUUAUAAGUUCCUAAGGUUAACAAAUUUAUAAUUUAAUUAAAAGUAUAAAAUAUAAUAAUAAUAAUAAUAUUCAUAUUUAAUUAAAUAGGCCGACUUAAUAGACCUAUGAGGAUUUUUCAAUGGCAUGUGGUUUGACCUUUUAAGUUCAAUAGGCUUCUAAAAAGAUAUGUCUUUUCUAUUUAAGAAAAAAGUUUGAUCUGACCUAUCGUAUGUUUGAUCGUAGACCCCUGUAGACCGAUCUGACCUAUUUCCAUCUCUUUCUGUUAUAUAGUAUCAUACAACUGUAUUCUUGAUUUCUAAUUAAGGAGACCAGGACACCCAAUUCAUGUAUCGAAAAUCGAAAAUUGUAUCAAAUAAUUAAAAUCAAAUAAAAACUAAAUACAAUUAACUAGAGAAAAGUUUGUUAAUUAGUUAUAGUAUAAGAGAAAUGAGUUUAAUUUUUAUAUGAAUGAGUGGGUCAUUGACCUGAAGAGCCUGUUCCAAGUCCUCAAGAACAACCGUAGGAAGAAUUCCUUUAAUACCACCUCCAUCAAUACUAAGAAUGCUUAUUGUAUCUCCAUACGACGGCGGUGGUAGUUUUUUAUUGAAUCCACCAAUCACCUGAUUAGCAAAAACAAACAGAAAUAAAAGUAAAGCCCCCAUUGUAUAUUGUGUACCAAUUAUUAAUGCUUUAAGAGAACACAAUUCAAAGGGCUUGCAUUCUACAUUCCAUGUCAAGGGUAUUUAUAGGCAUUUUGUGUCCAUGAUGACAAUAUUCAAAUUACGCAAUUACCCCAAAUCUUUAGAAUCAGCUCCCUGCAAUCUGUCUUCUACACAUUCACGUGUUCGGGAUCGGCGGUCAUUAGAUUAAAAUUUGAAGAUUCAGGUUCGAUUUUUUGAAUUAUAAAAUACUCAUACCGUUCCAUUAUAAGUGAACAUUUUAUUCAUUUCACAUGUAUUAAGAAAAAGUAUAAUGUUAAAAAGAGAAAAAAAUAGUUUUGAGUAUAAGUAUUGGUGCAUUUCCAUUAUCAUAAAUGCAAAGUAGAAUAUAUUGAAUUGAGAGUGAUGGAAAUAAUAUUAAUUAAAGUUAUAAUUGGGAAGAAAAAAAAAAGUAGUUAAUAUUAUAUUAAAAAGUAAAAUUGUAAAUUAUUUUGGGUCCGUCCUAAUUUCUAUAUAUAUCAAUUUUUUAAGAUUUCAAUAAUUUUAAAUAUUAAAUUCAUAAUUUUAUUUAAAUUUAAAAUAUUAUCAUCAUCAUCAUCAUCAUUAUUAUUUGGUGGUGGCUGAGUUUUGAACCUCAAACCUUACAUAUAUUAUGCAUUGUUCCUACCAACUGAGUUAAACUCGCGAGGACAAAUUUUAAAUAUUAUUUAAAUUUGGACUUUUUUAGGCAAAAAAAUUAUGAAAAUUUGAACUCUUAAACAUUUCUAUUUAAUGUUUUUAGUGAUAUUAUGACCCUCAAAAUUUGAAGCCCGGUGCAGUAGUUCACCUUACGCAAGAGCUUCACCGGCCUUGAUCUUUUUUACCUUAAUUGAAUGGUCAUGGAUGUCCCAAAUGUGUGAUUAUGAUGAUUUUGAGACAUGCUAAUUAUGACUUGUCCAACAUCUAAUAGUAUACGAUCACCUCUAUAAUAUUUAAAUACAACGUGGAGAUGUGUUCUAAAAAUUAAGUUGGUUAUACAUAUACAUACAAAAACACACACACAUAUAUAUAAAGAAAAAGACAAUUGACAGCAUAUCAUAAAUAUUAAUACAUCUAAGAUGAUAAGAGAUUAUAGCAAAAAAAUAAAAAAAAUUGACAGGAGGGUGUAGAAACGCUUGCUUGAUAUGCUGGGAUUUGGUUCAAAUCCACAAUCUUUACUUGUCAGCUAUUAUUGUGUGUACUCUCUCGACUAUGCGCUUUAAUUUGAAACUUUGUAUGAAUAGAUAAAAUUACAAUAGUCAUUGAAAAUUUAAAUAUACAUGAAGAAGUUGGAGCUUGAACUUUAAUCACGACGUCUAAUUUAAUUAUAUCGAUAACUUUGUCAAUUGAACUAGAAUUUAUAAACACGUGCUCUUUAAUUGAAAUUUAACAAAAAGAAGUCUUUGACAUUGUAAAAGGCAUAUGGACUUGGUCAAAACGUGGACCUUAAGAUUUUUAUAGUAAAUUUUAAGCUUAAAUAUGCAUUUCAUCCCUACAAUUAUAGGCCCUUUGAUUUUUCAUCCAUGAGCUUACUAAUCCUCCCAUUUUACCCCUGUAAAAAUUAAUCAUUUGAAAAUUCGUCCUAAUUACAUUUUUUUGCUGACGUGGAUAGUGAUUAGCGAUGUGGCACACGAUAACUGGGUUAAGAUGAGGAUGAGUCAGAAAAUUACACUUGAAUGGACCUUUAUGCCCUUAAUGAGAUCAGACAUGUGUGAAAUUACCAUUUUACCCCUUUCUUCAUUUCUCUCCGGAAGACCAAAACCCAGGUUCCCUCUCUCGUUCUAUAUUUUUCCUGUUGAAUCUUCCAGAACCAACCUCUAUGAAACACUCUUGAUGAAUUAUCAAACCCAACAACCUUAAAGAUUAACAUAUCUCCUCAACUCCAAACCAGAAAAACAAUCGAACAACGUGAAAAGAAGCUAAUUCAGAUCUGUGCUAGGAGGACGAAGAUGGAGACGACGAUCAUGAUGGCAAGUGGCUGUCAGGUGAACAUCGUGGUGGUGGUGGUUCGUGUGAGAACCCGCAGGCAGAAGCAGAUUCGCAAAACAAAUUGUAGAAAAUGGUGAAAAAGGGUAACGAAGAACAGUGAAUUCAAUGGUGAAAAAUCUCUCUCACCUUUAUUUGUUGUUGAUGGUGAGGAAGAAACAAGAUUGGUUUGUGUUAAUUUGAACCAAUUUUUAGGUUUUUGGAAUUUUUUAGAAGAAGAAGAUGAUAAAAAGAUGACAAAGACGUGAGGAGAAAGAAGAAGAGGGAAGAUGAUCUUGCUAAUUAAUUGUUGAUUUGCUAAAAAUUGGAUAUUGUUUUAUUGGAGUAUUUGUGUUGAAUGAGAAGAAUUUGAUUUUACUGUGAGAAGUAAGAAGAAGAAGCAGCAACCUUUGAAUUUAAGGGUUCAGAUCUGUUUUCAACUUCCUUCCAUUUUUUCGGCAAUUAAUCUUCCUCAUAUUGUUUUCACUAAAUUGCUCUUUUGAUUACCAUUUGUUUUCUUUUUUUAAAUUUGUUCCAUAUUUGUUAUGUUACGUUUUAUUAAUAAAUCUAUUCAUCUUUCUUUUUUAUUGUUUGAUAUACUACUUUUGGAUUGUUCUUGCUUGAGAACAUUAAUGGAGUUUUGGAUUGUUCUUGCUGAGAAAAUUAAUUGAGGGUGAGGAAGAAGAUAGGGGUAUUAUUGUCCUUUCACGUGGGUAUGAAGUCAUCAAGGACUAAUGACUCUCCACCUCAUAGAAAAACGUGAUUUUGACGAAUUUUCAAAUGAUUAAUUUUUACAGGGGCAAAAUGGGAGGAUACAAGCUCAGGGAUGAAAAAUCAAAUGGCCUAUAAUUACAGGGAUGAAAUGCAUAUUUAAGCCUAAAUUCUAAUAAGGUUACAUAUGCUCUUAUUUUUUAUUACUAAAUAAUUUUUUCCCACAAAAUCAGAAAUGAUCCACCAUUAGACCAUUAUUAUUAAGAUGUUCAUAUUUGACAUAACACUGUAUAGUGGGGAUCAAAAUCAUUCUAAAACAUUUUAUAGAAAGGAGGUUAGAAAUAGAGGGGGUUGUAACCAAAUUUACCAAGCAUUUUAUAGUGAAUAUAUGAUCUCAUUUUAAAACGUUUUUUUUUUAACAAGGCAUUCAUUUUAAAAUGGAAGAAAUACUUCUAUAUGCAGCGGCGAAGCUAGAGAAAAUUCUACGCGGGGGGCCAUAAACAAAAAAAAUUAUUUUUAAAACCAGCAUAUGAAAUUUAUGGAUAAAAUACAUUUUUUGUCUCAUAAAUUAUAAUUUUAUAGGUUUAAUCCUUACAAAAAUUUUAUUCAAUUUUUGUCUCAUCUUUUUAUAAUUUUACAAAAAAAAAAAUGUGUUUUUAGUCUUGCAUUAAUCUCUAUAACAAUAAAUUAAGGACUAAAAUUAAACAAAAUGUUAGGAACUUAACUUUAAAAUUGCGAGUGUUGUAGAUACUAAAAAUAAAUUUAAUCUGAAACUUAAUUGAUUCAUAAAAAAAAAACACAAUAAUUCUGGACAAAACAUGUUUUAAGAAGUCAAUUUUAUCCAUAAUUGAUUGUUUAAUAAAAGAUUACUAAUGUCUUUUCAAUGUAAACAAUAGGUUAUUUGUAAGAACUUAUUAUCUAUUUAAUUUGUUUCUCACUAUUGUUGUUGAAAUUUUUUCUGACUAAAACUAACAAACCAAUACAAAUAAAUCUAUCAAUGAUGUAGUACUUUUUCACUUUCUUAUUUAUGUUAAUUUUCGGCAACCAAACUUGCUUGGGGUAGCUCAAUAUUUAUUAUUUGGGGUAGCUAAAUAUAAAUAUAUACCAACCAAUUCAUGAAUAUUUUUUCUUUUGGGGUAGCAAGGGCUACCCCAUCAUCAUGAAGGGAACCGCCCCUGUCUAUAUGUAUUUCCGCCUUUAAACACAAUACCAUACCUCAUUAACCAAAUUUCCAAACAACUCGUAACCAAAUUAAAUGGCAUACUCUCUCCCUCGCCUUCCAUUUCAUGUAUCAUCAUUGCCAACUACUACCAGCCAACUACCGAUUCCAUAUAUGGCAUAUACCACGCUAAACAUGCUUAGCAAAACAUAUAAAUACUUGUGGUACCAAACAAAGAUAGAAAGUGGUACCAAAAACCAUAUAAAUGCUUGCAUGUUAUUUAUUCUUGUGUUUUUAUAGUAUAUAUACUAGUAUUUGCCAAGAAUAUCUCUCCUAUGCAACAUAUAUACCUCUCCUGUGGCCAGUAGUGUAUUACGUGGCUAGUAAGCUCCUGCAACUUAUAUACCUCUCCUAUGCAAAGAAUAUCUAGUUGGAAGCCUAUCCAGCAACAAAUGCCAAUACAUAGUUAAAUAUGUUGAGACUCAUUAAAUUACUAAGUUUUGUUUUUAGGCUUCAUUAAAAAAAUCACACGGCAUUUCUUGUCAUUAAAUAGUUACACAUAGUAGGAAGAAAAUAACAAAUGUGUUGUAGAGAGAAUUGUAUAAAAAAUAAUAAAAGGAGGAAUCUUGCAUAUUAAUGAAAAAGAGACAAAUUUUGCGCGAAACACGUUGAGAAAAUGAUUUACAGAGAGAAUUGCAAGCAAUUAUGGUUUUCACGUGGUUUAACAGAAUAUAUGGAGUGACCAAUUGGCUACCAGUAGUUUGGUAAAUUUGAUUAAUGGGGAAAGAUAUUGUGGUCAAAGGCGGGGGGGAAUACAUAAAAACUUAGGACAAUUUAUCGUUAAAGGUUUCAUAUAUUUUCUUAACGGCAAAAACUAUUUUUUUUUUUCAAAUAAAAUGAGAGAAGUACAAUGAAUACUUAAGUUACUUAGAAGAACAAUAAGGAGUACUCAAUUCACGUAAUUACAAUCAUCUAGUCCUAAUAAUUAAAAAAAGACGAGGGUUCAAAAGUCGUUCAUACAUAUCAUACAAGAUCCAUCUUAUUCUUCUAACAAAAAAUCAUCUUCAAGAGAUGACUUCAAAAGCCACUUAUUAGAAAUUAUAUUUACAUUUGACAUGAUUUAUUUUAGACAUAAAAGUCACUUUUAGAAUAAAGUUAGAAAAAUGAGUCUUGUAAAUAAGUUAAAGUUGGUUGAUGAUCGUUGUUUAUUCAUUUAUUUUAAAAGUUACUUUUAACUUCAGAGAUGUUUGGUUAUUUAUUUUAUUUUAUUAAAAUUGCACUGAAUUUAUUUUAUUUUAUUAAAAUUGCACUGAAUAAAUAAUUAAAAUAUAAAUUUCCUCUCAAAAAAAUAAACAUAAAUUUAAUAUGUUAGUAAAAGAUAAUAAAUUACAACAUUUCAAAAUUUGUAAAUAUAUUUUACCAGUAAAAACACUCUUUAAAGUGGAUUUAAAAAUAUAAAGAAAUAGUUUCUUUGUAACAAACAUAAAUUAUGUUAAAAUUAUUUUUAAAUAUAUUUUCUCAAUGCAUAUAUCAUAGGGUUUUUGUGAGUCAAAAAAUUAUAUCAAGUACACGGCAAAUGGGAGACAUGCAUGCUUUGUUCCUUGAAUACUUCUUAUACUUUUUGUAUUCAUGAAACCUUUAUUUCGUAAUAUUCGAUAUAUUUUGAAAAGUAAUUUUUCAAUAAAAAUAAAAAGGUAAAAUUACACUUUUAAUCAUUUAAUUUUAUUUUAGGUAACAGUUUAGUCAUUUAUCUUUUUUUCAUUUCAAUUUUGUCCUUUCGAUCCAUUUACAUAUGAAUUUUUAAGCUUAAAAUUCAUGAUUUUAUUUUCUUAUGGUCUUUCAGUCUUCAAAUCUAUAAUCUUUGUCUAUGUUUGCAUAAGAAUAUUUAAUUUGAAGCUUGAAAAUGUAUAUGAAGAUGGACAAAAAUGACCAAGUUAAAAUGAAAAAAGAUAAAGAACCAAACUAUUACCUGAAAUUAAGUUAAGGGACUUUUGUAAUUUUACCAAAUAAAAAUUACCUAGCUAUGUACGUACAUGUAAUUAGUGCACCUCAAUUCUAAGGUAGUAAUAGUAAGAAGACCGAUGACUUUGAAAUACUAAUUCAAGGUGAUAUUGAUUUAUAUCUCCAAUAGCACCAAAAAUAUCUCGAAGUAUGUAUGUACAACUUUUGGGGUUGUUCAUUAACGGAGGAAAAUCCUUUAUUCUUAAGUUUAUUUCAUCUGGAAUCAAAUGUAAGAAACAAAAAAAUAAUACACAUGUAUUAAGAAAGUGGAUUGACCACAUUUAAGUCAUUAUAAAAAGUGAUAUUUUUUCAAUUUUACCCUUGUCUUGGAGUAGUAAAGACCUUAAUGAUGAAGUGAGUUUAAUGAGGGUAAAUUUGGAAUUGUGACAUUUAAUAGGUUCAUUUUACUAUACUUUUUCUUAUAUUUGAGACCACCAAUUUUAUUUUUUUUGUUUCUUACAUUUGAGACCGGAGGGAGUAUUAGGUAAAGCAACAUCUAAACCUAAAAAUUUCCCUCUAACUGUACUGCAUAAAUUACUAAAUUGUUAACCCUAAAACAUUUCCCUCCAAAGUCUUUGGCAAUUUUUUUUUUUUUGACAAAAACAAAAUGAUAUUCAUUCAUUCAAAUCGAUAGAAUACAUCAGAAUCAAGAUUGCUAAAAACGUAAAGGAUGAAUCUGCGAACAAACUCACAGCACCCAAGUUAAUAGCAUACAACGGCAAAAUGCCUAAAAAUAGUAUGAUAUAAUCUAAAUCACCAGAAUACUCUUGCUUCUGGAUCUGCAACGUUGACGUCCAGAUCAUUGAUUGAAUAUGUGAUUGACUGAAGUUGAUCUUUCAAUAUGAACCAACGAACACCGCAACAAGAUGCCAAAUCAAACAACGCCGCACAAGACAACGAACAACACAAGGUCGCACUUAGACGACGAAAUCACAAAAAAAAAAACAACACAAAAGAAAACACCUGAUAUUUGUUUAGAUCGAACGAAAGGGGAAAAAAGAUGCAGAGGGAUUAUUUUAGGUCAAAGAAUGACCUAAAACCACCCCUCCUCAAUGAGCGAAAGAGAAGGAAAACUUAGAGAGAAGUUGAAGUUUCUCUCACUAAAAAAACUAGGGCCGGCUUCUAAGUCUUUGCCAAUUUGAAUUCCAAUAAAAAAAAAAUGGUGCACCGUCCUCAUUUUAUGCGCUCAUCGAAAAUGUAAUACCUUUGUAUUGCAUAUAUUUAUGCUAUUUUUCAUAAGGUCAAGCGGUGGUUCCAAUCCUACAGCCUCUAUACCUUUUAAUCUUCAUAUUUCUCCUUUUUUUUCCUCUCAUAAAACGAGUUUCAGAGGUUUCAUGACUGGCUUUGCUCUCACCAUGGUUUCAUGACUUCUCUCUCUCAUUCUCCUAUACAUUUAGUUCAUUUUCAAGAAGAAGAAAAAAAAAAAGACCAUCUUGACUAGGUUUAUAAACACAACUUGACUGGGUUCAUUUCUCUCUCAUUUUUUCAAAGACCAUCUUUAUUCAUCACUCUUUUCAUUUGGUUCUUCAAAUCUAAUAUCAAAUAAUUCAUCAGAGAUAAAACCUACUAUCACCAUCUUGUCAGUACGUUCAAAAUAGAGUCGUUUGAAGCUUUUGAUCAAUCACCAAUGAUCUUUUGCCUGAUAUGAUUAUUGUCUUAAGAAAGAUCAAUUUCAAAUGCAUUCCCAUUGUGAAGGAACAUCGUUGCAGGCAGAGCUGUUUUUCUUCUCUUGUAGCAGAGACAACAACAGAGUAGUGGAGGUAGUGGUUGUACACUUCGCACAAAAGUACUUUGUCAACGCUCUUUGAAGAACAAAUAUCCAAUGCCUUCAAAUCCUUUCAAAAUAGUCGUUGCUUCACUUUUCCGGUCUUCUGCAAUCUUUAGACGAGGUUGAAUCCAUUAAACAGCUUUUGAAGCCUUAAGUUGCAUCCCAUGAUGAAUUGCAGCUUCUGGUAAUUUUUGGCUUCUGAUAAACUUGCUUCUGAUGAACUCGCUUCUGAUGAACUUGUUUCAGAUGACGUCACCACUUCAGGAGCACUUUGUCUUCAGGAGCGCUUUAUCUUCAUGAGCAGUUUUCUUCAGAUGCUUUAAGCUUCCCUUUUUGUUGAUUCCUUUGCUCUUUAUUGUUCUUCCAAGACCUUUUUAAGAUGUCAAAUUUUUGUCUAUAGUCAUGUACACUUGAACAAAUAUUAGCAUAUCCAAUUGACAAUUUUUAAUACCUUGUUAUCAUCAAAACUCUUAAGGGUUAUGAUGUAAUAUUUUUGCAUCAAACAAUUGUAAGUAUUUGUAUCGUCUCCUCAGGGACUAGUGCGAUAUCACGGACCGUUCGACACCAAAUAUCAUUCUAAGUUAAAAAAUAAUUUGUUUGUUUGUUUUAGUAACUAAAUUGAAAAAGUAAAAGUUGAGAGUAAUAGAGCGUAAAACUUGUUAGGAUUAGAGUUCCUUGAUCAAGCGUCACAAAUAACCUGAUGACCAUACAUGGAUUCUAGCUUUUCUUUGAUAUUAUCACGUAUCCCUCGACAACACUAUUCGUGUCCAAACAAUAUUGUGAAAUCAAUUGUAUCAUUCAAUAGUCGAUGUCACAAACUAUUGAAUGAUUCAAGAGUCGAUCUUAUCGUUCAAUAGAUGAUUUCUCAAUCUAUUGAAUGAUAAGAAAGCUUUAGGUUUGGAUACACAAGGUGAUUAUCAAAACAUCGAUUCCAUGUCUAGAACCUAUGUUUUGAUAGAUGGUUAUUCUAAACCUAGAUUCAAAAGUAUUUCUCAAUCACAAUUAAAUCAAAGAUAAACAUUAAAGUGCAAGAAUAACAUCAAUAACAAAUCAAAUGCUAGAACCAUAUAUUUAUAGAUCAAAAGAUUACAUGUUUAAGCUAAGAUCAAGUACCUCUAAUCCCAACAAAGGAGAUUUAACUACUCAUUGUCAUAGAAGCCUUGCAAGAAUGAAUUGAAGAAGAAAGAUUCAUUACAACUUGUGAUUUCUCAACAAAAGAUGAAGAAUCCACUUUCUAUCACUCUCACUCUAUAAAGCACAAGCCCUAUCUCUCUCUCUUAAAAAUAUUACAAGUGAAAACUAUGAAAAACUAAGAUAAAAACUAACUCCCAAAGAAAUGAUUGAAUGGGCUAUUUAUAGAGUUCUAAAUCUGUGUCUACUCGCCUCGCGAGCUUCUUCAUUCGCCAUGGCGAGUUGAAGUUCCUUCACCAUUGGGUUUGUGCCACGUCAUCAGUGAAAAGCUUAAACCGCCUUAACUCGCCUCGCGAGUACUUUCACUCGCCAUGGCGAACAUACUCGCCUUCUACUCACCAUUGCGAGUUGGUGGCGCGUGAUCUCUGUUGGUUACUGGAAUUGCUCGCCUUUGACUGGCCAUGGCGAGUUGGAGGCGAGUGACUUAAUUUCCAGCACCCAAGUUAAUAGCAUACAACGUCAAAAUGCCUACAAAUAGUAUGAUAUAAUCUAAAUCACCAGAAUACUCUUGCUUCUGGAUCUGCAACGUUGACGUCCAGAUCAUUGAUUGAAUAUGUGAUUGACUGAAGUUGAUCUUUCAAUAUGAACCAACGAACACCGCAACAAGAUGCCAAAUCAAACAACGCCGCACAAGACGAUGAACAACACAAGGUCGCACUUAGACGACGAAAUCACAAAAAAAAAAACACAAAAGAAAACACCUGAUAUUUGUGAAAAUCACUUAUUUAGAUCGAACGAAAGGGGAAAAAAGAUGCAGAGGGGUGAUUUUAGGUCAAAGAAGGACCUAAAACCACCCCUCCUCGAUGAGCGGAAGAGAAGGAAAACUUAGAGAGAAGUUGAAGUUUCUCUCACUUAAAAAACUAAGGCCGGCUUCUAAGUCUUUUCCAAUUUGAAUUCCAAUAAAAAAAAUGGUGCACCGUCCUUAUUUUAUGCGCUCAUCGAAAAUGUAAUACCUUUGUAUUGCAUAUAUUUAUGCUAUUUUCCAUAAGGUCAAGCGGUGGUUCCAAUCCUACAGCCUCUAUACCUUUUAAUCUUCAUAUUUCUCCUUUUUUUUUCCUCUCAUAAAACGAGUUUCAGAGGUUUCAUGACUGGCUUUGCUCUUACCAUGGUUUCAUGACUUCUCUCUCUCAUUCUCCUUUUCUCUCUCUCAUAAACGAAAUUUAAUUGAUAUAAAUAACUGUUUUUCAAAAAUGUGUGAUGGAGAGUGUGUUGUUAGUAUUUCUCAAAUUUCUAACCUACAACUUCACUAAAAUUUCAUAACAAUGCCACAAAAAUUUAAAAAAUAUAAAUAACAAAACACAUGGUAAAUAAAUAUUUGUUAAAGUGUAAGAAUAUAUAAAAUACCUCUUGUAAUAUAAAAUACCUCUUGUUCAUCUAACUUUGAAAAAUGCUCUUUUACACCCUAAAAAAAGCGUUAAUACCCCAGGCGGCGGGUACUUGCCGCUUGGUGUCACACUUGUUAACUAUCAGUCGCUACUGGCGAUAGUUAACAGUCGUUGCGUGUACUUUCCAGUAUUAGGCCUAGCCUUUACCACCUCACUCAUAUUUCACCAUUUUCUUUCCCUCUACCACCCAAAAACCCUCAAGUACGAAAUUUCAAGCAAAAUCUUGAUCUUAAAUCAUGGGAGAAAGAUUUCUAGAAGGUUUUUACACACAUUUGUCGUCAACAAACAAACAAUGCAUCUUUUAACUCAUUUACAUUGUUCAAAUAUUCUGCCAUGUUUUUGUUUUGUCUGACACGUAAAUGUAACGACACUUAACAACAAUUGGGGGCCAACGGUUGUUAAUUGUCGUUGGGCUAUCAGUACUUAAGUGUCGCUGGCGCCCAAUUUUUGAAUUUUGGCGCUUUUUCAAAAAAAAAAAAAAACAUUGAUUCAUUCGAUAAGUUAUUGAUAAUUUAUUUUUGCCACUUUUUAUAAUUUGUUGAUAAUUGAAAAUGUGAUAGAUGAUGUUGUUGACUCUAAACCGCCUAAUGUUGAAGCUUCUUAUGUUGCUUCUGAUAAUGUCAAACCUUCUAUAUGGCAUGUGUGAACACAUUUGUUUAGUUGUGUGACCACUAUUUUUCCAUAAUUUAUUUGGUUAACUAAGUGGGAAAAUAGUGGUCACGCACAUUUUAGUUCAUGACCACAUUUUUCAGCUUCUAAAUAGUGGUCACACAACUGAAAAAAUAUGGUCUCACACACCAUAUAUUAAUUAUUACAACUCAUUAAAAAAGAAAGGAAAAUUCAACAAAAGGAGGAAAGGACCAAAUUCUUUUCAUAAGCAAAAGUAUUACAAGGAGUACAAAGUGCUAUCAAAUCCUUAACUCUUAUUCUCUAAAAAAAACAAAGUCACAUCCACACACCUAACUAGACCGAAUACAUGAUAGGUUCGGAUCCAUUGUUUUAUUUAUUUCACAUCAUGCAUAUAGAGAACUUGCAACGUAUAUAGUACAAGCAUGCUUCAUUAUAUAUAGACACAUUUGGCAUUUAUUUCAUUCCAGAGACAACUGCUUCAACAAAUGGUCGUCCCAUUUUCUCCAUGGAUUUUAUUUUCUCCAUUGAUUUCGUUUUCAAACGCAACUGCUUCUCCUUGUAGAGAGUUUCAGCCAACCUUCAUAAAAUAUAAUUGUCACAUAGUUAACAUUUCCUAUUAAUUAAAUGAUAAAAGAAAAAUAAUAACAACACACACAAGUUAAUUUAAUUUGUGUAAAACAUUGUUUACAUUUUUUAAAAGAAAAGAUAUAUCGUAAUGACGGAAGUACACAUCACUAGGUACAUAGUUUUAAACUUUGUUACAAACAAACAAAGUUUCCUAACCUAAACAAUAUUUAACUUACAACAAUAAACAAUGAAGGUCAUCAUGACAUUACUAUAGAAAUGGAAUAAAACAAUUUAAUUUACUAUAUGGUUUAAUCCUUUAGCAUGGUGUAUCACAUCAAUCUAAAAAUUAUGGUAAGUAAAUUGCACAGACCUUUCAAGAGCCUGAGCAUUUGUACCCUCAGUUGGUUUUUCGUAUGGGACAAAAGAAGUAACAUCCAUGACCUUAACAGUUUCUUCCAAUAAGUCCUCUCCUGCCUUUACAAGUUUGUCCAGGUUUUCUUUGGUAGUAUCAUCGCCUCCUAUGGAUGGAUCUAAAUUAUACUCCUGCACAUUAUAUUAUAUCAAAAUAAAAUAAAAUAAAAUAAUCACCAUAAAGAAAUCUUUGUCAACAAUUAUGUUUUUAAGUACACGUUUUUAUUAAAAAAUAAUAUACAUCAUAUGUUUUUUUUGUGAAUCAAAAAACUAUAUCAAGUGGAGAAACAAUAUAUAUAUAUAUAUAUUGACAUUAAAAAAUAGUACUUUUUACUUUAUAAAAUGAUUAUUACAUUGUUGAAGACAAUUUAUUACGAUUUCUAAAAUUUGAAAUAUAACAAACAUAUUAUAAAAUAAAUUAUGAAAAGUAAUUUUUCAAUACAAAUAAAAAUUACUCUAUAUUGCAUAACCUAGAUACAUGCAUGUAUCAAUGUACCUCAAUUCGAAGGUAGUAAUUGUCUGAAGACCGGUGACUUGGAAAUAUUGAUUCAAGAUGAUAUUCAUUUAUAUCUCCAACAGCACCAGCAAUAGCUGGAAGUAUCAGUUGUGGCCAUUCUAUUAAUGCCCUAAAAGAUGUUGCAUAUGUAGCAUUAACCCCCUUAUCCUCUCCAUCUCUUCCACAUCCUAAUGAUAACAAGAGGAUUUUGGUAGGUUGAUUUUCAUUCACAGAAAUGAAAUCAGAAUUCUUUUCCUCUAAUAGUUUUAUCACUUCACUCACUGCAAGCAAUGCCUGCAUAUACAAUUUUUUAUCGUGUGAAAUUAAACAUACAUAUUAUUUUGAAUAUUUGCUUUAUCAUAUAUAAACAUUAUUACUUGAGAUUAAGAGUAUCAAGUAUGAGUUUUUUUUUUUCUUUCAAAAAAAUAUCAAGUAUGAGUUAAGACCCUUUCUAUUUAUCAAAAGAAAUAUAAGACUCCAUAUUUAACCAUACAUUAGUUAAUUUCCUACUAAUAAUAAUUUUCAGACAUAUAUAAUUAGCUUACCGGACUGCUUGCAACUAGAGCACCAUCAACUAAAUUGAAUUCAAUAUCACCAUUCUUAAAGCCAUAAGGAGGUAGUAAGGUUGGUGCAGCUGAAGUCCCAAUGGCUAUAUCCGACAAUUUUGCAUCUAGGUCUGGAACUUUCUCCACCUGCAAUCCAUGAUGAGAAAAGUUUCACAAUUAACACCCACGAGUUAGAGUAUUCUACUCAAGCUUAGAAAAAACAAACAUUAAUGGUAAAUAAAAAGUUAAGAUUAUACAUAUAUGUAAAUUAAUAUGCGGACCUUGAAGCUUGAAAAAACAAAUGGUUUGACUUUCUUGAUAUCGUAGGUUGGGAUUACAACAUUGGUCAAUGUAUCAUGCAAUCGUGUUUCUUGCAAUAUCUCACGUGCUUUAUCAUGUAAGAACUUCCCGUCAUACUUUGGACGCUCGGAAAGGUUAAACCACCAUCUGUAUUUUGUUUUAGUCACAAAACAAAAUAUAUUAAGAUUAGUAUAAAAGUUACUCUUAUUAAUAAUAAUUUCCUCCUUUAAUUUCAAUUUCUUUUUAUUAAUAAGAAAGUAAGAAAUACCUAGCGGAAGUUUGAUUGAAUAUAGAAGGACCAAAGUCUAAGUAGAAUUUUAAGAUUUCAGGAGUAUAAAGUGCAGGGCGAGAAGGGUCGUUUGGAUGAGGAGCAGCAAGCAUAGCAGCAAUGAGUCCUCCUGUGCUAGCCCCUGAUAUCACAUCAAAAUAAUCCGCCAAUGCUGCGUUUUCAUCUUUUGUCACAUUCUGAUAAAUCAAAUCAAAAAAACUAAUUAAGUAGUUGUAUUGAAAUAAUUAAUGAACGAACUUUAAUUUUUUUUUUUUGAGGUGUCCAUAGUUUGAACCCCGAACAUUAAUGCAUAUAUUAUGCAUUGUUUCUACAAACUGAAUUAAACUCACGAGGACAAACAAACUUUAAUUGAAAUAAGGAUGAACGGUUCAAAUCUCAGAUGAAAUAAGUCUUAAUUAGAUUUUACUUAACUUGGAAAUGAACUCUCAAUAAACAAAACCACCACAUAGUAAAUAAAAAAGUAUAAACGAGUCAGAGAGAUAAUUCUUAUAUGAUCAAAAAUACAACAAACCCAACGUAUUUAAGGACACGCAAUAAUACACAUUAACCAAUAAUUUUAAUAACAAUAAUUGUCAAUAAUAAUAAUAAUAAUAAUAAUAAUAAUAAUAAUAAUAAUAAUAACAAACAAUUUUUUUCUUCUUCUAUUUCUACAUUUUUCUAUCUGAGUGUGUCUAAACAAUUUAAAUUUAAUCAUAUGAGUUUAUCACGUAUAUAUAUUAUGGUACAUCAAUCAAAUAUGAAUGUGUGACUAAAGCAAUUUUUUGGGUAAAAAUUUAAAACAAGUUUUGGUAUAGCAACAAAUUUAAAACAAGUUCAGAUUUUAUAUGAAUGAGUGGGUCAUUAACCUGAAGAGCCUUUUCUAAAUGCUCAAGAACAACCGUAGGAAGAAUUCCCUUAAUACCACCUCCAUCAAUGUUGAGUAUGGUUAUUGUACUUCCAUAUGCAGGAGGUGGUAGCUUUGUAUUGAAUCCACCAAUCACCUGACUAGCAAAAACGAACAUUAAUAAAAGGAAAGCAGCCAUUAUAUUAUAUUAUAUGAGAACACAGUAUGAAGAGCUUGCAUUUUUUCUUGUAAAUGGGAAGGGUAUUUAUAGGCAUUUCGAGUCCAUGAUGAAAAUAUCAAAAUUACGCAAUGACCCCCAAAUCUUUGGAAUCCUGCUCCCCAUGUAUGAGGUUGUUUUUCACACAUUCACCUAUUCGGUAUAUGUGGUUUUUUUUUUUGUGGUGUCCGGGGUUCGAACCCCAGACCUUGUAUAUAUUAUGCAUUGUCCUUACCAACUGAGCUAAGUUCACGGAGCCGUAUACGUGGUCUUAAAAUUCAAGUUUGAUAUUUUCAAUUAUAAAAAAUUAGAAUAUAUAUUUUUUUUGGUCUUUUUGAGAGUUGUCUUAAGCAUGUUGGAGGUCAUGUCCUGUUUUUGGACCCUCAAAAUUUCGGACGGCGAAAUUAGUAUAUGCAAGUUUUUUUUUUAGUAAAGCAUACAUAGGAAUUUGAACUCUUAAAAUUUGGUAUAUGCAGGAAUUUGCUUAAACAAUCUCGAUAUUAAAAUUUAGGAUAUAUUAUUAUAAUUAAGUUCAUUAUUUUAAAUUUUAUUAAAAUUUGGACUUUUAUAAGCAAAAAAUUUAUUAAAAUUUAGACCUUGAAUAUUUCUAUUUAAUGUUUCUGAAGGAAUUUUGACCCUCAAUUUUUUGUGGCCCUGGUACCAAAACCCACCAUUACAUAUGUGUACAUUUCGAUGACAGUAGAUAAUCCACAUAUAUAGGACCAUGAUAUCAUUAUGUAGAAAGAAAAAGACAAUGACAUCGUACCAUAAACAUUACACCCUCCGUUUCUUUUUAAGUGUCUCUUUUGAACAAGAAAAAAAUUGUUCUUAUUUAAUUGUCAUUUUCAAAGUUCAAUGCAACAUUAAAUGUUAUUUUACCAAUAUUAUCCUUAAUUAUUUAUUGUGGAGUGAAAAAUAUAUGAAAUGAGAAUUUAAAUGAAUAAGGUCAUUAUAGUAAAAGUAUAACUUAUUGAAUCAAAAGUAGUAACAAUUAUUGAUUGUCUUGAUUUAUGUAAAAUGUCAAAAAGUGACAAUUAAAAAGGAACGGAUGUAAUAAUACUUAGAUUAGGUGAUAAGAUCGAGGCUAUAGAGAUUCUGGUUUCCCUGUAAAAAAAAUGCUGGUUUAAAUUCACAUUUUUCUGCUUUUCAACUCUUAAAAUAUUUAAAUAAAAAAUAAAAAAAAAAACUUUCUCUACUUUUUUAAUUUAGGGAUGGACCAUGGCCCACCUCUGCCCAUGAGUGACUCUAACACUGAGGCUAAUACCAUUUCUAAGUUUUGAUGAGUCGAUCGUUUUUACUUCAAGAACGGAUAUGCCUUAGUUGAUGACUUUUGAUUUGAGAUUGGAAGUUAGAGUCUAACUUCAAAAUUUUGGACUUAUUACAAUGUCUUCUCCUACAGACCGUGGUUUGAGUGGUGUCUCAAAAGUGUGUUUAGGGUGUUAUAGGGAGUAGCUUGUGCCACAAUGGACCUUUAGGUAGUCUUUGUUUUUUAGGCGGAAUAUUGUGUUAGCCGUCGUAGGCUCUUUAGAUGCUUCUUCCUGACAUCCUCUUACUCUAGACUUAUUGAGUGGGGACAGGGCUGGCCUAAAACAAGAGCAUCCAGGCCUAUGGCAUAUAGGGCUCCAAAUUUUGGGGGCGCAAAUUUUAUUUUUUUAUAUAUAUAAGCCAUUAAAAAAUAUAAUAUAUUAUCCGCGUAAAUUCAUGAUAGAUUUGUUUAGUUAGUCCAGUGGUUGGGGGAUUCAUGAACCUAUGCGUUGGCACGGGUUCAACUCCUAAGAUUCACACUUUUAUGCUUAUUUUUUUAAUUUAUUUUUUUUCCAGCAUUGAAGGGAUUUUGAUUUUGGGGCCUAAUUAUUCUGGAUUUCAACCCAACUCUCCUCCAAUUUAAGCUCCUAAUUUAAAAAAUAAAAAAAAUUACAGCAGGGCCUCAUAAUUGUUUAAGACGGCCCUGAGUUGGGACCGUCUUGCUUUGUUUUUUCAUUGGUGGUUUGUUUUUUCAUUGGUGGUGGAAUCCGAAAUUGUUCGAAUAGGUGAUUUUUGGUUGUUUAGCUGUGGGAAGAGAAGCAGAGGUGAUGUUGUAGUGGUUUUUAGGCAGGUUGGUGGUUAUUUUGGAGGGGUUUGAAGGCAAGUCGUAUGUGUUUGAAAGUUGUUUUUGGGGUCGCUCAAAAUGGAGUUUGAGAGUUUGACAGAUAAUUUGUUUCUGUUGUAUGGGGGUUUGACUUUGAUUUUAGAGUUGGCUUCGAUUUUGGGGUUUAGUUUUUAAUUGCUUUCGGAGGCAACCCUAUGUUGAGUGAUGUACCAAAUAUAUAGGUUCUCUUUUGAGUGUUUCGAUUGUGUACUAACGUUCUUUGCUAUGUUUGUCACAAUCUUGCAUGACCCUAUUCAUAUUAAACAAAUAUUUAGAUUUUAAUAAAUUUUCCCGUUUAAAAAAAAACAUUGAUAACUUAUAUUCAAUUUUUGUUUCAUUCAAUAUGGAAAUUUUAACGAUAAAUAUUCUACUUUUUACAUGUAUUCCUGCCUUCGAACACAAUACCAUACCUCAUUUACUCAGAUUUACCAAACUACUAGCAACAAAAUUAAAGGCUUACUCUCCUUAGCCUUCCAUUCCAUGUACCUUUACUGCCCAGCACAACGUACACAAACAAUACAGACAUAUGUAUCUUCAAUGCAAAGCACUAGGCACAUUACCGACAUAGUAUGUAGCUUAAAUGCCCAACCAACUACUAAGCAAAACAGCGGGAAAUGAGUAAAUGAGUAAAUGCUUGCACGUGUAAAACAGAAAAAAAAACCUGAUUACCAAAGUGCAAAACAUAUGUGGCUAGUAGGCUCCUGCAACGUAUAUAACUCUCCUAUGCAAAUAAUCUAUCCAACAACAAAAUAUAUAUAGUUAAAUAUAUUUUAAGUCUCUAUUAAAUUAUUAAGUUUUAUUUUUCGUCUCCAUGAAAAGAUAGCACUGGUCUCUAAAAUACUAUUAUCACACAAAUAAUUUUAGUCUUUCUUGUUAAUUUAACAUAUGUUUUUGAAUGUUUUUCUUUGGACAUAUUUAGAACAUUAUAAAAUGCUCAUAUGCAAAAUUUAAAAAUUUUAAACAUCAGAUAAAUUAAAUAUGAAUUUUUCAAACGUCAAGAACUCAAGAUAAAAAAAAAAAUUAACCAAGAAAUCAAAUUUUAAACUCAUUUUUUUUUUUUUUGAAGAAAUAAUAAUUUUAAACUCGUUUUUAGUGUAGAAAUUUUUUUAUAAUAAUGUUUAAUCAUGUCUAGAAUAAAGCAUUCAAAAAUAUUUUUUAACUUAACCACAAAUGAUUAAAAUUAUUUGCAAGAUAUCUUUGAAAGGACUAAAAAGUGCAAUUCUAUUAUGAAGACAAAAAAACAUCCUUUUUAUUUUGGCCGAGACAAAAAUACUUUGAAUCUUAAUAUUAUAAAGGAGUGUACCACUUUUUUUUUCUUUUUUUAAUUAAACAAAACUUAUUCCCAUAAAGUCACAAACUAUGCAUGUGUUUCACACAAUGGUAUUCUCUCUGCUUUUUUUUUCUUUUGGUUUCACAUAGAUUUUCUCUAUCAGAGAUAAUCUUAAUCGAGAUGUGCCGCGAUGACUAAAUAUAGAUAUCUCUUACAAUAAAAAUUUGAUCCUUGAUUCAUAAAAGAUAAAGCAAAAAGAUAAAAGAUAAGUUUAUAAAAGUAGAAUGAUUUGAUUGAUUGUGUGUGUAACAAAAUAUAGAAGUGCAGUGUUUAUUAACCAAGAGAAAUGAUAUUUGUACAACCAUUUUCUUACAACUUUUGGGACAAUCCUUUUUCAUACACUCAUUAUGCUCUUGUUUUCUCUCUCUAUUGCUUUGAUUUUCGUACUAAGACAUACAUUUCUUUCUAUAUUCUUGUUUGUCUCAUAAAUUGUACAAAAAAUAGUUGUUCAAAUAACAUACCUCAUUAACCAAACUAGUCCUAAAGUCCAAAACAACAUGACCUACAAAAGCCGGUCUCUUUCAUAUAUUUUUAGAGUUAAUGCGCAGUUCUUUCCUUUGCUGGAUGUAUGUACGUGGUGCUCCAUGUUUGGCUUGUUUCCCCAUAUCUCCCAGUGAUUUCUGUUUUUAUUUUAGAAAGAAAAAAAAAAUACUAUGUUCUUUAGAAAGUGGAACACUGGGUAGUGAUAUUAAGAUUUAAAUACUAUGUUUUUUUUCCUACAAAAUUAUAAAAUUGAAUUUCUUGUCUCCAUAAAAAAAAAAAAAAUAAUCUCAGUUUUUUGGUCCUACAAAAUUAUAUCGCAAAUAAUUUUAGUCAUUAUUGUUAGGUUGACAUAUUUUUUGAAUGAUUUGUUGUCCACAUGUUUUAAACAUUAUAAAAAAUCUCUCAACUAAAAACGAGUCCAACAUUUGAUUUUUAAGUUAAAGAUUUUUGUUAUUUUAUUUUGAACUUUUGGCGUUUUAAAUAUUUAUAUUUAAUUUAUUGAAUGUUUAAAAAAUCUAAAAUUUUGAUUGAGAAGCGUUUACGGUUUACUAAUGUUCUAAACAGGGGCAUACCUAUUCAAAGGCCAAUGUGUGGCUAAAGCCACACAUCCAACUUCUCUAUUUUUUAUUAUAAAUAGAGGUAAUAGUCAUUUUAGUCAUGAAUAUGUAACGAAUAAUCAUAAUAGUCUCUUAAUCUAUUAAAAUUCUAAAAUAGUUCAUGAUUUUGCUCUUUGUUAGUCAAAAUAGUCCUUGAAAGUGACAAUAAGUAAAUAUAUUGAAGUACUGAUAUGACAGUAUUAACAAAAUAUUUUAAUGUUAUAGAUUAUUUUGACUAACGAAAUGUACAAUCAAUGACAAUUUGAAAUUUUAAUACAUUAAGAGACCAUUUUAGCCCAACGUUUAUAAAAUGUCUAUAUCCAUCCAUGAAUCUAAACAUGUCUAACAAAAAUCAUUCGAAAACAUAUGCUAACUAAACAGCAGAGACUAAAAUUGUUUGCAAAAUAUAUAAUUUUGAAGAUGUUAAUGCAAAUUUUUUCAUGGAGAUGAAAAAUGAAACUUAAUAAUUUCAUGGAGACAAAAAACGUAUUUAAGUUCUAUAGACUUGCUAGAUUCUUUGUAUAGGAGAGGUGUAUUUUUUUUGGAAAUAUGUUUCACGUGUGGUUGAAAUUGAAAUGCAAGUUUAUCUUUUGCUAAGCAAUUUUGGAAGGAUAUAUGGAGUGAGUAGUUGGCUGGGCAUUGAAUAUUAAUAUGUACGUGGUUCUUGUCAUUGAAGAUGCAUGCACGUAGUGUGUGCAAUGUACGUAGUGCUGAGCAAUGACGAUGCAUGGCAUGAUAGGGAAAGGAGAGUUGGCCAUUUAAUUUUGGUUGCCAGUAGUUUGGUAAAUCUAUCACUACUAUAUUAAAAAAAUUGCUUUUUUCGCAUGUUUUUUUUUUAAAAUACAUGAAAAUGAGGUUUUUGUUUAGAACCGUAAUUAAUUACUGUUUGUUCUUUUCGAUGGUAGUUAACUACCGUUUCACAUAUACAAUUUAAAAAAAUAAAAUAAAUAGUAGUUAACUAUCGUUGAGUAAAACCCAUCAAAAAGGUUUUAUCUCGCCCAAGUGAAACUGAAAAGAAAAUAUAAUAAGGUAUUUAGGGUUUGUUUUUAUUCUGUCUUUGACAUGGGGAGGCAGUGAGGGUUUAUCUGACACCAAGGCAUGUUUUUCUAUCUUACCCUCUUUUCCUUCUUUCCUUCCUCGUUUUACCUUUCCAUCCAUCCAGUUGUUUAGAGAUUUAUUGCCUUUGGAUUUUGCUUUUGCUUUAGGGUGGUUAAUUACCAUUGGAUUUUUUUAGUUGUAUAUGUGGAAUGAUAGUUAAUUAAUGUGGGACUGUUUAUAAUAUUGAUAACAUUUGCAUGUUUUAGAUUUAAUGAUGAAGUAAUACCUUGAAGUUAAUUGAAUUAUUAUUUAAUAUUGUAUUUGGGUUUAAGGAUUUACGGAUUCAAAUAGAAUUUUUUUGUCAAGUAGUCUAAUGGUUAAAAAUAAAUCUUUAAGGUCAAAAAGUAAAGAAUGCAUUGUUCGAACUCUCGUCCAUACAUAUAUAAUGUGAUGUUACCAAUUGAGUUAAACUCACGGAGAUCGAUCCAUACGAAAUUUAAUUGAUAUAAAUAAAUGUUAUCAAAAAUGUGUGAUGGAGAGUGUGUUGCUAGUAUUUUUCAAAUUUCUAACCUACAACUUUACUAAAAUUUCAUAACAAUGCCACAAAAAUUUAAAAAAUAUAAAUAAUAAAACACAUGGUAAAUAAAUAUUUGUUAAAGUGUAAGAAUAUAUAAAAUACCUCUUGUAAUAUAAAAUACCUCUUGUUCAUCUCACUUUGAAAAAUGCUCUUUUACACCCUAAAAAGGCGUUAAUACCCCAAGCGGCGAGUACUUGCCGCUUGGUGUCAGCACUUGUUAACUACCAGUCGCUACUGCGAUAGUUAACAGUCGUUGCGUGUACUUUCCAGUAUUAGGCCUAGCCUUUACCGCCUCACUCAUAUUUCACCAUUUUUUUUCCCUCUACCACCCAAAAACCCUCAAGUACGAAAUUGCAAGCAAAAUCUUGAUCUUAAAUCAUCGGAGAAGGAUUUCUAGAAGGUUUUUACCUCAUUUGACGUCAACAAACAAACAAUGCAUCUUUUAACUCAUUUACAUUGUUCAAAUAUUCUGCCAUGUUUUUGUUUUGUCUGACACGUAAAUGUAAUGACACUUAACAACAAUUGGGGGCCAACGUUUGUUAAUUGUCGUUGGGCCAUCAGUACUUAAGUGUCGUUGGUGCCCAAUUUUUGAAUUUUGGCGCUUUUUCAAAAAAAUAAUAAUAAUAAUCAUUGAGUCAUUCGAUAAGUUAUUGAUAAUUUGUUUUUGCCACUUUUUAUUAUUUGUUGAUAGUUGAAAAUGUGAUAGAUGAUGUUGUUGACUCUAAACCGCCUAAUGUUGAAGCUUCUUAUGUUGCUUCUGAUAAUGUCAAACCUUCUAUAUGGCAUGUGUGACCACAUUUGUUUAGUUGCGUGACCACUAUUUUUCCAUAAUUUAUUUGGUUAACUAAGUGGGAAAAUAGUGGUCGCGCACAUUUUAGUUCAUGAUCACAUUUUUCAGGUUUUAAAUAGUGGUCACGCAACUGAAAAAAUGUGGUCUCACAAAUCAUAUAUUUAGUUAACUGAAAUUUUCGAGAGUGGUACAAAUGGGUGUACACAUUAAGGAUGUCUACCAAUCUUUAUUCUUUUAAUCGAGGCUUCAUUUAUUCCAUUUAGGAAGAGUGUUUGGAUGAGUUUUUUUUUUUUUUUAUUAAUUAUUACAACACAUUAAAAAAGAAAGGAAAAUUAAACAAAAGGAGGAAAGGACCAAAUUCUUUUCAUAAGCAAAAGUAUUACAAGGAAUACAAAGUGCUAUCAAAUCCUUAACUCUUAUUCUCUAAAAAAAAAAAAGUCACACCCACACACUUAACAAGACCGAAUACACGAAAGCCACAGAUACAUUGUUUUAUUUAUUUCACAUCAUGCAUAUAGAGAACUUGCAACGUAUAUAGUACAAGCAUGCUUCAUUAUAUAUAGACACAUUUGGCAUUUAUUUCAUUCCAGAGACAACUGCUUCAACAAAUGGUCGUCCCAUUUUCUCCAUGGAUUUUAUUUUCUCCAUUGAUUUCGUUUUCAAACGCAACUGCUUCUCCUUGUAGAGAGUUUCAGCCAACCUUCAUAAAAUAUAAUUGUCACAUAGUUAACAUUUCCUAUUAAUUAAAUGAUAAAAGAAAAAUAAUAACAACACACACAAGUUAAUUUAAUUUGUGUAAAACAUUGUUUACAUUUUUUAAAAGAAAAGAUAUAUCUUAAUGACGGAAGUACACAUCACUAGGUACAUAGUUUUAAACUUUGUUACAAACAAACAAAGUUUCCUAACCUAAACAAUAUUUAACUUACAACAAUAAACAAUGAAGGUCAUCAUGACAUUACUAUAGAAAUGGAAUAAAACAAUUUAAUUUACUAUAUGGUUUAAUCCUUUAGCAUGGUGUAUCACAUCAAUCUAAAAAUUAUGGUAAGUAAAUUGCACAGACCUUUCAAGAGCCUGAGCAUUUGUACCCUCAGUUGGUUUUUCGUAUGGGACAAAAGAAGUAACAUCCAUGACCUUAACAGUUUCUUCCAGUAAGUCAUCUCCUGCCUUUACAAGUUUGUCCAGGUUUUCUUUGGUAGUAUCAUCGCCUCCUAUGGAUGGAUCUAAAUUAUACUCCUGCACAUUAUAUUAUAUCAAAAUAAAAUAAAAUAAAAUAAUCACCAUAAAGAAAUCUUUGUCAACAAUUAUGUUUUUAAGUACACGUUUUUAUUAAAAAAUAAUAUACAUCAUAUGUUUUUUUGUGAAUCAAAAAACUAUAUCAAGUGGAGAAACAAUAUAUAUAUAUAUAUUUACAUUAAAAAAUAGUACUUUUUACUUUAUAAAAUGAUGUUGAAGACAAUUUAUUACGAUUUCUAAAAUUUGAAAUAUAAAAAACAUAUUAUAAGAUAAAUUAUGAAAAGUAAUUUUUCAAUACAAAUAAAAAUUACUCUAUUGCAUAACCUAGAUACAUGCAUGUAUCAAUGUACCUCAAUUCGAAGGUAGUAAUUGUCUGAAGACCGAUGACUUGGAAAUAUUGAUUCAAGAUGAUAUUCAUUUAUAUCUCCAACAGCACCAGCAAUAGCUGGAAGUAUCAGUUGUGGCCAUUCUAUUAAUGCCCUAAAAGAUGUUGCAUAUGUAGCAUUAACCCCCUUAUCCUCUCCAUCUCUUCCACAUCCUAAUGAUAACAAGAGGAUUUUGGUAGGUUGAUUUUCAUUCACAGAAAUGAAAUCAGAAUUCUUUUCCUCUAAUAGUUUUAUCACUUCACUCACUGCAAGCAAUGCCUGCAUAUACAAUUUUUUAUCGUGUGAAAUUAAACAUACAUAUUAUUUUGAAUAUUUGCUUUAUCAUAUAUAAACAUUAUUACUUGAGAUUAAGAGUAUCAAGUAUGAGUUUUUUUUUUUCUUUCAAAAAAAUAUCAAGUAUGAGUUAAGACCCUUUCUAUUUAUCAAAAGAAAUAUAAGACUCCAUAUUUAACCAUACAUUAGUUAAUUUCCUACUAAUAAUAAUUUUCAGACAUAUAUAAUUAGCUUACCGGACUGCUUGCAACUAGAGCACCAUCAACUAAAUUGAAUUCAAUAUCACCAUUCUUAAAGCCAUAAGGAGGUAGUAAGGUUGGUGCAGCUGAAGUCCCAAUGGCUAUAUCCGACAAUUUUGCAUCUAGGUCUGGAACUUUCUCCACCUGCAAUCCAUGAUGAGAAAAGUUUCACAAUUAACACCCACGAGUUAGAGUAUUCUACUCAAGCUUAGAAAAAACAAACAUUAAUGGUAAAUAAAAAGUUAAGAUUAUACAUAUAUGUAAAUUAAUAUGCGGACCUUGAAGCUUGAAAAAACAACUGGUUUGACUUUCUUGAUAUCGUAGGUUGGGAUUACAACAUUGGUCAAUGUAUCAUGCAAUCGUGUUUCUUGCAAUAUCUCACGUGCUUUAUCAUGUAAGAACUUCCCGUCAUACUUUGGACGCUCGGAAAGGUUAAACCACCAUCUGUAUUUUGUUUUAGUCACAAAACAAAAUAUAUUAAGAUUAGUAUAAAAGUUACUCUUAUUAAUAAUAAUUUCCUCCUUUAAUUUCAAUUUCUUUUUAUUAAUAAGAAAGUAAGAAAUACCUAGCGGAAGUUUGAUUGAAUAUAGAAGGACCAAAGUCUAAGUAGAAUUUUAAGAUUUCAGGAGUAUAAAGUGCAGGGCGAGAAGGGUCGUUUGGAUGAGGAGCAGCAAGCAUAGCAGCAAUGAGUCCUCCUGUGCUAGCCCCUGAUAUCACAUCAAAAUAAUCCGCCAAUGCUGCGUUUUCAUCUUUUGUCACAUUCUGAUAAAUCAAAUCAAAAAAACUAAUUAAGUAGUUGUAUUGAAAUAAUUAAUGAACGAACUUUAAUUUUUUUUUUUUUGAGGUGUCCAUAGUUUGAACCCCGAACAUUAAUGCAUAUAUUAUGCAUUGUUUCUACAAACUGAAUUAAACUCACGAGGACAAACAAACUUUAAUUGAAAUAAGGAUGAACGGUUCAAAUCUCAGAUGAAAUAAGUCUUAAUUAGAUUUUACUUAACUUGGAAAUGAACUCUCUAUAAACAAAACCACCACAUAGUAAAUAAAAAAGUAUAAACGUGUCAGAGAGAUAAUUCUUAUAUGAUCAAAAAUACAACAAACCCAACUUAUUUAAGCACACGCAAUAAUACACAUUAACCAAUAAUUUUAAUAACAAUAAUUGUCAAUAAUAAUAAUAAUAACAAAUUUGGGCUUUGCCCUCUCUUGUACCAAAAAAAAAAAUAAUAAUAAUAAUAAUAAUAAUAACAAACAAUUUUUUUCUUCUUCUAUUUCUACAUUUCUCUAUCUGAGUGUGUCUAAACAAUUUAAAUUUAACCUAUGAGUUUAUCACGUAUAUAUAUUAUGGUACAUCAAUCAAUAUGAAUGUGUGACUAAAGCAAUUUUUUGGGUAAAAAUUUAAAACAAUUUUUGGUAUAACAACAAAUUUAAAACGAGUUCAGAUUUUAUAUGAAAGAGUGGGUCAUUAACCUGAAGAGCCUUUUCUAAAUGCUCAAGAACAACCGUAGGAAGAAUUCCCUUAAUACCACCUCCAUCAAUGUUGAGUAUGGUUAUUGUACUUCCAUAUGCAGGAGGUGGUAGCUUUGUAUUGAAUCCACCAAUCACCUGACUAGCAAAAAUAAACACAAAUAAAAGAAAAGCAGCCAUUAUAUAUUGUGUACUAAUUAAUGCUUCAAAGAGAUAACACAAUUUGAAGGGCUUGCUUUCUUCCUUCCAAGUGUUAAGGGUAUUUAUAGGCAUACAUCAUGUCCAUGAUGAAAAUAUUAAAAUAAAGCAAUGACCCCAAAUAUUUGAUAAUGCUAAUUAUAGUUUGUAGGGUCGGUUCUAAGACUUUUGACACCCAUGACAAAUAAAUAUAGUUGUGCUAUUUCAAUUAUUCAAAUAUUUUUUUUUAAUGCAAAAGAUUCAUUCAUAUGUAAGGAUUUAAAAAAAAAAUAUCAAUAGAGUUAAUCUAAGUCAGCUAAUAUAUAUAUACUAACUACUAAGUUAAAAUAACAAUGUUGGUGCUCCUAAAAAAAAUGGGCCCUUCCCUCCCGCCAAUGUUAAGGGAUAACCCUCAUAGCUUGUAUAUAGUAUAUGAUCAACUAAAUAAUAUUUUUUUAUUUAGAAAUAUUAUUUAAACUAAUAUACACAUACGUGCAUUCGGUACUCGUAUGUUCGUUGUUUUUGCGUUAAUGCAUAUAAAUUACAAACAAUAGUUUUAAUGAAAUUUUGAUUUUUCUUUCAAAAAUGAAAUUUUGAUUAAAGUUAUAGAUAUGAAUAUUUUGCACUUUUAUAUGUAACAAACUAUAUUUAUCUUUUUCAACAAUGUAGCAAAUAAAAUAUAAAUUCUUAUCUUUUUGAUUGUCAGUAGCAAUAUAAUAUUCUUAUAGAUAAAUUUAUUUAAAGGUAUAUGCAGAAGUGGAAAAGUCAUUUCAAAUCAUGUAUUCAAUUGUCUUCGUGAGCUUAACUCAGUUUGGCAAAGACAAUGAAUAAUAAAAACAAUAAUUGAGUAUUCCCUCCGUUACUUUUUAAGUGUAUUUUUAGAAAACUUUAAUAUGAAUCCAUAAAUAAAUAUCUAUUUCUUACACGAGUAAUUGAGAUGGACCACAUACAUCAUUAAAUGAAUGAACCUAAAAAAUGAAUUUUGCUUAUAUUUUGAAACGGAAGGAGUACUUUUUAAGUGUCUUUUUAGAAAAUUAACACCGAAUUAGCAUUGUGUAUUUUUGCACAUUUUUUCCCUAUUAUACUCUAAUUUUAAUCCACCAAUAAAUUCUUAUUUUUUAGCACACACUUUAUCUUUCCAAUAAAUUUAAUAUUUUCUAACAAACAAUUGUCGAUUAAUAUAUUUUUCUCCAAAAAAUUCCUAUUUUUUGGUUCUUAUAUCUUCAACUAUUUCUCCCUCUUCACCUCUCAUCAACCGUUCCAAUGAAUCUUCCACUUUUUCUUCCUUUUGAGCAUUCAUGGAGUCUUUUAUUUUUUUCUCUCAAAUUUGUUCUUUUACUUUGCUAUUGAAAUUUUUAACAAAUGAUACUCAUUUUAUUUAUAGAAUUUUAUCUCGUCUUGUAACCAUUAGGUAGAAGAAAAAAAACUCUUCUUGAAACCAUUGUUUGUAAAAAAAAAUUGUUUAAAUUUGAAGAUUACAAGAAACAAACUUUGUUUAAAAAAAGAAAUAAACUUUAAUUUUCUAAAUAGAUGACAUUAAUUAAUUUUAUUUAAAAGAUAAGAGUAAUUGACAAAGGGCAUAAUUGACAAAUCAUACUCUUAAUUAAAAUAAAAUAAAAAAGUUAAAUAUGAACGUAAAAAUUCAACCUAAAUAGACACUUAAAAUGUAUAUGAGGGAGUACAAGUUAAAUACUUCGCUAUCCUAAUAUAAGUAUCAUAUUUAGUUAUAUUAAUAGUCACAUAUCAUCAUUGUAUUAGGAUGAUUUGAUUUAUCGUAAUAAGUUUGGAGUGACUCUUAUACUCUUGUUAAUGAAAAAUUUGUUUAAAAAAAAAAACAAUACUAUUUUAUAAAAGAAAGACAAGACACUUAUUUAAAAUGGUUGGAGUAUGGUAAAUGUUGUAUAAAAAGUGUGUUAAAUGAAUAUUCAUAGCAAGGUUUUAAAUAUUGAUGACACUUAUUUAAAGCCUUGAUUUAUAGUUUAUUUUUAACGUGCCAAUUUUAGAAAGAAAAAAAAAAGUAUGUAUAAUAUGUCUGAAUGUUAAACACGUAGAUAUCCUUGUCUUGGAUGUUAAAGUCGAUUCAGUUCACCUGUUCUGAUUAAGUUAAUAUGGAUUAUUCUAUACCAAGCAAUUCAUUCCAAAUGUGUCCGGUUAGGCUUAUGUGGAUAGAACGACAAGCGGUGGAACAUGUACGUUGGUGUGGUCCUGUGUGAUAGUCGUGGCAGAAUUGGCAUGAGUACAACAUGGUGAAAAUAAUUUAAACAUUCAAUAAUAAGAUUAAGAAGGAAUUAAUUAAAGUUGACGUUAUAAUAAAUGAUGAAAUGAUAAGGAGGACGGAUAUACAACGCCGGGCGGUGGAAUAGAAUAGCCGUGGUGGGGUUGGCACGAGUUAAAAAUGGUGAAAAUUAAGUAUUAUAUAAGAUAAGAUAGAACGGAAAUAAUUAUUCUCUAUUUGGUAUAAAUAACAGAUAACUAAUAAAGUUAGAGAUAUGGUUGGUAUGAGAGAGGGAGUUGGUUGUUUGAUAAUAUUAGGCGAGAGGUUGGUGAUGGGUUAACUAUAUUGUUUUGGAGAUUGGAUGAUGUACCAUUACAUGUUAGGUUCAAUAGGAAGUUGUGGAAGAGUGUGUGGAUUGUUAACAUCGGUUUGUAUUACAGGUUAAUAAGAAGGAUUUUUGGGUUUUGGCCGUUGCAUGCUUCUGAUUGUUAUACGGUUAACAAUGCUUAUUAUUACUUGAUUGAGGCGUACGAUGGUAACGUCGAGGACAAUAGUGAUGUUUUGUAUCUGAAAGCGGUUCGUUUAAAAAAAAUCUCAUGACAGCUACUUCUUAAUCGCGUUCUGCUAAGGAUAAUUUGGUGCGGUGACAAAUGCUUUAAAUUUUUUAUGAGAUUUGUACAUGUGCACGUGAUUUGAAUGAAGAUAGAGACCAUCUAUGAUUUCUACAGUAGGUUUUGGUUAUUGGUAGCAAAUUGGCUUGGUUUUUCAACGGUAACUCAGGGUUCUUUACGGGAUCAUCUGGUUUAGUUUGACAACUUAGAUGGCUUUUCAAAGCGUGUUCGAUUGACUUUGUAUUUAACUUAUGUAGUUUAGGUAAUUUGGAAGGAGAGAAACAUACAAAUAUUUUAGUACAAGGAGGAACAAUUACAAAACUUAAGCGAAAAGGUUAAGCUUCGGUCAUAUUGAUGGUUAAAAUUGAAAUAUGUCAAAUUCGAUUUUGAUUAUCAUUUUUGAAGACUUAGCCAUCUUUAAUGUUUAGUUGUUUCUUAAUUUUCUUGUUUAUGUUCUUGUUUCCACUUUUUUUAUAUUGUAACUUUGUGACGUUAUUCGUCUCCCUAACACAUCUUGUGGUAAAUGGAUUAUUUGGUUGAUUAAUAUAAUUCAUUUUGUCAUCUUCAAAGAAAAAAAAGAUGAUGACAUACUAGGUAUUCUUAUAUGUUUGUUGGUUUGUGUAAAAACAAAUUAGAUAAGAUGUAGAAUUGUUGUUAAAUAUUCAGAAGUUUCAGCUCAACUGACAAAAUGUUAAAAUAGUUAGAUUGGAUGCCAUGACCAGGGUUCGAACCCUGAUACCUCCACUUAUUUAUCUAAAAAAAAAUUGUUGUCAAAUAAAUAAGAUUACUUCUUUGUAACUAACUCCCUUACUUCUUUGUAACUCUCUUGACAACAAAUUAUCCUAUUUUUAUAUGUAUUCCCGCCUUUGAACACAAUAACCUGCCUCAUUGACAAGAUUUACCUAACUAGUGUCAACCAAAUUAAAUAGCACUCUCCUUUCCUUCCUCCCCUAAUUUGUGAUUUUUUCCAUGUUGAACACACACAUCUUGGAUACACUACAACCAACUACUCAUCUCGAUAAUGCUAAACAUGCUUAGCAAAACAGAAGGAAAAAACAAAUGGUUGCAUGUUAACUAUUUAAUAAACCUCGGCAAAGAAUCUAGUAGGAAGUAAGGAAUGGAUUAUAUGACUUAACUAUUUAAUAACUUUGGUGAUUUUAUAACCCAUUUGUGUUAUUUAAUGGCGUUGACUUGGUACUUUAGAGUGUGCUCAACUUCAACGUCUCAAUUAAGUUUGAUUUUUUCUUAUGUCAAUUUUAGUGGCAUAAUUUAGCUUCUUUAAAAAAAUAAACUUAGGUGAUUUUAGUAUAUUUAGAAGAUAAAUGAAAGAUUAAAAUAAACUAUUUCGAUGAUAGAAAAAAAAACUUUGUGAUUUUAAUAUAUUUAGAUUAGAUGAUAAAUAAAUGAUUAAAUAAACUAUUUAAAUGAUAAAGAAGGAUUGAUUAAAAGAGGGAUUCGAAGAAAGCCACUAAAAUCACCCAAUUUUAAUCCCUCUAAAACAAAUGCCAACACGUUUAUCAAUAUAUCACUGUGUCAAAUUGUGUAUACUCUAAAUAACUUUUUCACUUAAUUACUUUUUUGGUCUCCUAACUUAUUUUUCGGUUUCGUUUUGGUUCCUUAACUAUUAAAAGUUUUGUUUUGGUCCCUUAACUUACUUUUUGGUUUCGUUUUGGUCCCUUAACUAUUAAAAGUUUCGUUUUGGUCCCUUAACUUAUUUUUUGAUUUCAUUUUGGUCCCUUAACUUAUUUUUUGGUUUCAUUUUGGUCCCUUAACUCUAAUACAUUCAUCAUAACAUAAAGGACCAAAGUGGUUGACGGAGGAAGAGUUAAGGGACCAAAACGAAACCAAAAAGUAAGUUAAUGGACCAAAAUGAAACUUUUAAUAGUUAAGGGAUCAAAACGAAACCAAAAAGUAAGUUAAGUGACCAAAACGAAACUUUUAAUAGUUAAUGGACCAAAACGAAACCAAAAAAUAAGUUAAGAGACAAAAGAGUAAUUAAGCAUAACUUUUUAAAUCAUUCAUAAGUUAAACAAUUUAAAUAGUCUGCAUAUUUACAAUCACCUGGUUAAAAUAUGAUAUAUCCUUUGAAAGUUUUAUCAAUAAAGUACAUCUUAAAAAAAAGUACAUCUUCUUGAAAUAUAAUUUUUUUUUACUAAAAAAUAUUUUUUCAUUCAAAUUAUUAGAAAACAUUACUCAGUGCAAACAAGUUAAUAGGCAAACUAACUAAUUAAUCGAAAUUGACUGAAAAAAGGUUUAAGGUUGAUAUUACUUGGAAAUUAAACGACAUAGAUAGAUUGAAAUGAUGAAUUUUACUUAAAUUAUGAGUUUUCUUAACCCCUUUCACGAGCUUUAAUAUUUAAACAUUGAGGACAACAUGCAAUUUUAGCAUGACAAAUUAAAUUCACUUUAUUUGUCUACUUAGUUUUUAGUCUCUUUUAGUUUAAUUUUGUUUAGGAACAAUAAGAAUUGAAUUUUUCCAUGCUUGGUGAAAUUUUUUCCACAUCUUUGAUAAUAAGCCAAAUCAUUUGUGCAUGUAGUGGGCAAAGGACAAGGAAACUACUCUUUUGUGCAUGUUAUGUGAAAUUUCCAGUUUGAUAAGUUAGCAUUUUUUCUGAACACAUGUUAUUCUCCUUGUGCUUUCAUGCGUCAUUGAUUAAUUGGUUACCCUUUGAUUUUGUUCUCCAGGGCUUGCAUCAUUCUUCCUUCCAAAAUUAACCAUUUCUAUGCAUUAUAACUCCUAUAUUACGAUUAAUAAUAAAAUCCCUUUGUUCAUAAAGAGAUAACUCAUUUAAGACUUUUUUCGUCAACUUUCAUUUGUUGUGUACGAUUGAUUAUGCCAUGUCUUGAUUACGUCGUUUAAUAUUUCAUAUCAUUUAGCUCAAUUUGAUUCUUUCGGAGGCUUUUCUAAAUGCAAGAAAAACAUUAUUCGUUUAGUUUGAUUUUCUUCUGCUUGGGUUUUAUUGAAAGAAAGAUAUGUAAGAAUCUUCAAGAGUUCACAAAAUACUAUUCACUACUUGUUUGACAACAUUAAGCGCAAUAUUUUGGUUGGUUGAAAGCGAAGCACAAAACUCUUGCUUUUGACUACCAUUUGUGGUGGACUAAUCCUUUAAAUGUCUCGUGAUGGUUCUUUUUAUUUUCAUUCAUGUGUUCCUUAUCAGUGCAUGAUGUAACUUGAUUUUUCUCUUUGCUUCUUUCUAGCACACCUUAUACAGGGCAACUAAAGAGAUUUGGUUAUUUUUUUUAGGAAUAAAGAGAUUUGGUUAAUUGAAAUUUCAUUUUAACUUCUUCAAAAAAAAAAUACAUCCAUUGUUUGAAUAUUUCGUGAUGCAAUGGAUUAAUUGUUGGAUUAAUUAUUUAAUUAACUGUUGAUAUUUGGUUUCAAAUUUGUGGUUUGGAAGAACACAGAAAUCGCGACACGAAUUUGGCAUCGUGACACGAUUUCGUGAUGCCGUGAGCUAGUUUGCAGGGUGCCAAAUCGUGACACGAUCUUGGGAAAUCGUGACACGAUUUUCAAACUUGCUCGUUAAGUAUCCUUGAUAAGGACUGGUCAUACCUUGGGACAUACGUUCAAAUCGUGACACGAUCUGGAAAUCGUGACACGAUUUUAUCAGAGGAAGGCUAGUAUUUAAAGUGUUCUUGUGCUUUUUUGAAGGAGAGCUUGGAAGAGCUUAGAGAGAGAAACUUGGAUUACAAAGGAGGGAACUCUAGGGUUGAGUGUCUUUGUAGAGAGGGUCUCUUGGGUUGGGAAAAACAUUGUAAUCACCUUGGGUAGUGAGAUUUCACCAUUGGAAGGAUCUAAAGCUUCCUCUAGUGUCUUCUCUUUUAGGGUUCAUAUUGUGAGAGUGGGGAAACACAAAUGGGUAGAAUCUAGGUCUUGUACUUGUGUAAGCUUGCAAGCUAUUUUUCUUGUAACCCUUUGUAACACUUUCAUCAUAGUGGAUUGGAGAGCUGCUCUCUCCCCCAGAUUAGGUCAUAUUGGUUGAACUGGGUCAACAAUCUUUUUGGUGUGUUUGUUCUUCCUUUCUAUCUUAUCUUGUUUGCUUGUAUUCUCUUGUGGUGUUGCUCUACACUAGACUAGGGCUGUUUUUGUUGUUGUUGCUUGGAGACACUUUACUCAUAGAUUACCACUCCCUUUUACUCCACACAUCUUUGUUUUCAUUGGUGUGAGUUUUAACCGGAUUCACAACAUUAACCAAUUAUGGAUUGAGAAUAAUCAAUUAUUAUAAGUUAAUGUUCUAAUAUAAAUUAUGAUCUAUUGUGUUAAGCACUAAUUAGUUGAUGAAUAUGUGUGAUUGGGCUAUUCUUUCUAAAUGGACCGUGAUGAGUUUGACCAUUUAGCUAAGCCUAAUGAGAGAUCCAUGCCCUCAGCCGUUUAGCCAUUUAAACGUCAUCCUCCCACGGUUAAAGUAUUCUGACCAGUAUGGUGCAAACCUAAACGAAUGAGGGUAGUCAUCCCUCUCAUAUCUAUUGGCAGUUAUCCUCCAUCAACAUAAUUCAAGGUACACAAAUUCUUAUUCCUUCUUUAUUAUCAAUGAUAUGCUAUAACUUGUAUAUAUCUACUAAUCUAGGUUAAAAUAGAAAACUUUUAUCAAUUGGUAUCAGAGCCAGGUUGAUACAUGUUAUUGGCUAUUGUUGAAACCGAUCGAGUUGUAAUGUAGUAUACAUGUUGAUUGUAGUAGUCGGUUUUGGCUUUUGUGAUUUAGAUGAAUUCAAUUUAUGGUAGUUUUUUUUUACUCUCUAUAUACUAAAACUCUAUAUGCCAAAACUGAUGUGUGAUAGUACCUCUGGUGCACGAUGAAUAUUUUCUAACGACAUGUUGAAUUUUGCUAUUUUUUACCAUUAAGGGUUUUCUAGUUUUGAGAUAAGAACCAUUGUUCUGUAGGAUUCAUCAAUUAAUUCUUGCAUGAAUCUGUAUCAAUAUCUAUCUAUUUCGCCUAUCCCUUUUUCGUUUCUGAUUCCUUGUUUAAGAACAAAUUAAUUCAAAAUUAAUAUGAUGCUUCUCUUAAUCCAUCGAUCCAGUUUUUUAUUCGAAUCAGAAAAGCCUGUUAAAUGGCGAUCUUGUAUUGAUUUCAUGACCAAACCUAAGCCCUAAUUAUUGGAUCUACGACUUACAUUCUUGAAAUUGAGUUGGGAAAUCCCUCUGUUUAUGAAUUCCGAUCAAAACUCCAUUAAAAUAGUUUUGCACGCUGCCAACAUUGUGAAAUUGAAUAGGAUCGCACCGUGGGUUGUUUCGACCCAAAUUCAGCCCGACCGGGCGAAGAAGAUCCAACGCGUGAAAACACACAUGCGUUAGUUCCAUUUUUUGUUUUAUGCCAAAUAAUAAUAUAAAUUAUUAUAUUCUGAUUAUUUUGAUAUAUAUAUAUAUAUAUAUAUAUAUAUAUAUAUAUAUAUAUAUAUAUAUUUUAAUUUGUUUUGACCACCGAAGGUAUAUUGUGUAAUUUUUACAUGGAGGUAAUUAAAUUAUAUCCUAAGGCAGUGUAUUCUCAGAUUUAUUAUGUGAAAAUUUUAUGAACAUUCCUUACUCUUUAUGAUACAUGAUGUAACACCCGUUACCCAAAAUACAAUUUAACAAUAAUAAAACAUCAUCAGAGUAUAACCCCAACGGGCGUGUCACACUACUAAUUCAAAAUUUCUCAAAUAGAAUAUAAAAAUUUAUUGAAUCAACAUCAUUAAAUCUGCAGCGGAAUACAUUUCAACAUUAAAUCAUCAACAUUUAAUCCUCCAUAAUAAAUCUUGGCAUAAAAGCCUCAACAAUAUAAAUUCAACAUCAACAUUAAGACAUCAUAAUUGUUCAGCUUAACAAAUAAAAACUACAUCAACAUAAUCCAAAGUUUGAUACAUAGGAAUGAAAGUAAAACAUAUAAACCUCAUCCCGUACGUAUCAGAGUCCUAGACACUUUGAGCCACCACCUACUACUCAGGAUCACCUGCAAGUUACCCAUAGGAAUGGCAACAUUUUCAAGCAGAAUGGUUGAGAUUCACAACAAUAAUUAUAGAUAAUGAAUACAUCAAUUGAAUCUAACACCCUAUCAUAUAAUCAUUCAUCAACAUAUAUAGAUAGCAUCAUUAUAAACGUCAACAACAAUGACAAUUAAAACCAAUCAACAUCGACUCAUGCAAUACUCCACAACUCCGCUAAGACUCCUCUACAAUGCAUGUGGUACAAUGCAUGUAUCUCUACAUACAACUAAACAAUGCAUAUGUUUUUCAUAUGACUUACAACACCGCAAUCCAACAACAUGUAUGAUUUAAUUAUUUAAACAUACAUCACAGUCAACGACAGAUCAUCAUAUUUCAAUCCAACAGUCCAGAAAACAUGCACAUUUAAACAUAGACAUGUCCAUACACCAAGUUCCAUUCAACAUAAUCAAAACAGAAAAAUCAAGUCAAAAUCUGGGCUCACUCGCCUCGCGAAUACAUCUACUCGCUAUGGCGAGUUCACUAAAAAGGGUCACUCACUAUGGCGAGUUCAAGGCGAACUGAAAAAGGCUCCUCUCGGGAGUUUUGACAUUUUUCUCACUAAAACUUCAAUUCUAAGCUCCCUAUUCAUCUUUUUAAUCUAAAACUUGCACCAGUCCUCUCUAAAAUCAUUUAGGCACUCAAAACUAUCCAUAAUUCAUCUUAUAACAACAAUCUAAAAAUCAUGUUUUGCUCACAGGUACUCGCCACGGCGAGUGGUCUUACUCGCGAGGCGAGACAUGAAGUUGUUCACUCGCCUUGGCGAACAAGGCUACUCGCGAGGCGAGCGAUGAACUUCUGUACGGGCAGAAUACAGGUUUUUCCCCAAAAUCUCAUUUUCCUUCAAUUCACUCCCCAAAUUAGUUUACAGAUAAGCAAUAAGGUAUUGUAUGCACUCAGAACCUAUUUCUAACAUCAGAAUAACAAUCUCUACCCCAAAAACCAUUAAUUCAUCGUAAACCUAAAUUCUCAAUUCCCACCAAAAAUCUGUUAAAUUCAAUCAGCAUUCAGAAUGUACACUAUUGUAAUUAGGGGUGUUCAAAUCCAAACCGAUCCAAAAUAAAACCGCAAACCGAUCCAAAAAAACCGAAAACUGCAAAAAACCGAAUAUUUUUGGAUGUUGUUUUGGAAAAACCGCUAUGAUCGGAUCGGAUUUCGGAUUGCGUUUUCAAAACCAAACCGAACCAAACCGAACCGCAAAAGUAAAUUUUUAUACUUAUUUAUUAUUUUAUUAGUAUUAUAUAUUGCACUAAUAUAUUGCUUAUUGGUAUUUAAUCUUAUAUAUUGCAUUAAUUUAAUCUAUAUUAUUACUACUUCAUCUAUUUCAAAUAUAAUCAAUCAUUUUCAUUGUGUAAUGUUAACUUUUUUAAUAAAUUUGUGUCAUAUUUUGUAUCAAACCUAUUAUUUUAUUGUGUAUGAGUAAUAUUAAUAUUAAAAAAAAAAUUACAUGUUACACUUUGGAUAUCCAAAAACCGAUCCAAAUUAAACCGCAUAUAUUUGGAUCGGAUCGGUUCAGAUUUUUUUAACAUAAUCAUCCAAACCGAACCGAACCGCACGUGAUUUUUAUUUUGGAUCGGUUGAUUUUUAACCUCAAAACCGAUCCAAACCGGACCGCGAACACCCCUAAUUGUAAUAAACCUCACCCUUACCUUAGAUUUGCAGAAGGAAAUGCACAGCAAAAGUCAAUUCCUAGGCUCUUCUUGCUCUUCUCUCCCUUUUCUCCCAAAAGUCUAUGUUUCACGUAAAAGCAGUUCCACUCUUUUCUUUCUUUCUUAACUCCCUCCUUAACUUCCCUUAAAUUCACUUAACUCCCUCUUAAUUCUAUUAAUUAUAACAUAACCCCAAACUCCAAAAUAAUAUUAAUUUCCCACUUAUUCUAAUUAUUAAUAAAAUAAACCAUAUAAUAAAAUAAUCACACCACAUAAAUCACCAAUAAUCAUAUAAAAUCAUAUAUCAGACUCCAAAUAAAUCAAAAAUAAUUAAAUAACGACUAGGGCAUUACAACUCUCCCCAAAUUAUAGAAUUUCGUCCUCGAAAUCUUACCUCAAUCAAACAACUCAGGAUAUGAAUCCUGCAUCUUACUCUCCAGCUCCCAAGUCAAGCUCUCACCAGUUACACUACCCCAAACAACCUUCACCAAAGGUAUAUCCUUUCCUCUCAACUUCUUCACCUCUCGGUCUUCAAUCCUCAACGGUGAAGUCUCAACUGUGAGAUUGUCUCUAACCUGCACAUCAUCUCUUGGAAUAACAUGCGAAGGAUCCGUUACAUACUUCCGAAGUUGCGACACAUGAAACACAUCAUGCAAAUUCGAAAGAUGUGGUGGCAAACCAACUCUAUAUGCCACUGUUCCAACCCUCUCUGAAAUCUGAUACGGACCAAUGAACUUUGGAGUCAACUUCUUCGACUUCAAUGCACGUCCUACACCCGUCAUCGGAGUAACUCUCAGAAAUACAUGAUCACCCUCCUGAAACUCAAGGGCCUUUCUCCGCUUGUCGUGAUAACUCUUUUGUCGACUCUGCGACGCUUUCAUCUUUUCCCUUAUCAUCUUACCUUCUCAGUCGUCUGAUGAACCAAAUCCGGUCCCAACACAACACUCUCUCCUGACUCAAACUAGCACAAAGGAGUCCUGCACCUCUGACCAUACAAAGCUUCGAACGGUGCCAUACCAAUACUCGAAUGGUAACUGUUGUUGUAUGUGAACUCUAUCAAUGGUAGGUGACUAUCCCAAGCUCCACCUUGCUCAAGUACACACACUCUCAGUAAAUCCUCUAAAGAUUGGAUCGUCCUCUCCGACCGACCAUCUGUUUGAGGAUGAUAAGCCGAACUCAAUCUCAACUUUGAACCCAAAGCAUCUUGCAAGCUCUUCCAUAAUCUAGAAGUGAACCUCGGAUCUCUAUCCGACACAAUGCUCGACGGUACACCAUGCAGCUUAACAAUGUUAUGAAUGUAAAUCUCCGCCAACUGUGCUACAGGAUAACUGAUAUUAAUCGGAAUAAAGUGCGCCGACUUCGUCAACCUGUCGACCACAACCCAUAUAGAAUCGUGUCCUCUAAGAGUGUUUGGUAAACUCGUCACGAAAUCCAUAGAAAUGCUAUCCCAUUUCCACUCCGGCACAUCCAACGGUGUCAACAACCCUGCAGGCUUCUGAUGCUCAACCUUAGACUUCUGGAAAGUCAAACAUGCAUACACAAAAUGGGCAACGUCACGUUUCAAACCGGACCACCAAAACAGCUUUUUCAAAUCAUGGUACAUCUUUGUAGCUCCUGGAUGAAUACUCAAGCUACUCUUGUGACUUUCUUCUAAAAUCAACUUUUUCAACUCAUCAUUGUCAGGAAUACAAAUUCUUCCUCUGAAUCUCAACACACCCUGAUCAUCAACCUUGAAAUCACUAUCCUCAGUGUCAUUACCAGCAACCAUCAAAUCAACCAGCUUGACAUCCACUUGAUGUGCUUCUCGGAUACUGCUCAAGAAAUCACUGUUAAUCUUCAGCAUCCCUAAUUGUAUACUUUGAGGUGAUAACUCACAGACUAGACUCAAAUCUCUAAACUGCUCUAGCAAAUCAAAUUCUUUUAUCAUCAUAGCAGAUAUAUGCAGUGUCUUCCUCCUCAACGCAUCUGCAACCACAUUGACUUUACCCAGAUGGUAAUUCAAACCAAAAUCAUAAUCAAAAUAAUCUGCUAAUAUUGUGUUUUUAUCUUUUGAAAUAUCCUGAACAACCAAAUCAAAAUGAGAGAGAGAGAGAUAUAUAUAUAUUUUAAAAUUAUUAAUCAUAUGCAUUACUUAUUAAAAAAUAUGAAUAAUUUCUCCAAUUUUCGUUAUAUUUUCCGCCCCUUAAAUCCCUCAUUUCUCUUGUUUAGGAGUCCUCACUUCCCCGCUAAACUCCUAAACAGGGCCUUAUAGUAAGGUUUUAUCCCCCACCCAACCCACAUAUUAUAUAGCAAAGUUAUUGAAAGAAAUAAAAAGUGUACAAGUUUUAUUAUGUUAGUAACAUGUUAAUGGAACCAAAACAAAAGAGCACUUGGAGACAAAUUACUAUUUUGGCAUCUUAUGUAAUGAAUAAUUGGCCGAUAAUAUUGUACAUCAAAAUUAUUGACAAAUAUCUUUCUUUACUCAAUUAUUGACAAAUAUAAAAGUGUAUAAAUUUAUUAUGUUAUUUUUUAAGGAUAAAUUUAUUAUGUUAUUAUUGAGCAACAUGUUAAUGAAGAAGCAGACAAACAAAGCACUGGGAGACAAAUUACUGUUCCGGCAUCUUAAUUUUUAUAUUUAAAAUUACCAUUUUGUUUUGACAGAUUUAAGAAAGACUAUUUUGGCAGAUUAUGUGUCAUGAAUAUUUAAAAAAGACUAUACUGACUGACAGAUUAUGAUUAAAAAUUACAUGUAUAUUGCAACAUGUGUAAUAUGAUUUCUUUUCCAUAUCUGAAAAAUAUAUCAUUUGAUUCAAUCUUAUUUUAAUUUACAACGCUUAUUUUUGAAUACCCUUAAAUUUUAUACAUUCAUCCAAUAUUUUUUUAUUUUUUUAUAUCUCUUCUUAUCACAUCCUCAACAUAUUAUAUUUAUCAUCUUACACUAUUUAUUUAUGAGUCUUGUUAACGAGAGUCUCAGAGCAUUGAUUAAAGAUUCCACAAAUCGAUAAUUUUAAAAAAAAUAUAUAUAAGAUGUUGCUUUUGGUUAAGUAAUUAUUACACCACUUUUUUUAUGAAAAUUUAUUUGGUUUGAAUGCUUAACUAUCUUUCAACAUAUAAAUGGAUUUUAGAUUUUUAUCCAUCUUUAUCUUUCACUUUUGUGAGAUAAAGUUGUACAAAAGUUCUUACAAAAUGAUUGUACAAAUAUCAUUUCUAUAAAUAAAUAUUGUUGAAACUUUUAAGUUAUAUUUGUAUCGAUUGAGUCGAAUGUAAUGGAGUAGUAUGUAGUCACAUUUCAUAGUUGGAAUUUGUAAGGGGAGAAAAUGAAUAGAGUCGACGGGAAUAUGACGGAAUGUCAAUCUCAUAUCAUCCCUUUCUCCUAUUUUUUUCAUUUCACUUGGAUUAGAGUGUGUGCAUUGUGCAAUGAAAUGAAACUUAUUAAUUAAAUAAGGAUAGAUAAGUUUUUGAUCCUUAUAAAAAUUAUAGUUAAAGUAAAUUACGUGAGUAUGGACAUUGUAAAAUUGUCAUACGUAUUUAAUAAUGGAAGGAGUAUAAGUUUAAAUUCGCUUUUGAUCUCUAAAUAUCGUGAUUUUGCGAUUUAAUCCUCUAGUUUUUUAGCAAUCUUGGUCUCGAAGUAUUCCCCCAUUCAUACCUGGGGUGUUUAACUAGAUCCUACACCCAAGACUUGAAUUUUUUAAUCAUAAUUCUAAUAAUGUACUUUUUGAGUUAAUUUGUAAAUGUUCGAAUCACCCGUAUUUUUUUCUUUCUAAUUGUUAAUUUAUAUGUAAUUGUUCAAAUCAGUUCUAAUUUUUUUAUUAGGGGUCAAUUUUAUCAUCUAUGAAAACCUUAUUUUGAUAGAAAAGUUACAUAGUUGACAAGAACAUAAAAGAUGUCAAAACGACAUUGUUAAACAUAAGUAGUUCUUACAUGAUCAUAGAUACAAUUCAUUUAGACACACAGAAUACAUUCAAGUCACAAAUAUCCGAUUGAAUUAUUAUAAUGUUUUCAAUUAUAAUAACAAUUAAUUAAUUUUUUUUCUAUUUCUAUUUUUUUCCUUUGUGACCACAAACAUUACUUUGGAUAAUGGAUAGCAUUAAGUGUGUGUUAUCCUUAUAAGGCAUGGAAAAGGAUGAGACCCACCUACAUCAUCACUGAGUUUUCUUCCACAGAGCUUAUAAAUGGAUUAUGGAGCCAACCGCCAGUCCACCAUUGGUCCUGCAACUAUAAGAUUCAUGAAUUGCUUCAAUGCAUGGGCGGAUCUAGAUAUUGAUUUGGUAUAUAUGUGACUAAAAUUUCAAACAAACAUUAUGUACGAUUAGAAUAAAAAUUUAAGAAGUAAAACAUACAAUCUCAAUCGGUUAAUAAUAGUUAAAAUCAAUAUAAAUAAUCUUUACAAUUGCAAAUCGAUUUGGCGAAAUUUUUAGAGUGAUCAGAACAUAAAGAUUACAUGUUCAUGAUCUUGAUUAGAACAUAAUUUUUUUUAAGUAAUUACACAUAACAUGAUCAUGAACUAGCGCAUUACAUAACAUUAUUAUACAGAACAACACUAAUAAAUGUACACAUUCAUCCUCAAGUAACCAAACCAAACAAAUAUCAUUUUACAUUCAUUCACAUCACAAUUCACAAAACAACAGUCCAAAUUUGACUUAUCAUAAUUCAUGAAUUGAAAUUGUAUAUAUAUAUAUAUAUAUAUAUAUAUAUAUAUAUAUAUAUAUAUAUAUAUAUAUAUAUAUGAGAUUGCUAACUUACACUCACUGAAAAAUACUAAGGAGCAAGUUAGCAAGCACAUCCACUAGAUUUUUACUAAAAAACCAAUUUCCUCUAUUCUAAUUCAAUUAAAAUUAAAAGGUAGUUUUGUCAAUUUCAUUUUAGUUUUUUUAUUUUUUAAAACACAAAACCUUAGAUUUCCUAAGAACAGGCCUAUCAUUUCGAAAUCAAGGUUUUUAGGUCAUAUUAACAACUGUCACUUUCUAAAAACCUUACUUGAAUGUUUGUGUUGUUUUACGGAAAUAAUAUAGCCUUAAAUUCUUUAAAAAAAGAUAACCUUAAGUGGCUAAUGUAUCUUUUUUGUUACUAGGCAAUGUAUCUUUACAUGCUAAUGUAUUUUUUUGUGUCAAUGAUAAUAUGUAUUUAGGAAGAAAAAAAAAUGAAGCUAUAGUGGCUUUAUCAUAACCAAAAAAUAGUUUUAAAGAAACAAAUAACAAAUAAACCUACAUGCUUUAAAAACAUGAAGAAAAAAAUGAAGAUAACCUUUUAAGAAAACAAUAUUUAAAAUGGUGAAAGUGGGUCUAAAUUAGUAAGGUGGGUGUAAUUUAGUGAGGUGGAUUUAUAAAUAUAAAUCUAAAUAAUCAAGUGGGUAUAGGGUUUUGCUAGAAGACACUCUUUGAAUGUGUAUUUUAGCAAUUCACACUUCAAGGUGUGAUUAUCCACUUUUUAAUUAUAACUUGUUAAAAGACACCUUCAUAAAAAUUAGUUGGUGUAUUUUAAUUAGCAAAUACAUAUAGGAUAACUUGUUAAAAAACACCUUUAUAAAGGGUGUCUUCUAGCAAAACUCAUAUAUAUAUAUAUAUGGGGCUACUAAUUUACAUCCAUCUAAAAACACUAAUGAGUAAAUUAGCAAAGCUACAUCCCCAAAAAUUAUUAAGGUGCAAGUUAACAACCUAUACCCACUAGAUUAUUUACACUCAUUUUUAUAAGUUUUAUCAAAUUGUUUACACUCACUUUCAUCCAACAAUGUUCUCAACUGCGUAGACCAAAUUUAAACGCGGACAAAAAGUAAUCAUAUUUUGUAAGAAAUACAAAAGACUAGAUUUUUAUCAUUCUUCAAGUAGUACAUAAAUACAUGUUUUAAAGUAAAAGCAAAGAAGAAACUUAACAAGAGAAAAAAUAUAUCAUUUUAUUAAAGUUUCCAUUGAGUUUCUAUGAGUAUUGGUCUAAGUGAUGUAUAUUUAAUUAGUGUUUUUCUUAUAUUGCGGUUUGGUUUGGUUUGGUUCGGUUGGAAAAACCAAAACAAACCAUACGGUUGAGUAAAAAAUCGAUCCAAAUACAUCCGAACCAAACACGGUUUUUUGCGGUUUCGAUUUACGGUUUUUCUAUUAGAUUGGUUUGGUUUUGAACACCCCCAGUAGAACCUAUUAAUUGUUUAGUGUGCUAUACUUGUUGAUUAUUUGGGUUUUAGAGAUAUUAAGGGUAUUUAGGUACUUUCGAGUGUGAAGAGUUAUUUUAUGAGAAUUGGUAGUAACUUUGGGUAAUUAAUAGAAUAGUGGGUGUAUGAGUAAUACUGAGGAUUUUAAUGAAGUAAUUGUGUAGUAACAUUUUGUGAGUAAUAGAAAGUUAUUAAAGACAUUAGUGUGUGUGACUAAACCCAAGAGUAUAUAAGGAAAGUAGUCUUUGAGAAAACUAGGUCAAGAGUUCAUUAUCACUAUUGAGAGAAAAGAGGCAAAGUUGGGAGAUGAGAGAAAAUAGAAAGUAAGAAGAAGAAAGAAGAAUAUUCAAGAGAAAGAGAGAUGGAAAAGCUUAAGAGUGAGAUUAGAGUGAAGAUUUAAGUUGCUUUUGAAGGGUUAAGGUAAGAGGAAAGUUUAUAUUCACCGUUUAGAGAUUAUGAGUGAUAGAGUGUUUAUGAGUCAUGUUUGUUUAUAUGAUUCUCAUGAAUUUAGUGUUUUGUUAAGUUGAUUUUCAUGCUAUUUAAUUAUGCUAAUUAUGAGUAUGAUGAACUUUAUGAAAUUAUGUUAUUUAUAUGCUUAAACUUAUGCUUGAUGGUAUAAAAUAAGUUGUUCUUGAGAUUUCAGCUUAAAUGUGUGAAAAUCAAGAUGUUGUUGAUGAUUCUUUCUCAAAUUAUGUUCUAAUUGCUAGCUAUGUUGAUGGAAUGAUCAUGUUAAAUUUGAUGUUUGAAUUAAGUUGUGGUUUGUUGGUGAAUUUUGUGAGAAAUGAGUGACAAACCAUGAAAUGAUGUUUUGACGAAUUGAGUUUUGGGAUUAUGAGUUUUGGGUGUGGAAUUGAAUUUGGGGAAAAACGGGUUUUUAAGCUAAAAGUCAAUAUUUAGUGAUUCUAUGAAAUAAGCUAUUUUUGGGCUAAGUUAAUGGAAAUGUUUUGAUUAAGAAAUGAGGCUGAAUAGUAGGGGUUAAAUAGGCUAAGUGAUUGGGAUUGUUUCUGGUGCGAUCAGGAUCGAAAACAGUUUUGAAAACAGACUCUCGUGUGCAAAAACAUAAAAAUUCAAGAACCCUGUCUUGUCAAGGCAGCACGACCAUGCGGCCUAGGAGCACGUAUUGUGUGUAUUGUUCGCACUUGGUCAGUACAACCGUACGGCCAAUUUGCACGACCGUGCGCCCUGUACUAUGUCGGGAAACCUCAUUUUUUUUUUGUCGUUUUUAAAUUUUAAGCAUAUCAUUUGGUCCCAAACACCUAAUCUUAGUUAAUUGAUGUAUAAUUGAGUACUUAAACUUAAUUUAACUUGAUUUGGAUUGGAAUUGAAUUGUAUGGUGCAGACUUUUGAAAAUAGACGAACUUUGACAUUUUAAGAAAUAGA
rnacentral:lncRNA from 1 species